GGUGGAGGGAGGUGGAGGUGGUGGAGGGGUUAAAAUGAAACGAUCGAAACAUAUGUGAAAUUGUGAAAAACUUAAGUAACAUUCCUACUCCCACUACAAAUGAAAAUCAAUACAAGUCUGCAAUUCAGUAUAUAACUUGUUACAUAUCACCAUCAAGUUUUCAAUUUGUAGGCAAAAGAAACUGCAUGCAUGUGUGGACAUGCUGUGAGAAAUUUGUAUCCAACACAGAUUAUUGUUUUGUUUCCAUUUCAAGAAUUCACCAACAAAUAAAACAUAUACAUUUUCAAGUACUCCAUCACGACCAUUACACAUGCCACCUUCCCCAUCUAAAGAAUAAGUUAAUUUCCAAUUUCAUUCGACCUGAAUGUCAUGAAUAUCAUUCAAUAAGAAACCCACUUAGUUUUAUGGCUUUUCUUCCCUUUAUGGUAAAUAUGGAAUUAAAUUGAAAAAUUCUUAAUUAUAUACAAAUCAUUUACCCAUGGUAUUGAUGUUUAAAACACUUUCUUUUCUUCUUUUUGUUUUUUGUUGAAUUGUAGAGGCUAUUUCUAUGAAAAAUAUUUACUUAACCGAUUUUCUCUCAUCUUUCCUUCAAUUUCGGCUACUCCUACUUUACCCCGGAUAUCCUCAUUCCUAAUCUUAUCUUUUCUCAUGUGCCCACACAUCCAACGAAGCAUCCUCAUCUCCGCUACACCCAUUUUGUGUACGUGUUGAUGCUUCACCGCCCAACAUUCUGUGCCAUACAGCAUCGUCGGCCUUAUUGCCGUCCUAUAAAAUUUUCCCUUGAGCUUCAGUGGCAUACGGCGGUCACACAACACGCCGGAUGCACUCUUCCACUUCAUCCAUCCAGCUUGUAUUCUAUGGUUGAGAUCUCCAUCUAAUUCUCCGUUCUUUUGCAAGAUAGAUCCUAGGUAACGAAAACGGUCGCUCUUUGGUAUUUCUUGAUCUCCGAUCCUCACCCCUAACUCGUUUUGGCCUCCAUUUGCACUGAACUUGCACUCCAUAUAUUCUAUCUUUGAUCGGCUUAGGCGAAGACCUUUAGAUUCCAACACUUCUCUCCAAAGGUUAAGCUUUGCAUUUACCCUUUCCUGAGUUUCAUCUAUCAACACUAUAUCGUCUGCGAAAAGCAUACACCAAGAAAUAUCAUCUUGAAUAUGUCCUCAUCCAUUACCAACGCAAAAAGGUAAGGACUUAAGGAUGAGCCUUGAUGUAAUCCUACAGUUAUGGGAAAGCUUUCGGUUUGUCCUUCAUGAGUUCUUAUGACAGUCUUUGCUCCUUCAUACAUAUCUUGUAUAGCUUGGAUAUAUGCUACUCGUACUCCUUUCUUCUCUAAAAUCCUCCAAAGAAUGUUUCUUGGGACCCUAUCAUACGCUUUUUCCAAAUCUAUAAAGACCAUGUGUAAAUCCUUUUUCCCAUCUCUAUAUCUUUCCAUCAAUCUUCGUAAGAGAUAGAUUGCCUCCAUGGUUGAGCGCCCUGGCAUGAACCCGAAUUGGUUGUCUGAAACCCGUGUCUCUUGCCUCAAUCUAUGCUCAAUGACUCUCUCCCAAAGCUUCAUUGUAUGACUCAUUAGCUUAAUACCCCUAUAGUUCAUGCAAUUUUGUACAUCGCCCUUAUUCUUGUAGAUAGGCACCAAAGUGCUCAUUCGCCACUCAUUUGGCAUCUUCUUUGUUUUCAAAAUCCUAUUGAAAAGGUGAGUGAGCCAUGUUAUACCUGUCUCUCCCAAAACUUUCCACACUUCGAUUGGUAUAUCGUUUUGGCCUACUGCUUUUCUAUGCUUCAUCUUCUUCAAAGCUACAACCACUUCUUCCUUCCGGAUUCUACGAUAAAAAGAGUAGUUUCUACACUCUUCUGAGUUACUCAACUCCCCUAAAGAAGCAAUCCUUUCAUGUCCUUCAUUGAAAAGAUUAUGAAAAUAACCUUUCCAUCUGUCUUUAACCGCGUUCUCUGUAGCAAGAACCUUUCCAUCCUCAUCCUUGAUGCACCUCACUUGGUUUAGGUCCCUUGUCUUCUUUUCCCUUGCUCUAGCUAGUUUAUAGAUAUCCAACUCUCCUUCUUUGGUAUCUAGUCGCUUAUACAUAUCGUCAUAAGCCGCUAACUUAGCUUCUCUCACAGCUUUCUUCGCCUCUUGCUUCGCUUUUCUAUACCUUUCACCAUUUUCAUCGGUCUUAUCCUUGUAUAAGGCUUUACAACAUUCCUUCUUAGCCUUCACCUUUGUUUGUACCUCCUCAUUCCACCACCAAGAUUCCUUUUGGUGUGGGGCAAAGCCCUUAGACUCUCCUAAUACCUCUUUUGCUACUUUUCGGAUACAACUAGCCAUGGAAUCCCACAUUUGGUUAGCUUCCCCCUCUCUAUCCCACACACACUGGGUGAUUACUUUCUCUUUUGAAAAUGGCUUGUUUUUUUCUUCUUUUAGAUUCCACCAUCUAGUCCUUGGGCACUUCCAAGUCUUGUUCUUUUUUCUCACUCUUUUUGAUAUGUACAUCCAUCACCAACAAGCGAUGUUGAUUAGCCACGCUCUCUCCUGGUAUAACUUUGCAAUCCUUACAAGUUAUACGAUCCCCUUUCCUCAUUAGAAGAAAAUCUAUUUGUGUUUUUGACGACCCACUCUUGUAGGUGAUCACAUGUUCUUCUCUCUUCUUAAAGAAGGUGUUGGCUAAGAAGAGAUCAUAUGCCAUUGCAAAAUCCAAGAUAGCUUCCCCAUCCUCGUUUCUCUCCCCAAAACCAUGGCCACCAUGAAAACCUCCAUAGUUGCCUGUCUCCCUGCCCCCGUGUCCAUUUAAAUCUCCUCCUAUAAAUAACUUCUCCGUCUGAGCAAUUCCUUGCACCAAGUCUGCAAGGUCUUCCCAAAAUUUCUCCUUCGAACUCGUAUCCAACCCUACUUGAGGUGCGUACGCACUAAUCACAUUGAUAAGUUCUUGUCCUAUUACAAUCUUGAUUGCCAUGAUUCUAUCUCCUACCCUCUUGACAUCUACAACAUCUUGUGUCAAGGUCUUGUCCACGAUGAUGCCAACACUGUUUCUCGUUCUAUUUGUGCCCGAAUACCAUAGUUUAAACCCUGAGUUUUCUAGAUCCUUUGCCUUACGACCAACCCACUUAGUUUCUUGUAGGCACAUAAUAUUUAUCCUUCUCCUCACCAUAACUUCUACUACUUCCAUAGAUUUUCCCAUCAAGGUUCCUAUAUUCCACGUUCCUAAACGCAUUUUGCUCUCUUGAACUCUACCCUUCUGUCAUAGCUUCUUCACCCUUCCCCGUCUAAUAGGAUCAAAGUACUUCUUUUGUGUGUCCUGUGUAAAGUUGAUAGGAGCAUAUGCUCCCAAACAACUUUGAGUGGAGUCGUUCGAAAAGAAGUUUAUAUAGCCCCCUUGCUCAUUUAACACUGCAUCCGGGUGCCGAUGGAGAUACAGCGACCCUUGCUCACUUAUCACUGUGCUCGGGCCACACAGCGCGCCACUUACGGGUGACGCCCUAGCUUUAUCGCGAUUUUGUUCUGGAUUCAUUUUCAUAAGGAUUCGACGUGAUCAUGGAGUGCCGGCUGUCGACUACCUGACGCCCUCCCCCUCCUCCUUUAUCCGGGCUUGGGACCGGCAAUGUAAGAUAAACUUACACGGCGGAGUUUGAGCCGGGUCAUUAUAAAAACUAAAAUAUCUAUGUUUUCUCUACAGAGCCCGAGAACUCCGGCCUUUUCCAGUAUCCCCAAAUUAUAUUUAAAAACUCACAGCCCUAAUCGUUGCAACCUUCCAACUUUAAACCCAAGUUACCCUAUUCUCCACCACCAUUUGCCGUUCCACCGCCCUUAGCUGCCUAAUUUUAUUUCUUCCAAAUUUAUAUAAGUUUUUAAAUCCUAGCUCUAGAGUCCCAACUCCCAAUUAAUAAGAUAUAUGUUACAUUUACAACUUUUAUCUUUGUAGAGUCACUAUUUGCGAUAUGUUGCUGAGGAGAAUUUGUUGGUUUUAUUACAUUUGAUAUUAAUCUUGAUUUAUUCAAUUAACCAAAUUCAGUAGAAAAUAAUAAUAUGGAACCAAAUUAGUCUAAUAUUUUUUUUUUGAGCUUUUAUGUUGGGACCCCUCGAUCUUGAAAUCCUGGAUCCGCCACUGAUAAUGAGCAUGUCGAGCAUCCAACUUUGGGCUCUUUUUGGUGUUACAUGACGAUGCGGUAGCUUGGCUUCAUAGGACCCUACCCCCUAAUACAAUAGAACCUUGUGCGUCACAAUUUGGGAUCGUUUCCCCAAGCUGGAAGUGAAACUACAUCAGUACCUCCAAAAUUCAAGUGGUAAAUAUAUUUGACAAAAUAAAAGGGAGAUAACUGGAGUCCAAGAUUUCUACACAAAAGUGCUUUCAUGAUCCUCCAAAGCCCAAAGGAUUGCAACAAUCAUUUCCCACAUUGUGCUAUGGCAAGAAGAUGUAUAAUUAUAUCAUAUAUGUUGUGUUGCUGUCAGUGAAAUAAUAGAGAGAGUGAAUAGAAAGCUUCCCUGUUUGGGGUUUUUGGCCCGUGCCCCCAUUGUGGCUUAGGUGGAAACCGACUUCUCGAUACGGCUUUUUUGUACGAAUUCCCACAGACGGCACCAACCGUUGGAGCGGAAAAUCUCAGAUACUUCAAUUCUCCACCAACAAGUAAUCUUGAAUACGUUGAGAAGCUUUAAGCAUCAUCUUUGCUUGCCAUCAAUGAGAGUGGGGGACCUGCAAGAAUACACUCCGACGCUAAAGUCAGUUUUUAUUCAAGGUGCUUGUAAAAUAUAGAACGAUCUCAUACCUCUCUCUGCCUUUCUGGUGGGAUUAUUAGCCUUUUAUAGGCAUUCAAGUCUUGGGCUGUAAGUCCCACUUUCCUUCUAUUUCUUCAUGUUCCACAUUCCACAUUUCAUGAAGUGAUCUGAUUAUGCUCCUUUAUUUUAGCCUCACUCCUCAUGUUUAGCAUGCUAGCGGCUUGUUUAGUGGAGGAGUAAUUUUUGGCUCCCACAACUUACCAUUUGCAUUAUCAAUCGGCUCCACCAGCACCAGCAGCCCCUCCAGACCACGAUGCCGAUCUCCCAACGACAGCGACGGUUUCCUCAAGUUUUCAAUCACAAUCUGCAUCAGCUGCCCAUCCGACGAUGAGCUGAUUUAUCUCAAGCCGGCCUUUUAGGUCGGCGGGACACAAUUGCUGGACAUCUCGCGCCUUUUCUUUCAAUUGGACGGUAUCGGAGUGGCAUGUGGCCCGCUGUAACAUUCCCUCCAGGGAAGAGAAACCGCCGUCAGCGUCAAGGUCGGGGAUGGCGGUAUCGUCGUCCCGGGGCUGAGUCCGAGUCUGAGCAUGCACCUCGUCUUAUGCCCUGGACCAAUCACCACUACUAAAAUCCAUGAACUCGCGCGCGUCAUAUCUUCUUCUUCUUCGGUGAACUGGGAACGCAUCUUGCUAGUGUGUCCCUUGUUACCCAACUGUCGGUUGGUUUUCUUACUUUUCAGAUUUGAUUUGUUUACAGUUUUGUACAAAAAUGCCCUUAGCAAUUAAUUCUAAUUUUUCUGUCAGGUUUCAAUUUUUUGGUACACAUUUUUUCAUAUUUUCUUUUACACGUACUUAUCUUUUGACACACACUUUUUCAUAUCGAGUUUCACACCAGGAGUAAUGAAGGGCGCCAAUUGAUUUUAAGGAAACUAAUGAAAAUGGUUUGAAAACUUUGAGUUUUAAUGAUAAUGACAAAAUAAAGGGUAAAGUGCAUAGUACCAGGAUUGACUUUUUAGUGUAAAAAUGUGGUUUUUCAUUAAAGUGAACAGUACCCGGUGCUUUUCGUUAAAGUUCCCUUGAUUUUAUCAUAUGAAACUUUAACGAAAAACUCCUGGUACUGUUUACUUUAACGAAAAAUCAUAUUUUUACACUAAAAAAUUAAUCAUGGUACUAUUCAUUUUACCCUUUAUUUUGUCUUUAUUGUUAAAACUUAAAGUUUUCAAGCAAUUUUCAUUAGUUUUUCUUUUAUCAUAUAGUCUCUAUGUGGUACGAUUGGUUAUUAUUUAAUUAUUUAAUUUUACAAAUUAAUCCUUGUUAUAUUUGUAUUCAAAGGAACAAUUACACAUAAAGAUAAAUUAUAAAGCUAUGUUUUAUAGAGAUAAAAUGUUUUCUAUUUAUUUCAGAUAGUGACAAAAAUUAUACAUGUGUGGGUCAUCUCAUAGGUGUAUUAUACAAGUGGUGAGAUAUUUGUGUUAAAAAAUUAGACACCUUAAAAACAAAACUUCUCCCUUAUAUAUAUAAUGACACGUGAUGUACCACCCUUGUUCCAAGCUCAAUAAAAAAUUGGGUAAAAUACAAAAAACUACCUCAACUAUUGGUGUCACGACACUUUCAUACCUCAUCUUUUAAAAUUGACAAUGUCAUACCUCAUCUUACAAGUUUGUGCCAAUGUCAUACCUCCGUCAGUUUUUCUGUUAAUUUCUCAGUUCGUUACUGACGUGGCUUGAUCUGGGGCCCAUUUUCUAUUACAAAAUUAUCAAAAACUCAAAAAAAUCAUUUAAUAUUUUUUAAAUAUUAAAAUUUUAAAAAAAAACCAACAAUCAAUUCGUCCCCCCCCCCCUUCUCUCUCUUCUCCCCAUCUUCUUCUACCCCCUUCCUGCAACUUCAACCCAGAAAAAAGAGAAGAAAAAAAAUCCAAUUUGUCUUCCCCGCUCCCCACCCCCUCUUCUCCCCGCACCCACUCUCCGCACCCAACCUCCCCACCUUCCCACCCACCCUUUGCACCCAACCUCGUACCCACUACCUGCAACCCAAAAAAAAAAAACCCAGAUCUCGUUGAGAACUUAGGCGCUGAGAAAAUGGGAGGAAUCGAUGUGGAGGGAAAAGGGUGGAUACGCGCGCGCGCGCGCGGGGGGGGGUGGGGGAUGGACGAACUGGUAUCCUUCUUUUUUUUCUUCCCUUUUCUCUCUUUUUCUUCUUAUUCUGCAGGUUGGGUGGGGGGGGGAGGGACCUUUUUUUUUUCCUUCUCUCUCUUCUUCUUCUGCAGGUUGGGUGGGGGGGGGGAAGUUUUGUUUUUUUUUCUUUUCUUUUUUCUGGGUUGCAGCAGAUAGGGGGAAGAAGAGGAAAGAAGAUGAAGAUGGGGGAGAAGAGAGAGGGUGCCGCUGGGGGGGGGGAGGGACAAAGUUUAGUUUUUUUUUUCUUUUUUUUUGGGUUGCUGCAGGUAGGAAGAAGAGGAAGGGAGAUGAAGAUGGGGGAGAAGAGAGGGGGCGGGGGGGGGGAGUUUUGUUUGUUUGUUUGUUUUUUUUUUUUUUUUUGUCUGGGUUGCAGCAAAUAGGGGGAAGAAGAGGAAAGAAGAUGAAGAUUGGGAGAAGAGAGAGGUCGCCUGGGGGGUAAGGGACAAAUAAUUUUUUUUUUUCUAGGUUGCAAUAGGUAGGAAAAAGAUGAAGGGAGAUGAAGAUGGGGGAGAAGAGAGAGGGCUGGGGGAAGUUUUGUUUGGUUUUUUUUUUUUUAAUAACCUUCUUUAUUAUUUUAAUAUUUAAAAAAUAUUAAAUGAUUUUUUUUAGUUUUUAAUAAUUUUUUAAUAGAAAGUGGGUCCCGAAUCACGCCACGUCAGCAAUUAAUUGAGAAAUUAACAGAAAAACUAACGGAGGUAUGACAUUGACACAAAUUCGUAAGAUGAGGUAUGACAUUGUCAAUUUUAAAAGAUGAGGUAUGAAAGUGUCGUGACACCAAUAGUUGAGGUAAUUUUUUGUACUUUACCCUAAAAAAUUUCUUUUUUCUUAAUUACUUUUUCAUUUACAAUUUUAUGUCGUUAUCUUUCUUUUUGUUCUCUCUAGGGGUCGAUUUUUUUUCCCAAAUUGCCGUCCCAACCAAAUUGCCAACUGUGCCAUACCAAUUUUGUGUCAAAUUUUUUGUACCAAUCGGUAAUGAUACGGUAUUGUACCGUACCAAAAUUUCAUGGUACAUUAUUGGUAAUGGAUAUCAUUACCACGGUAUUACAGAAUAUUCAUGCCCUGUCAACAAAGGUUCCAAACUAUUUCUUCCAAUGACGUAAUCUAUUGGUGAGCAUAAGUGAAAAAACUUUUUUUUUUUACAAAAAAAAAUUUGCAGGACAAAACUUCAAGAGCAGAAAAAAGAACGCGACCCAUACAAUAAUUUUCAACCAUUUUAUUACUUGAGACAAGAAAUUAGUUUUUCCAAAAUCCGUUGUUGAUUCCGCUAGUCACUAAGACUUUAAGGGCGCGUUUGUUUGGCCUCAUUAAGUUUUACUGGACUGGCUAGGAAUACUAGCUAAUGUAAUCCCGUGUUUAUUAUUCGCAUGAACUAAUUUUAAUGAGACUGAUAGGGACUCACCUCAACUAUAUGCUUCAUUAGCCAACGAGAACCCUCGAAAUCAAAAAGACUGCUAAGGUGCAGUUUGGGAUUGAGGUGAUUAAUAAAAAAGUUGUGAUGAAAAAAAACUGUGAGGAUUUUUGAUGUUUGGUAAACUUUCAAAAACAACUUUAUUUCAAAGUUAGGGGUGAAAAAAAGCCCAAAACCUGAAGCUGCAAAUAGCAGCUUCCAAAAACAACUUAUUUCGAAAACAAGGGUGAACAGUGGUAUGUUUAAUGAAAUUUUCAAUAACCCAAAAUUGCCCUCCUUUCCCUCUCGUCUUCAGCUCUCGCAUACCCGACCCCUGGUAAACCACUCUCUCGUCCUCUCGUUCUCUCAUUCCAAAAACCAGCGAUCUCUCUCAUUCUCUCGUUCUCCAGGUUUCUCCAUGUUCCUUUGGCAAGCUUCUCUUGUAAAAAUUUGUUAUUAAUUUGUUUGGAUUUUUCAAUUUGGGGAUGGGAGAUUGAGAGGGAAAGAGGAGUGGGAAGAGCAAAGGGAUGAGGGUAUGGGUGUCGGGAAAAACAAUUGGGGAUGGAGGGUGGGGAAAAAUUAAAUGGGGAAGGUGACAUGGUUUGUGGAAAAAAUUAAUUGGGAAAAAAUUAAUUGGGGAAAAAAUUAGGGUUUGUGGAGGAAACAAGAAAAAUUGAGAGAGAAGUUUGAUUACUUCUCUAUUCAUUUUUUUAGAAGGUCUGCUUCUGAUUUGGGUUUAGGUAAGGGAUAAUUUCUUAUAAAGCUUUGCUCUGCUUCUGAUCUGUGAACUGUGCUUCUGAUUUGUCAUGCGUGUCUUGCAAUUCAGCUCACCCCUCUUCGACGCCGUUUCAUCGUCUUCUUAAAGCUCUCGCAGUCUCUUCUGAAACUCCAACCUCCGGGUCAGUGCUCGUAUCUUAUCUCUCUCUCAGUGCUAUCAUGUUUUACAUAUAUUUUUUUUUCUGAAUUCUUCAUUUAUGCUAUGUGUCUUCUUCUUUUUUUUCUGAAUUCUUUGAUAUGAAAUUUAGGUACGAUUUGGGUAAGUGUUAUAGCUCGUUGGUGCAUUUGUAUUUGAGAAUCGGAAAUCAAUGAUCUCAAUUUUUUUGUUAUUUCGCCAUUAGUAUUCAUGCUGGUUAUUGUAUGGUAUGGGGAUUUGAUCAUACCCUGAAACUUGAUUCGGUUUCACAUUGAUUGAUGACAAAUUGAGUGCGGAUAAAGGUUCAGUCGGCUAAUUUUUCAAUCGAACAAUUUGGGAAAAGUUUAUGGUUCUAAACUUUUCGAAGCUGUAGAGUUGGCCUCUGUGAUUAUGGUUGGUUGUGUUUGAUUAAUAACCUUCUGGGGUAUAGUUCAUUAUUGGUAUUUUAUAUGGUUGAAGCUGGAGAAAAAUAUUCGGGAUUGUUCUUCUGGUGUAGGUAGUACACAAUGUUGAUAUCAGGACGCUGAAACUUUUGCGCUAUUGGUUUUCGUUUUCAGUUGAGUCUGCCCUCAUAUCCUUUCUUGAGCUCGCUGCAUAAAUUUAAAAUCAACAGCUCAUAUUGUACUUUCCUUUUCUUACUUUCCCAUGUCAAUGUUAUUUCAUUAUUACUUUGAGGAUUGUUCAUUCCACCAUUACAUGAAACUUGGUUAUGGAGAGUUUCUGAAUUCUCCUGCAAACUUGGUUUGGUAGUUGUCUAACAGAUCACUAUUAUAGUGAGGAUUAAACUUUUGCCAAAUGUGUCUAUUAUGGUCUGUGUGUGUUGUUGGUUUACUGCGAACAAAACUAGCAUUGUAUUUAUGCAUUGAAUUUGCUGGUCCUUGUCCUUCAAACAAUGAGAACCGGAAAGAAUCUCAAUUCUAUAAUUCUGAUGCACUGAUGCUAUUAUUGUAUUUAUGCAGGAUCUUUUAAAUGCAUGUGUAUUUAUUAAACUGUCUUUGGCUUUGCUUUCACCAAAUCACUAGUCAACAUCAUCACCGCAUGUGUUCCUGCUGCCUUCAAAGCCGACCAGCCAAAGAUCAUCCCAUUGUGGACUCAAAGUCAGUACCGUGAUGCUUUCAACAACGCUACUUGUCCCCGUUGCUAUCCAUCCAUUGACCGACUGUGCAGAAACGUGUGCUCUCCAUCUGCUUUGAAGAAAAAAUAGAAAGAAAUAAGCAGAAUUCAUACAGCUUAAUCACAAAUCAUGGUCAUAACGUUUGUUCAUCUUCCCUUAUUGCAAGUAUGCAUAUACAAAUGUAUUGGGGGGAGGGGGUUGGGAACCGGCAGACAGAAUUUGGAUCUAGUGUGAUGAUCGUAUAAUUAUUAGCGAGUAAUCCAUCCAUCUUGAGGGAUCCAUUUUAUUUACGAGUCUUCAUUAAUAUAACAAGGUCUCAGUCAUUUUGUACACACUAUUUUGUGAUGGGUUAUUUUCCUUUUAAUCAACUAAAAGAUAAAUAUGGACUAACAAAGGCACAUGUAUUGCAAAUACUGCUAAUGAGAAAGAAUUCCAACGUGCCGAUAAAACUAACUUACAUAACAAAAACUCUAAAAAUAAAAUAUUAUACCCUUUUUGGUAAGAAAAUUAAAUUAUUAGAGUAUUAUACUAUUUUUGGUCAUUUCACACAGUCACAGCUGUUUUACAUAAAAGUUUAUCAAACGCUAUCAUACAGCUUUUUUUUUCUAAAAACAUUUUUACAAAAAAGUUUACCAAACACUCUGCUGCUUUAUUCUCACAGCAGCUUUUUUUCAAAGCACAGCAAUACCAAACCAGCCCUUAGACCUUCGCCCCUCCCCACUUCUUCCCUCCCAUCUACGUCUUCUUCAUCGGUCUGCCCCUCCCACCACACUUCGCUCCAUGUUGCCUCGCUCCAUGGUUGGAUCGACGUCGCGGCUCAUAUGGCCGUGUCGCAGCUUCUAAUAAGAAACUCUCAUAACAGAAAUAAAUAAACAAAACUUAAUUUUUUUUUAAAACUUAUACAGAGAAUAAUACAAUAAUACAUAUUUAAUAUACACAAUAUAUAUAUAUAUACACACACACUAUGACUAUUGUAUUUUAUAGUAAGUUUUUUUAGUAGUUUAACUUUGAAUAAUGUUUUUCUUAGUGGGCAGAAACGGGUUACCCAUGGGUUAUUUGUGUGUAAACCCGUUAAGGACCUGUUAUUAACGGUUCUUAAAGGAUGACCCAAUAACGAUCCGAUUAGUUAUCAUGCUGACCUAAAACCCGUUAUUUUCUUAUCAUUUUCGUAUCAUGUAAGAAAUUGUUAGAUCCAUUUAAACUAUCCUCAGAAACCCAAAAUAAACCUCAUAAAACAAAACCCAAAAUCAAAACAUAUGUCCUCUCCUCUAACGUUGUCUUCUUCCAACAUGUCAGUCGUCUUUCCUUUCAUUUCUUCAUUAUUUUAUAAAAAUCAAAACUAAUAAGAAUUAGUGAGAAUUAAUUUAUCGGAAGAUGACAUAAAGCCAUCCUUUAUGCAAUUACCAUUUUGGAAAAGCUUGAUAACACCAUUUUUGCCCACUUUCUGAUGCUUUUAUGAGCAUUUGGGGUGUAAGAAAUUCAAGGCUAUAGAAUGAGAAGAUUGAGCAGCACAACUUGGUCGUCUACUCAGAAACCAAAACAAUAAAUUAAAAAAACUUGCAUAAAUCGAUUCAUACCUUAGUUGAAGGAUCAAAAACUUCAAAACUAGCACCCAUUCGUCAAAAAGUGCUUGAUGAGCGUCUUCAAGAUUUAGCCAAAUAGAACAUUAGAGAAAGAUUGUGUGAUAGUAAAUGUUUGACUAUUGGGUGUGGGUUUAUUGAUAAAUUUUUGUUUUAUUGUUAAUUUCAUUUUGUACUUAAUAGUAAUUGUACAAUAGAGUGACAAUCACAUUUAAAGCUUAAAGUGGAUCUAGAGUGAAGUUAUAUAAUUUCCUUAUUUUAAUUUACUGUAGUCCACAAAGUAAAGAUUCAAACUUGAAUGCAAAAGAGUGGUCACACUAUCUUAAGCAACUGACACUCAUAAAGCCGGCCUUUCCUUUGAAUUUGAAACAGAAUUUAUUCAAACUAGAAAUGUUGACAUUAUUAUUUUACAAAUACCAAUUUGUUAAAGAUAUACCAAGUUAUUUCAUAAAUUUUGACCAAAUCCAACCUUAUCAACAUAUUAUGAGCCAAUGUUAAAACAUGAAAGAUAUGAAGGAAAAAUAAUAUUUGGUCAGAGCACAAAAGAAGAUAUGUGGUUAGAAUAAUUGAAAAAAAAAUGUAUAUAUAAAAAGCUGAGAAUCUUCAUAGGUGGUGGAAUGGUUAGUUGGCUAUGGAACUACUCCAAGCGCAUUGGAAGUAGACACUGUAAACCAGGAGAAAUUAUUAGAUGGUACAGUAUCACACCUCUUGAUCUUCUACUAAUCUUCCCGAGUGAAGCCGGUGAUAGGGAUAUAUCAUUGUGUUCACUUCAGUUUUGCCCACUUUUGUUUCACUUGCUGUCCAAUGCGCUAGGCGGCUUAUCAUGAUCAGGCUUAGAGAACCUGUAGUGAACUGGAUUCCAAGGCUCAUUUUAAAUUAGCUUGCAUUAUAAGUCUAUUUCAUGUCAUCGUUGGCACAUUCAUCAUAGAAGUUCCAGCUUCGUAUCCAAGUCAUCACAGUCGUUACUAUCAUCAAUACAGUACUAUAUAUUUGCUAUAUAUAUAUAUAUAUAUAUAAAGAUAUUUUGAGUGUAAAAACUUAUAUAAUAAUGUGUUAAAAUUUCAAUACGAAAACAGUCACUAGAAGAAAAAAGCCCAUCUAUCACGGUGGAUGCCCAUGAUAAAUUACAAUCUACCACGGGCAUCAUGCUCGUUAGUAUUCUGGAUGUGGUAAAAAGUCUUUGUUUCUACCACGGGCUAUGCCCGUUGUCAAAUGCAGUGUAACCACAAAUUAUGUCCGUGAUAGAUUGAGAGCUAACAUCACGUGUUAUGGCCAUUGUGGAUUACAAAUUGAUCACAGCUAGUGCCCGUUAUUAAAAAAAAUCAAAAAAUAAAAAAUAUAAAAAAUAUUAUUUAAUAAAUAUAUAAAUAUAUAAUAAAGAUAUUUAUUUACAAAAUUGCACAUUUACACAAAUUCACUAAGUUUUAUUUUACAUUUAUGUACCAAAACAUGUAUAGACUUUGUUUCACACUCCAAAACAAAAUUGAUCAAGUCCUAGUUCCAACCUUGAUACUCCAAUGAUAUUCGUCUUCCCUACAAUCGUUUCUUCAAGAAGACACACAUCUCCAGCACGCCAAUCACACUUCAAAUUUGCAGGUAUCUGUAAAUGUAGUAGUUGAUAUGAGUUAUAAACCCUCAUGAAUUAGAACCACCAACCACCUAUGAGACAUAAGGAGAAAUAUCAAGCUUAGAAAUCAAAACUUAUCACUCAAGGACAUCAUAUACAAAAAAAAUUAAAUCCACAAAAUCAAUUACACAAAGGCGCAAGCAAUCAUGGUCCAAUUGAGUACAUGGUGCCUGUAAAAAAUAAAUGAUCGCUAGAAUUAAAGGCUCCUUUUUUUAUUUCAAACCAACUAUCAUAGAUUAACUUUCUUACUAGCUAGAGUAUUGCGACAUGAAAAACAAUAGUGAAAAUCUAGAAAGAGAGACACAAAUAGACCUCAUGUAUUAGUAUCAAGCAUAUGAAUAUCAAUGUGCAUGCUUUCCUGUGUGUAUGUGAGAGAGCGAGAGUGGAGAGAUGGCAGUUUUCCAUGGGGCUUACAUUACAGUAAUUAAGCAUGGGUCAUUUACUGGAUUCUACCAACCCAACAUCGAUCUUUAGUAAGUUAUAAUCACAAAUAUUAAAGCAAUAUAGAGCAGAUUAAUGCAUACCAGUUCUGUAUGCAAGGAAUACAAAAUCGUUUCCUCUUACACUCUUUACAGCGAACUACCCAAUCCUUGUUGUUCCUCUGACAUUGAUGGCACAUCAACGUACCUCCUCAACAUACUUUUAAAAUCCCAAAACAACAAUUACAUUAUAAAUCAUCAGUGAUAACAAAUGACAAAAACAAUUAAAAAUAUAUAUAUAUACAAAAAAAAAGAGCCAGCGAACUGGUUAGAAUGGCUCCAAUUACAAAAAAUCCUCAAUAUUAGCAAUUAGUGAGGAAGUAAAACAUAUAAAAAAAUGAAAAAACCCUAAACAACGAGAGAACUUAUGGAGAAUAGAUAGGGUUAGAAUUUGUGGAAAAAUGAUGAAAUACCAAGAAAAUUCGUAGAAAGAAACUCUAGGAAACUGACAUACCAGAAUCAAGAGGCAAGAAAAAUUACCAGAAUCGAGACUAUAUAGUCUGAAACUGAGAUUCUAACCUGAGAGAGAGACAAUCCAAAUCAAACUCACUGAGAGAAAGAGACAGUGAGAGGGCUGCGAGCUUGAGAGAUCGUGAGAGUAUCGCAAAAGAGCCAAAUGCAACUACAAGACCACUCAAUUCAUACCAAAUUUAUAGAGAGAGAUCAGUGAAUAAUCUUUUGCGACCUAGAAAAAAAGAACGAUGUGAAAAGAAGAAUUGUGGGGAUAACCAAAUAUAACUGCAAGCGACUAGUGGGAACUUGAACGACAGUUUCUCCGUUUCGUGGGUUUUUAAUUAUGUUUUCUUUCCAAUAAAAAAUAUAUUAACUUUUAUUAUGUUAGUUGUUUUACAAUUAUAUCAUCAUUGGAACUCUCUUAUAGCCAUAAAACUAAAAGUAUAUUCCGACUCUGAUACGGCGCAACACCCAUUAAUGGGUUAAUAAAUUUAAAUAAAAUUAUAUAUACCAGUUUUUAUGUUGUAAUUAUGGUAAAAAUUUUAUAUCUUAAAUUUUACAUAUAUAGUUCUAUUUGUUGCAGUCAUAUUUAGAAUAGGAAUGUGAUUGUGUAAAUCCUAGGAAAUCUGGGAAUGUAUCUUAUAUUCCUAUUAGGAUUAGAUUACCUAUUAAAUGUUGUAAUCCUAAAGGAAAAAGUUUUACCCUUCCUACUACUAUAAAUAAAGGCACAAUGGGGUGGAAUAACACACACCUCACAAUUACACAUCUCUCUCUUUCUCUUUAUCCAUGCCGCACCCCUCUCUCUCUAUGGCCUCCAUAAUUGUUCAGUAAAUUAUGCCUACAACACGUUAUCAGUACGCUCUUGACGCUGCGCUGACAAAAGAGUUUGAUUUUCAAUCUGGGGAGUAUUACGUCUUUAAUCAUUAUUUUCAUGAUUAAUUUGAUUAUUUUAUUGAAUUGAUCUACAUGCUAUUGAUUCAAUUUAAUUUUUCUAUGUUGAACGUGAUACAACGAAUUGGAGAUGCAAUUUCGGCUUUCGGAGAAGGAUCUUCUACAAAUUCAAAGGCUUAUUCGUUUUCUGCUACUCAGGUAUGCUUAAAAUAAAGGAAGAUAUUUGAAACGACCCAUGAAGCAUGAAAACAUUCCCCAUGAUGCAUGAACCCCCUACAUUUAUAUUUACCUUCCGAUAUAUAUAUUGUAUAUGUUUCAUAUAUUUGUCAAUAUAUAUAUUUGUUUCAUGCAUUACGCAAUAAUUACUAUGUGGAAUUUGUGAGUCAAAGAAUCGAAAGAAAUUAGAAGCAUAUUAGGGUUUUCCUAAACCCUAAAGGAUUUGAAGAAAAAAAUGGGGGAAUCAGGACAUGGUGCGGCACACCACUUCACCAUCAUUGUGCAAAUAAUCACCAGGCCUAGGCCUGGAUUUUACCUCGGUAGGCCUAUAGCCCUGAGCCUAUGCACACUGGCCUUGGCCCGCAGCCAUCCAACCUGCCCAAUUGUCUGGGUUGUCCUCCCAUACACACGCUGCAACCUUUUUGGUUGCUGGGUUUUGUUGCUCUGGCCCGCAUACAUAUAGCUAGCAUAUGUUGAGCUUGUCCCUGCACCACCCAUACCCAAGCCCGUGACCUGCAGUCACUAUGGGGCUGUUUUCACGCAACCAACCUUCGUUGGGAUCCCCAUGACAACCCACAGGCCAGCAUGAGCUGGACCUGCCUGUGAACUCCCCACAGCCCAAAACCGACACCCAGCUACGGUUGGGGUUUCGUUCCCUCCCCGGUGGCCUACAACCAUACCCCAAGGCCCUUUUGGGCCUUGCUGUUUUUACUCAAGGCAACCCGUGCCUUCCUUUUUUUUUUCACGGCACCCAUGCCCAAAUUAUUUUGGGGCAUUUUUCAACCCACAAGCUAUUAUUCUAGCAUUCGAAAAUAAUUUAACCUGUAUGUUAAUAUUAUUUAGCUUCUACAAUCGACCAUGUAUGGCCCGAUUUAUUGAAUUAAUUAAAAGUGACCUGCAGUCCAUUAAUCUGAUAAUGAAUCCAAAAUUAUUGACCUGAAGAUCACUUUUGAACAUUAACAAUUCAAUAAUUUAUUUCUCUUCUUUGAACCGUCAUAUACUUUCGUAGAAACGAAGCUCUCACACUUGAGUUCCCGAAGACAACUCAAAUCCACUACACUAAGUUAGUAUAUUGCAUUCUGAGUUUCUUGCAGGAACCUCUCUUUUAUGAACUAAAUGUUCAUAAACUAAAUCGAACCUGUAGUUUCGAAUUUAGUGCCUUUGAAACCAAAAGUUUUCAUAAAACAAUACACCCAUGAAAACCCGACGAUUUUCAUGAAAACCAUUUCUUAGAACUCGAAUGUUCUAACUUUGAUGCUUAUGGAUGAUUCAUUCCCAUACCACCAAUCACAAGUUUGAUUUUCCUGAUUUGGACGUUUCCAAUAGAAACCACUUUAUGUGGGGUACAAGAUGUGAAUCUCCACAUGACUAUUAAGAAGCUGAGAAAUCAUUAAAGCCAACAAUGGCAUGGAAGAGCUGAAUAAGCCUCUGCCAUGAUCUUCAUUCGAAGACUUAUGCUCAAAGCAUUACAAAUGGAAGUACCUCCCGAACGAGGAUUCCAUGGCUCUUUGGCUUGCUUCUACGGACCGUCUAAUCAUGAAAGAUAUUGCCCAAAGCAAACCAUGAUUACGUCCAUGAAUGAUACAAUUCUGAAGUUUAUAAAUCCGAUCGAAUUUUGACUGGAGAAUACUUUUAUCGUCAUUCCUUGUUUCUAACUCGCCCCUGAAGCAGCAGUGUAGAUAGCAGAAGUUUAUCAAAUUCUCAGAUCUGAUUACUACCACAAACGUGAGAGAAAGGUAUGGACCCAGUUUGGUCAAAGCCUACUAAAUGGUGAUGCACUGCUUCGGCAAGGAUACACUGAAUGGCAUACUCUCUCACAAUCCAAUUUUGAGUUUGUUUUGACAAACAUAUGGUAGAAUCAGGGUCUGCCAAGGUGUGGCAUCAUGCCCGACGCGUGAUCCUUGGCACCCAAGACCUAAAACUUCAAGAAUACGGGAUAAUAUUCCCAAACCUUAACCCUGCAAAAUCUACUUCUGUCUUGAUGGAAUAGACCAUUGGUUAUGCACCUGUUCGUGCCCUUACCAAUGUUGUUGAGGAGUACCAUUCUAGUACUCAAUAUGUGAGAUUGAUUUUGCUCCACUGAAUAUCGUUGGAAUAGCAAAAUUGUGACAUGAAUGGCCUUGUUGGCCGAAUCCACCAAAGUAACUUUGGUUUACUUUGUGAACAUUUUUCCAUGUUCUUGGAUUCAAGUUUGGUGUAUGUUUUACUUAUGGAUAAUCUUAUUGAUAUUGUCCUCACAUAUGAGUUAAUUGAAUCAUGUUUCUUGAAUACAUGUGACCAAUUCAAUUGACCACGUGAUUAGGUGGGAAUGUGGGAAAGUUAGUUGUCUGGAUGAAUGCAUACUACGCACACUAACUUUACACCUAAAUCACAUCUCUAACAACGACUUCAGGUAUAUCCAACCUGAUUAAGAGUAUUUGGCACGCUCCUCGUUAUAUGAAUGGUACUACAUCACCAUUUAAAGGACCUUAAAUUUUCCCUGACAUUGAGUUUUUAAGGAUAUUCGAGAUGACAAUGAUCAUAAAUGAAACCACUGAAGAAAAUAGAGUGAAAUAUCUUUGCACCACCUCCAAAAAAAAAAACACUGAGCCUAAAGCUUUCAUUUGGAGCCAAUGGGUUGUCUCCCAACUGGGAAUACACCACAUGUGGCCGGCCUAGAGCUGGGUGAUUGAGCAGUUUACUUGAUUUGGCACGACCUUUUGGGACAUUUAGGUCGAACAAUGAUGCUACAACACAUCUCCUUACCCGAAGUAAGGAUCUUAUGCCUACAAGCACACUUUACCAAGCAUGCUCAUUAGGGAAAUUGAUUUUCUAAAUCAUUCCUAGCAAAGAUACGAAACAACUCCAUUUUCGUAGUGGAUUCAAGGGAAUAUAUGUGGACUAAUCCAACCAAAACGUGGACCAUAUAAAUACUUAUGGUUUUGGUUGAUGAAUCGACAAACUGGUCACAUGUUUAUCCACACACAUUGAUGCUAAACCUCUGGGCCGAUUAUGGGUUAACCACCCUACUUAUCCCUAAAGGUCCCGGAGACUGGAUAAUGCCGGAGUGUUUACAUCGACGGUUUUCGAUAAAGUAUUGCAUGUAUUUUGGGUUUCUAAUUGAACAUCGAAUUCCCAUGUUCACCCCAAAUAGCCUCGCCUAGUGAUCAUAAAGCGCAAUUUAAAUGAUCGCCCGAAUUUUGGUAAACGUACCAAGUUUUCAGUUUCUGCCUAGGGCUAUGCAAUCUUUGUACGCAGUUAUGUUGGUUUUCCUUGAGGCCCAUUGCCACCCAACCUAUAUGACGUUACAGUUGGUUACUGGGUACGAACCUGACGAUUUUCGUAUUUAUGCAUUUGGGUGUGCAUUCCAUGUGCCAAGUUGUGCCGCCGCAACAUACCACUUUGGGUCCUCAAAGAAGGAUGGGAAUCUUUUGUCGAUCAUGAUUCUCCUUCACACUAGCUCUAUUCGAGCCCUUGCACGCGAUCUCUUUAUCGCUCAUUUGCGGGUUAUCACUUUAAUGAAACCGUCUUCCCGCCGUUAGGGGGAGAUAAGAACGUCAACAUUCCUGUAGAACGGUGCGAAUUUGCGUGAACAUUGCCCACUAUGUCUCAUCUCGAUCCCCAUACCGCACAAGUGUGAUAAGCAAGUGCGAUGAAUUCUAGAUUUCAGAAUGUUGCUUCAGAUGCAUUUAUUUGAUCUAGCUAAAGUGACGAGAUCAUAUACAAGCUGCAAACAUGCCUGCAAGGAUAAACGUACUUAACAGACGUCGAGUCAACAUCCCUGGAUGGUGUGCCGUCCUUGUUGGACGGUUUGGACGCUCCUGUUGAACGGUCCGGUACACCGACGGAUAACCAAUCAAUCUGUCUUAGCCUGGAGCAUGACAGAUCAUUCGGUUCGUAGGAUUCACUUCCCUAGAAGAGGAAGACACGGCACAAUAAUGAAUCUAAACUCGAUCGUUGUCGCAAAUCAUUUCCAUCUCAUGAGAUUAAUCCAGAUUACUCCCGAGACUUGAAGUUCUUGGUCCAGUAUACUAGUUUGGAUGAGAAAAUGGAAUUGAAAUGAGAUUAUCAUCGAUGAUGUUUUCACUUAUAUGGUAGCUACCGACAUAAAUGAAAAGCGACGAUAUCAAACUGUGUUCCGUUGAUUAAGUGACAACGUAGAACUGAUUAGAUAACUAAAGUUACAAUCCAGGUCAAAUUCCUUACCAAAAUGUGUAUUGGACCUGUCGUUCCUACACUGCCCAAGGUAACUCCGUUGUGUUACAAAUGGGAAAGGAAGCGUUAUGAGAUGAAUGAAAUAGUGCGAUAUGAUGCACACCUUACGGCGCAAGGUUUCUCUCAAACGUCAUGUGAUUAAUAGCAGCAUUAUGAAAUGUGGUUAGUGUUUCUCCAUGGGGAUAUUGAUACGGAGAAUAACAUGUAAGUUCCCGAAGAAUUACAUGGAUUGGUUUAAAUAGUUCCAAAACCACGGAACACCCUCUUAACUUGUUUGAGACGUUCACUUACAAUUCGACAGAUAUGGUAUACCCGUCUUAAGUGAUUAUUUGAUCAUUCAGGGAUGAAUUAUGCCCUUGCGAGUUAAACUAUGAAGUCUUAUUCCAAAUUGCUAGAGUUACAGUUUAUGUCGUUAAACACGAAUCUCACUAAGACUCUAGAAGAGCUUGAGAAACUGACUCGCGCCUGAAGAUGGAAUUUGAGAUGAAGGAUCUUGGGAAAACUCACUUGCCUUGACUUGAAGUUAAAGCAUUAUUCUGACGGUAUUUUGGUCUACAAGUCGAACUACACCCCGAAUGUGUCACCUUUGAGUAUACCUUUGAUCGUCCACACGUUAUAUGUAAAUGAAACCCUUGAAGAGGUUAUGGAAUCCGAAAUUCCUUAUCUAAGUUCAACUUUGCGCUUCAUUGUACUUAGCUCAUUGUAUUUAGACAAGACAUAUCCUUCACUGUUAAUCUUGGUAAAGAUACAGCACCGCGCCUACACGCAACCACUGAAUUGGUAUUAAAGACAUACCCUGAAGGUAUUACAUGGGCAAAUCCCAACGCAUCUCAGCGGAUCCAACCUUGUUUGUUAUGCUGACGCUGGUUACUUAUCAAACUCACACAAGGCAAAAUCCCCAAAUGGUUAUGUCUUUACCAUUAGGGAUAUCACAAUAUCUUGGAGGUCCACGAUAUAACCUUAGUUGCAAAAUCUUUGAAUCUUUCCAAGACUCACCUCACUUCACUACGCCACAAGUGAGACAUGGUUAGGAGUUCUUGUUGAGCAUAUUCGAAGUACUUGCUAUUUUUCAUCUAUCGUUGAGUCCCAAUAACGAUCCAUGAAGAUUAUGCCACAUGUAUCAACCCGACCAAACCAUGAUACAUCAACGAAGUCAACGCCAAGACAUAUUGCGUCUACAUCUACAUCAGUAAAGCAUCAAGAGAUUGAAGUCAUGCAAACCGAUCCCAAACAACCUUGCCGACCGCUACACGACGUCACUGCCGAAGUCAACCUUCUGAGGAAUUGGUAUGCCUAAUUAUUUGAGUUGAAUCGCUUGUAGUUCUCUUAUUUAGAAGUUAUGUCUAACUCAGGGGAGUAUCUAGAAGUAUACUCACAUGAUCUUAAUGUACUAUUUUUCCCUUCGAUUAGGAGCAUUUUUCCCAAUGAGUUUUUGCUACCUAACUAGGUUUUAACGAGGCACCCAUCCUGGGAUAAUCAUACUCCGUUAAGUUCACUACCUUCAUCCAGUUUGACGAUUGUUUUAGACAUUAUGCAUAUUUUCUUAUUUUUCUCCUUAGUCUAUGGGUUUUCCCCAUUCCUUGGGUUUUACCAUAGCGAGGUUUUUGUGAGUUUUUACAAAUGCAUACUUCAAAUUAAAUUUGAGACUCGCGAUCACCCGUUGUGCCGAUGACUUCAUCAACUAUUCUACCUUAUCUGCUGAAGAUCUGAUAUGAUGGUUUGUUGAGUAUUUACACACUCAAGGGGGAGUGUUGCAAUCAUAUUUAGAAUAUGAAUGUGAUUGUGUAAAUCCUAGGAAAUCUGGGAAUGUAUCUUAUAUUCCUAUUAGGAUUAGAUUACCUAUUAAAUGUUGUAAUCCUAAAGGGAAAGGUUUUACCCUUCCUACUACUAUAAAUAAAGGCACAAUGGGGUGGAAUAACACACACCUCACAAUUACACAUCUCUCUAUUUCUCUCUAUCCAUGCCGCACCCCUUUCUCUCUAUAGCCUCCAUAAUUGUUCAGUAAAUUAUGUCUACAACACUAUUUUUAUUUUACAUAGUUUUUUAAUUGUAAUUAUCACUUUUUAUUUGUUUACAUAGUUUUUGAAUUAUAAUUAUCACUUUUUAUUUGUUUUGGUCAAAUCGCAAUGAAGACAAAACCAAAUUUGGGUGUUUAGGGUGGUCACGAAAGCAAUGGAGGUCUCCUUGCCUCCCUCCACAUUUGGUAGAUUUUAUUUAUCAUUAUUUGUAACAAUCAUGUCAUUUAUUGAUUGAAAUUUCUCCGCAUCACUUUUAAUUAGGACUAUUGGAUGUUAUAGGAUUUAAAAGUUAAACAAAAGUGUAGUAUUUCAAAUAUACUAAUAAAUAAUAAAUUAUGAAAGAAAUAUUUUUGUUGCAAUCAAUAAUCAAUAGAGUAAUAAAUAAUAAGUAAUAUAAUGAUUCUAACUAUAUUAAAAAAAAAACAUAAAAACAUCCACCACCGGCCGAUGGCGUGGUGAAUUUUCAAAAGGCGGUGUGGUCAUUUGAAGUAACCACUAUAAGCAUAUCACGUGGUGGUUUUGAUAUUCCAUCACGGGAUUAAAAACCGUUGUAGUUUAUUCACUUUUAACAACAGGCCAGAAUAUGACCGUGGUGGAUUAAUGUUAUCUACCACAAGCUACACUUGACCGUGGUAAUUGAAUAGUUUCUACCACGAGUUGUUGAUGCCCGUGAUCGAAUGGACGUGGUAAAUAUGUUGUUAUGUACUAUAGUGAGUAAACAGAAUUAUUUGUACUAAUUCUUCUUCUUCUAUUUGAAUUUUGAAGAAAAAGAGUGAGAAUGGAAGGCAGUUCCCAAUUUUAUUUAGCAGCUGAUACCUAACAUUUCGAGGUUGUUUCUAAUUUCCAACCGUUGGCCCUGCAUAUAUAUAUAAAUAAUGCUAGCCAGACCAAAUCUUUUUCACCAAAUUAUGUAGUUGUAGAUGAUUGGAUUAUUAAUUAAGUAUCCAUUAACGCGCUUGUAUUGGUGAGACAUCAUUUGUUAAAAAUUUGGUCUCCUAGCAUUACCCUAUAUAUAUAUAUAUAUAUAUAUAUUUCAAUGGUCAUCGUGAAACAAAAUAUAUUACAAUUAGGGUUCUGACAUUUGCACUGCCACGUGUCUGUUUGAUCCAUAGAUUCGUAUGUAUAAAUCACUCUAAUUUUGCGAUUAGAAGCUUAACAUAAUCUGGCAGGAUGGAUUUCAGACUGUUUGAGGCUUCUCAAACAGGAGAUAACCAGCUCUUGCACCAGUUGCUAGCAGAGAAUCCACUUCUACUCCAUGACCUUGCCCUAACUUCCACCGAGAACCCGCUACAUGUCGCUUCGUUUGCCGGACAUGUCGAAUUCGUUAAGGAGAUUGUGAAGUUGAAACCAGCUUUUGUGUUAGAAAUGAACCAGGAUGGGUUUGGCCCCAUGCACAUCGCGUCAGCCAACGGUUACUUGGAGAUUGUAAGGGAGCUGCUGAGAGUUGACCCGAGACUCUGCCGGAUGAACGGAAGAGAUGGAUGGACUCCUCUUCAUUGUGCUGCUGCUAAGGGAAGGGCUGAUGUUGUCGGAGAAAUGGUUUUGACCUGCCCGGAAAGUGUCGAAGAUGUGACUCUACAAGGGGAGACUUCCUUGCAUCUUGCUGUUAAGAACUGCCAGUUUGAAGCAGUUAAACUGUUGGUUGAAUUGGUCAGGGAACUGAGGAAGGUGAACGUUUUGAAUAUGAAGGACAAACAUGGUAAUUCAGUUCUUCACCUAGCAACCUGGAAGAAACUGCACGAGGUUAGUACAAUCUGAUCAACUAGGUUAUCUUUGACUCUUUGGCAAAGUGAUAUUUUAAGGAAAAAAUUUCAUUUAACCUCAUUCUCCGCCCAAUAUACUCUCUACGUCUAUUUUAUUUUUAGACUAUUAAUAUUUCUUUAAAACUCUAAUUUACUACCUAAAUUAUCCUCUCAAUUUAAUAUGUGAAUUUAUCUUUACGCUCAUUUAAAAAUAAAAUCCAAAAUCAAAACAUAUGUUCUCUCCUCCCAGUAGGUUCAUCGUCUUUUCUUUCAAUUCUUUAUUAUUUAAUAGAAACCAAAGUUAAUAAGAAUUGGUGAGAAUAAAUUUAUCAUUUAGGUUUACAGAAAGAUGGCCAUGCUUUUUGUGAUUAUCAUGUUGGAAAAGCUUGAUAAUACCCUUUUUGCCCACUUUCUGAUGCUUUUAUGUACAUUAUUUGGGGCGUUAGAAAUUUAUAUGGAACGAAGAUUGGGCGGCCCGACUUGGUCGUCUCUCAAACUAUUAAAUCGAAAACAAAUCAAUAAAACACAUAUAUAAAUCGAUUCAUUCUUCAAAAAAAGCUUGUUGAGUGCUUAAGGUUUAAGCCAAAAUAGGACGUUAGUAAAAGAUUGCGUGAUGAUAAAGGUUUAAUUAUUAGGUAUGAGUUUAUUGAUAAAUUUUAAUUUUCUUGUUAUUUCAUUUUGUACUUGAUAGUAAUUAUAUAAUAGCUUAAAAAGCCAAUUCACAUCUGAAGUUUAAGUUGAGUGUAGAGGUUAAAUGGAUUUAAAUAAAAGUUCUCCAUUUUAAAUUACUUUAGUUCACGAAGUAAAGAUUCAAACUUAAAUACAAAAGAGCGGUCACAUUGUCUUGAACAACAGAUCUAACUCAUAAAUCCUAGCCUCCCCUUCGAAUUUGAAACAAAAUGUAUUCAAACCUAGAAAUGUUGACUUUAUUAUUUUACUAAUGCUAUCAAUUUGUUAAAGAUAUACUAAGUUAUUUGAAAGAAAAAAAGAUAUACUAAGUUAUUUCAUAAAUUUUGACCAAAUCCAACCUUAUCAACAAAUUAUGAGCCAUUGUUAAAAGAUGAAAGAUACGGAAGGAAAUACAAUAAAGUUUGGUCAUAGCACAAAAGCAGAUGUUGUUAGAAUAAUUGAUCAUAGCAUUGUUUGGAUCAUUUCCUUGCACUCGAGUUCGAAUCUCUAUACUUAAAAAUAUUAGUAGUUUAAAAUACUGUUUGAAAAAAAAAUGUAAUAUAAAAAGCUGAGAAUCUUCGUAGGUUGUGGAGUGGUUAGUUGGCAAUGGAACUACUCCAAGCGCAUUGGAAGUAAACAUUGUAAACCAGGGUGGUCUCACACCUCUUGAUCUUCUACUAGUCUUCCCGAGUGAAGCCGGUGAUAGGGAAAUCGAAGAGAUCCUUCGUAGUGCCGGAGCUUCGAGAGCACAAGACAUAAACCAUACUCCCUCUCAUUGCCCCAUGGAAACCAAUACCCUUCAGCUGCAGCAGCCAAAAAACUUGAUGGAAUACUUCAAGUUCAAAAAGGGCAGAGACUCUCCUAGUGAUGCCCGCACUGCGCUACUAGUUAUCUCUGUACUAGUGGCUACCGCCACCUUUCAAGUUGGACUCAGCCCUCCGAAUGGCAUUUGGCAGGACAGCUCCGGAUCAAACAAUAAUGGAGCUGGCAGUGGGAGCAAUGAACCAGCUGCACACUUAGCAGGGAAGUCCAUCAUGGGUUCUAACAAUGCAGUUGCAUUUGUCUUCUUUGUGGCUUUCAACUCGAUUGGAUUUUCACUUUCACUUUACAUGAUCAAUGUCCUCACCAGCAACUUCCCUCUGCAGUUGGAGCUUCAAAUCUGUAUCGUUGCGGUCUACUGCACGUACAACUUUGCAGUUACCAGCAUUGCACCGGAUAACACGAAGCUCAUCAUAAUUGUGGUCACUUCAGUUUUGCCUACUUUGGUUUCACUUGCUGUCCCAUGCGCUAGACAGCUUAUCAUGAUCAGGGUUAGAGAACCUGUGCUAAAUUGGACUCGAAGGUUCAUUUUACAAUAGCUGUACACUAUGUCUAUUUCCGGGAUCAUAUCAUCGUUGGCGCAUUCAUCAUAGAAGCUCCAGCUUCAUAUCCAAGUCACAAUCGUUACUAUCAUCAAUACAGUUAAUAUAUUUACUAUAUAUUACGAAAUUUCUGGUGUAAAAACUUAUAUGAUGAUGUGUUAAGAAUUCAAUAAGAAAACAGUAAACAGAAUUAUUUGUACUAAUUCUUGUUCUAUUUGAUUCAUGAUGGUGUUUGUUCUAUAAGUCGACAUCCUUGCCAAUCGUAAUUGAGACUGUCGUUAAUUAAUAUUUAUGGCAGAAAGUUUUACAUAAUGAUCAUCUUUCCACAUUUAUCACAAUGGCUAGCUAUUUUCAAUCACAAUGACUUGUACUGCUCGAUCAGAUGAGAAGCAUGGAGGCGCGACGUAGGAGCCACAGUGCAGCCCAAACUCUGCUGAGAGCAACUCCACCCUUGGAGCCAUUCCCCUGGCAAUCCAUUAUUGAAUCCACCAUAUUGAACAGUAACUGCCUUUAAUGAAUAGUAACUACCAUUAAUGAAUAGUAAUUACAUUUUGCAUCUCCACCCUUGGAGCCCUCCCCCUGGCAAUAGGUAAUAAAAUAAUAGUUUUUUUGUUUGUUUAAAUAAUAUAAAAUAAAAAAACACAGGGAAAUGGGCUGUAGGGCCUUGGGCUGACACAAAAAACAAUAAAAAAAUGUCUUGGCCCUCGGUCUGCAGGCUUGUCAACAAUCCACUCCCCUUGUGCUCGGGCUCCCACCCUCACUCGGGCCCUCCAUGGCUGGAGAAGAAUCAACUGGCCCUCGGGCCCCUUCCUGCAGCCCGUCCCCCGAGCAAAUGAGAAGGCUGGAGUUGCUCUGAUAAGAAAUCUAGAAAUCAACACUAGAAACAUGUUUAUUUGGCCUCCUGAACAUCCUAGAAACCAACAUGUGCACGAGGAAAUGCUCCUGAGAGCAUAUACAUGCAUGUGGACUUACGGCACUGACAAUUGAAUAUGAUCUACAAACAAUGAUUGGAGCAAAUACAUAUAUAAAUUCCCCAAUGUUUCAUUAAUGGAAGUUCUAGAAUUGAUGUAUCAAAUGUCCUACGUUGAGACGGCGAUCAGGCAAGGUGUUCUAGAAUUUGGCUCAGAAGUCGAAUCAUAAGAAUUUCAAACAAAAAGCAACGGUUGCUUUACAAAACCGACCUAUAAAAGGUACAACAGAAAACAUAAACAGUAAUCAGAACAUCAAGCAUCACCAUUCACAUUGCCUCCAAUUCAAAGUUGUCUAAAGGAAAAACAGUAGAGUUCUCAUCUAUCGUCAAUUAUUAUUACGGUUAUUGGUAUUUUCUCCAGUUGUAGGAAAUAGUUUUUAGGUUUGAUUUCUGUCCGUAGCGAGUUUUAUACCAAAUUAUUGUGGCAUGUUCAUUUUGUGGCUUAACCCAAAUUCUCCAUCCCAUAAUGUAUAGGCGGCCUAAUAUUUUUAAGAAUACUGUUUCGAAAAUGACCAUAUGCAAUUACACUUGCCUCUAUUGCUACGAUGGAUAUAGAAAAUAAAAAUAAUUUGAAAGAGAGUUGUACACAACUCACUCUGCAAUUAGAUUUGACGAUAGACUAAACUGCCGAUUUUCUCCUGAACUUUCACUUAGCUUUCGAUUUUGCUGCUAAACUUUUUAAUUGGAAAAUCAAGAACUUAAACUUCUUUUCUUUUCUUUUUUUUUCCCAAUUUCCUCCUACCGUUAGUUUUUUUUUUUUAUAGAUUUCAUCCAAAUUAAUGUUAACUCUUAUCAUGUGCACACCACGUGACUCUCCUAGGGUUAUCAAUUAUUUUAAAGACUACCCUCAGAUGUUGUGCGCAUCAGAAAUUUGGAUGAAAAUAAUGAAAAACUAACAUCAGGGGGAAAUCGGUCAAACAAAUUAGUUUGAGUCCUUAAUUUUCCAAUUGAAAGGUUUCUGAAGAAAAUCGAAAGAUAAGUAAAAGUUCAGAAGAAAAAUCGACAAUUUAUUCUUCAACGUAAAUACCAAAUUAGACUUGUUUAGCCCACCUUUUCUAUCCCUUUUAAUGUAAAUUUGUGGUUGUAAUUAAAAAAAAGUUCACAAUUUGAAAGUGUUGUUGGGUGAACCAUUAUCUCCAGCCUUCUACAGUCUACUUGCCGACAGUUUUUUUUUUUUUAAAUGAUAAAUUUUGUUAGAUUAGUUAUCAAAUGGUUCAAACAUCCGCUAUUAUACAAGAACUUAACACAUUUUCACUAAUACAAUACAAUAUAGAUUUUUUAGUACUUCUAAAAUAUAAAAUAGUGGACAUGUUAUUAUAUAAGUAGAACACCAAGAAAAUAACUUUGCCCAAGUUAAGCACGACGAACUGGUUCACUUUUUGCGCGAGAGAGAAAUGGAGGCCCUGAUCGCCUCGUACGGAAACUCGUCGUCGGCCUCAGGCUCCAAGUCGCCGGUUCCACCUUCAGAUCUGAACAACUCUCAAAACCCGGCCCCAGCUCGGCCUCUGCCACCUCUACCACUUCGCGAAAGCCCCAAUUCCUCAGGUAACCUCCAAUUCCCAUCAACUUUCUCUCUUUUUUUACUUUCUAUUGAGAUAGCUUUCUGCCAACCAAGUGUUUGGUCCUCCGAAGGAUUUCUGGACUUGUCACUAAGCGAUCGGCCGAGCAGAGUCAGGAACUUCCCUCACGUCAAGGGGAACUACGUAGUAUAUGUAUACAUCCCAGGUAAUCAAAUUCUCGAAUUUUCAGCUGGAUUAGCAAAAAUGCGAUCGCUUUGCAGUUAGAUUUGCUUGUUCGUACUUUCAGUUUAUAUACCGCCAGCACCGAGGAAAGAGAUGGCCUUGUUUUUUAACAAGCUAGCUUCGCUGGUGCCUGGUCUCCAUGCCGUUGACGUUAACGUCCCGUUUGACAUUCUGCGGAAUGACAAGCACAAGCUCGAACAAGUUGCUUUAGGUAGAAAAUUGCAUAUAAGUCUGGGAAGAACUGUCCAGGUUCAGGUACACCAGAUUGAUUCCUUGGUGACAAUGCUGCGGCAGAAGCUUCAGAAUCAGAGGCGGUAUGGUUACAUUUACAUGAACUUUAGUACUGUUAUUUAACACAGUGCUGCAAGCCUGCAACUUUUUUUGUACCCAAUUGUCAAUUUUUGGUUUUCAGUACAAUUUAUUGUUGUGAAACAGAUAUUGGAUUGAUUUUAGCAAAUGGGAAGUUUUUGUUAACGAUGAUCGGACCCGGACAUUUGUGUCGAUAGAAGUCACUGAUGCUGGGUUAGCUGAGGUAUGAUUUAGUAACUGUCUAAUUUCAUGGGUUUUGAAACUUCGAUAUCUGCUUAUUAGCUUACGGAUUGUUCAGUGCUAGAUACACUUGUAACACGAAAAGUGAAAAUGGACAAGAAUGUCUGAUAUAUUCAUGGUUCUCAUGCUGGUUGGUCCGGCAUAAAUUAUGCGCCAAAUUAUUAUGGGAGAGUAAGCCUUCACUAUGUGCAAUGAAACAUAAGAAAGCUUAAACCAUAGUUAGCUAUAGCUUCUAGUCAAAUUUAGUUUAGUGUAAGGUCUGUUGGGACGAGCAACAAAAGGGAACAAAAUAUUGGGGGAUCUGAUUCACCUCUGAUAUGCUGGAGGAGUAAAAGGAGAGAACUAGUAAAGGCUUGUAACAAGUUGGGUGACUCCUCAUAUUGCCUGUUGGUUUUACGGUGGAAGACUUGGAACCCCAACUUUCUUCAGGGUAUCAGAGAAGGUUGGCCCACAUGUGAAGCCCAACGGUCACACAUGAUUUACUUCACCCAAUUUGUGUUGUCCAUAUGUUUGGCUUUAAAAUUGGCCACACGUUAGGGAGCAUGUGAGGGUGGGAAGGUAAAAGAAUCUUACAUUGGUAAAAGAAGAAACCUAGCAAGGGCUUAUAAGGAGUUGGACGACUCCAUGUUGCCACUUGGUUUAGUGGAACCCCAACUUCCUUCAAUAACAUGGUUACUCGAAGCAUACUUGUUUUUCGUAUUAAUACAUGCUUGAGUUAGGUUUCAUUGUCAAAUCACUGCCGUCACAGUGCUAUAAGUCUGAGAGUUCUCAAUUUCUAUUGAUUUCAGAUAACAAAGCAGAUUCAAGCUGUCAAUGAGGUGUAUAAGCUUCACAAUCUUCCUGAAUUUUACAAGGUUAGCAUUUUUGUGCUUUACCGAUCUCGAGCAAUAAUUGGAGCAAAUGAAUGUGCAUGAAUAUUACUCAGAAAACUAAUUCACUUCAUGGGGUGUCGUUCAUCGCAGGUUCCACGCCCUCAUAUAUCGGUAGCUUGGGCAUUGGGUGACAUAAGCAAUUCCCUGAAGAAAGUGUUUGAAGGAGAAAGAAGAAGAUCUGCAGUUGGAAGAUCAUUACAGAAAAGUAUUUUUACCAGUAAAUUCAACGGCAUCGAAUGUAGGAUUGGGAAUAAAAUACACAAAAUAUGUAAAUUUUCUGAAGAAUAAUGUAAUUGUUAAGUUGUUAACUAUAUACUGAAAUAUGUGUGAAACUAUCAGAGUAUUGAAUAUGAAUGAAACGUAGCACUUUCAAGUACUACUCCUCGUUUUUGUAUACGAUUUCAGCUUCACCUCUACCUGCAGAGGUUCUUUGCUGGUAUUGUUAACGACCUCCCCAAUGGCCAUUUCGACAAUGUAUUGGUUGUAGAUCCUCGCGUACUUGAGGCGAAGAGUGACAUUACUGAUCCUCCUUCAAAGAAAAUUUCUCUUCCACCUCCAGGUAUGCCGCUCUGUCGACAGUGGAGGCGUUGGCAUUGAGACCGCUUGUAAUUUUGUUGGUGGCGGUAAAUCUCCUGCAUGUUGCGGAGAGCAAUGGUGCCACCACCAAGCCUUACAGGCCAGAACAACGUGUUGGAGUCGUUGAUGGUGGAGUCAUCCGAGUCAGCUAAAAAUCCAGUUAUUCUUGGUGAGCCGUCAAAAUUUACCUGUGGAGAUGGACUUUAUGCGGAGGCUGCCGUCGGCGUUGGUGAAGACUUGGUUCCCCUUCCCCACCGUUGGAUCUUCAAGGUCAAUGGAUUCAAACAGCAGGUGCGGGUGUUGGUCGAUCAGGCGGGGUGCUGAGGUAGUUUGUAGUUACCGUUAUGGCCCUUGAACGCCACAUCCAAUCCAUGACCGUGAACGCAUACCAGGCCAGGCGAGGACAGACAAUGCCGGUCGUGGAACGUAUGUACUAUUCGCUCUCUAUUUCGAACUUUGCGUAAUGGCUCCCGGCCUUCGCUCUGGUGAAUUUUAGAAACCCCUGGAGCUGUCAAUCCAUCCAAAUCUCCAUCAUAUGCGUAGCGCAAGUUUUUGCUGUGUCGGCAUUUUCAUUCUCUUCGAGCAACAAAAGGAAAAAGGGGAAGAUGUUGCACAAAGCAAGAAACCUUUAAAUUUAUUAAGAUGUCUAGCCAUUUUCCUGAACAAUUGAUGUAUAAACAAGUUCUUGGUUACAUAACAACUCAGGAGAGGAUGUAUGUAUUGCAUUGCAUCAAAAGAGAGGAGAAAAAAUAAAAAGUUUCUAAGUGGUAAGGGAACGACUAAUGACGGCGUUGCACUUCUAAUCAAAGGGAUCGAUCCGAGGGUCGUGUUCACUUGCCAUCGCCAUUCCAGUGCAAAGGCAUGUAGGGCACAUUACCUGCCAAAUUACAGACACAAUGUAAGCAAUAGUUGACGUUUGGAAAUCACCUCUCAAAAAUUUGCUACCAAAUUAUCCUAAACUUCAUUUCCGGUGCAAUUUUUUUCUUCCAAAAUGUUUUUCGCGUGCCCAACAAACACUAGUAUCCUUCACCAAACAUGCGAGUCAGCUAUUCCAACGUAUACGAUGAGCCAAGUACAACUAGGCGGCAGGCAAGAAGGGAAAUUUAGUAUGCAAUAAACAUUCAAUGACAUUUUUAUGUAUCUAACCUUUCCCGCUCCAGAGCAGUUUGAACAUCUUUCGGUUUUAGGCAGUGAGAGGGGCUGACUUCUGCCAUCAACUGUUGAUACUGGUUCAGUAAGAACAAGGGUUCCAGUGCUUGAGCAGCGAGCACAAGCAAGAUAUCCUGCAUAAGUAUCGAAUACACAGAUCAAGAAUAUAAAGAAGGUAGACUAGACACUAACAGGUAGCGAAUUCAAAGCAAUUAACCGUAAUGGACAUAUUCUGGCUCAAGAUGCAACCCUACAUUUUGUAGAUUCAUUUGGUCCAACCCCAGUCGUUGACAUGUGAAACCAAUACAAACAUCUCCAUCUUAUAUAUUUAAAGCUAUAGCAAAACAUAUAACUAAAAGUGAGAAAUAUAGGACAUUAUCGUACCAGUUCCAAUACAAUAUUUGCAUCUUUUUUGCUCCUGCUGUUUCACAUUGUUUAUUUCAACUACCAUCAAUGCUGAGAUCACUCCAACUGCUCCUCCUGAGAAUGACGCCACGAUGGGAUCAACUUGGCUGCAGUUUGAAAGGAUAGCAGAUCAAUAAGUGAAACUGGUAACAACAUAGUAUCAACAUCAUUUAGCUGCUUCAUGUCAAGAUAGAUGACAUCCUACAUUUUCCAAUGUGUAAAACUUUGAGGAUUCUCAUAAAAUUUGACUAUAUCGGUUCUCAAAAGUAAAAUUUAGUACUUUUGGUUCCUACAUUACAGACAGAAAGUAGGAACUAUUGAACUUAAAGAUUCAUAUCAAGAUAGAUUAUACAAAAUUUCAAAACAAUAAUUACUAGAGAACGGGAGGGUUAAAAGCCCGAAAUACGAGCCAUACCUCAACUGCAACGGCAGAUGCAUAUUUACUAUAAAAUCUUUAUAUGAUGUGCCUCCUAUCCCCAGCUUCAACUCCAGCUGGAAGACGUAAAGAUAAUUGUAGGCAAAGAGUUAGAAACAUAACCGAAUCCAGACUAUACUUAUUUGAUAAGUUUCCUCAUUUUCUUGAAAAUUGAGAAACAUAUAGUCAGACCAGUAAAAGAAAACCAGAAAACGUUGGCUAACAUACUCUCUGAGACAAAUGUAAUGUUUAUGAAUAACGGUUAAAACUAAUUACAAAAUGCAUAACGAACUUACAGAGGGUGAUAUGAGGCCACCGAAAAGUAUAAAUCCCGCAAUAAUUGAAUAACAGACUGCAUAAUACUGCUUAAGGUUUUCUGAACUCUGCAAGCAAUGCAUUCACAAUUUUUUUAUGAAUCAACUAAAGGCUACCUAAAAAUGUCGGGGAAAUGAAAUAGCCAAGGUUAAUGAAACAGUGAAACCCUUAUUAACCAUGAACAUACAUGUCUUCAUAGGGGCAAGCAGCUUACCAGGGGAGGCAAAAUGGAAUGAAAGACGGAAAACUAGGAAGUUCGUUUUCUUGGUCUAACGUUCCAAGCUCUGCGCUUUUGAUCCUUUGUUGUAUCCGCAGCCUGCGAACCUACACAGAUUGAAGCUUAUAAAGCAACCAACAUACUCACGAUUUCACAAAUCACAUUUCUGGCAAGAAAAAUUAUAACGAGUCUGUCUGAAAUGGCAAUCAUAUGCAACAACAAGCUAAUACGAAGAAAGUGGGCUCACCUCUUCCAUAUGCAAGAAAAUCUUGUUUCGUCGGCUUCGAAUAUUAUCUUUGAUCUCCUGCAACUCCAUUUUGGCAAAGUCCUGCACCAUUUCAGGCCCCUCUAUAAUACAAAAUCUGCAUAAUUAAGCAUGUAAAAUAAGAUUGAAUAAUUACAAGCUUUUGACAAAAAAUAAAAAACUAAAAAAAUAAAAAUUACAGGCUACAAAGCAAUCCGUAUCAUUGUUGGGGUUAAUUAAGAUCAACAGAAAAUAAAUCACAUGGGUUUUUCACAGAAAGUUACAAACUUUUGAAGACCAGUAAACCGUCUGCAAUCAGAUAAAUUUCAAAGUGCAAAGUAACAAACCAAAGCUUGGAACUUUGAAUUUCCACUUUCUGUAAAUUUCCCAGAGUGAGAGUGAGAGAGAGUACCCGGCGGGGUUUGUAUCGCCGGCGGGAUUAGGAUCAGAGUCGACAGACGGACCGAAAGAAGAGGAAUCGGGGUCGGACGCCAUCGCCAUGGAUCUCCAUUUGGAGGUGCUUGAUUUGGGGCUUCUUGCGUAGCUGAAUCCGGAGCAGCUAGAGCUAUGCAAUUUGUACGGGCAGUAACGAUUCGGCGGGAAAGAAACGGCCAAAAGUCGGCCGGAACAGAGCAUCUCUCUCUGUCUGUAAAACACCAGGUAGCAGAGCUCUCUGUUUAUCUGAAAAAUUGCGAUCGUACAAAUGGAGACGAUCACAAAAGCAAAUCUUGAAGCACUGCUAAUGUGCAGAACACUCGUCAAUUACCUAACACUAGGAGAAGUAGUAGGGGAGAGAGAUGGUUCGAUCGGCAAAAGAACAAAUAAUGGAGGGAAGUGGGUGAUUCUUGUUUCUCUCAGGUUUUUUUUUAAUUUAUUACUUUAUUUUAUUUUAGAAAACUUAAUUUUUAGUGGAUCUAGUUUCGUUAGAUUCGAGUUAGUUCAUGGUUGUAGUACGCUUCAGUGCAUAUUAAAACAUUACAAUCUAAUGAUCUCCGAUGAUCCCACUAAUAACGUUAUUUGAGACAUUGUCCUAAAAAUCUUCAUCUUGUGCCGCUUGGGUCCCAUUUAAGUGCUAGAUGGCUGGCAGUUACUCGAAUUAUUUUCUAGAUGUUUGAAAAUUAAAAAAUUAUGCUUAGACUUACUUACGCGUCCGUCUAGACCCGUUUAGACAUUUUUUUAGGUCGGUUAGACCCCACCUAAGUCGUCUAGACUCGCGAUUCUCACUUAAAUAGAAAUUCGACAACGUUCAUUUUUUUUUGUUUAGUAAAUUGUAGGAUGCUUAGGAUGCUUAUUGAAUGUCGGCUAGCCUUACCCCCAUUUAUGGAGAGGCUGGGUUCGAGACUUGGGAGCAGCCUCUCCAUAAAUGGGGGUAAGGCUAGCCGACAUUCACCUCUCCCAGACCCUGCGUAAAGCGGGAGCCUUGUGCACUGAGUACGACCUUUUUUUAGUAAAUUGUAGGAUGCUUAUUGAAUACUUGGAUAAAUACUCAUUAUAUGUUUGUUUCCUAUAUUUUCAAAAUAUUCAUUUUAUUUUACAAUUUUAUAUAUCCCCAAAUAAUUAUGUAUUUUUAAAUAUAAAUAAAUAUUUAUUAAUACAAUAUAUAAUAAAUUUAAUUAAAUCAAUCUGCAUAGAAACCCGCAUAGCAGUCUAGCUACUAUAUUCCAGCUCACCGCCUAAUUACCGUUUAACGUUUUUUAAAUACUUGAUUUGAGAGUUUGACUUGUCUCAUGCAAACAAUUGUACGUUCUACUUAUACAAAUUCUUUGCAUUUUUUCUCUAUUCUAUUGAGUGAACAUAACAUGCUAUAAAUUUCGUUAAAUUCCAAGAGAUUUCCCAAUGGGGCAAUUUCCUAUUUAUUUUAAGAGAAAUACUUAAGAGAUUCGCUUAAAAGUGAGACUUUUUAUAGAUUCUCUGUCAUUUUAUAUUUUUUACACAAUAUUUUAUAACGUUGUAUAGAGUCUUAUUUUAAGAAAAUCUCUCAAACAUUUCUCUUAUUUUAAACAAGAAAGAAAGUGACAAAACAUGAGAAAUCAAUCAUUUUCGUUAUCUAAUAGUGUCUCUAUUUUUCUCUGGUGUUGUGUGUAUCGUGUAACAAAAUGAAAACGACUAUCAUCAAUCAUCAUGGAUUCAUGGUUUUAUUCUCAUAUCCAUUAAAUGUGGAUAAAUAGAAAAAGGAGAUAAUUGUAAUUUUCAUUUUUUUAGAUAUUUGUAAUUAAAUUAGUCCAAUAUUUCAUGACCAUGGAAUAUUGUUUGGUCUCAAAUGCAAUUCCAUAAAUGUUGUCUUCAUCCUAGUCUUUUUCUGACUUUUGAGACCUUGGAUAGAACAUGGAAUUAAUAUAAAUCGGUUACAAACGCCAAAAAAGUCUCAUCAACAUUUGAAACAACGACGAAAGCAUUUAAAAAACCAAAAGAUAUGCCAGUUUUUCAACAAACGAUAUUAUGUUCUUAGAGAGGGGGUUAACUUAAUUUCAUAAUAAGUUAGAAGUAAUGUGGUUCAAAUCUUCUUUAAGUGAAAAUCGAACCUAAAACCUCUCUCACCAAAUUAUUGCCAUUUUGAGAUUAUGGCAAUAACUUGGUGGUGUUUGGUGAUUGGAUUUGAAAUCAAACUUUGGGUAAGGUACCACAUUUUGUGUUUUAAGUUUCGAGUCUCUAGUUAAUAAUUUCUGGUGUUCAAACAAUCGCCACAUCUGUUGAGAGCAUCCACUAAUUCGGAACUUAAUUUUAAAUUUGUGUUUUAAUUUAGAGAUGACUCUAACAAUCAACUAUUGACAAUUAGUUCUCUUUGUAUGAAUCUUAUUUUAAUGGGAGCUUGAUGAGUUAAUCCGCUAGCUAUCAUGGUGCGCACAUAAACAAUUAAUGUUUUACUAGAUGUCUAGACAAUUAAUGUGCCUCAUCGUAUUUUACAAAGAACAUCUAGCUCUAGGUCAAACUUUCGAGUCGAUUACACUUUUUUGGUCUAGGGUUCGACUCUUGGAUUUGAGUCAUGGGCAUGAGUUGCAAUUCUAUAGUCUUAGGUUUGAGGGGAAGAGAUCCUCUCCGGUCUCUCCCACCAAAGUCAUUCAAUCCAUUAAUCCGGAUUCUUGAAAUUUGACCCAACGACUACAAACUAGAUGUCACUUUAAAAAUUAUAAAAAUUUUACCGAUUUAAUGAAUGUACAUUACGUUUUUUAUUUUGUAAUAAUUCAUCAUAUUUUAUUCAACGACGGCAACUAACGACCCCAAAACGGCGGCUACUAGGGGUGGGUUCAAAAAACCGAAAACCAAACCGAACCGAAACCGAAAAAACCGAACCGAACGAAAAAACCGAACCGAAUUGAAAAAACCGAACCGAACCGAAUUCUUUUGGUUCGGUUCGGUUUUAGUGAUUUAGAAACCGAACUAAACCGAACCGAACCGAAUUAAUUAAAUUAAUUUUUUUUAUUUAAUUAUUUGUUUUGGGUAUUAUUUUCUAAACCCAAUUUGUAAGUUAAAAUGUGCUAAACCCAAUGUGUUGCCAAACUUUAAGCUCAAAAUAUUUAAAAAAUGCCUAUAAAAACUCUAAACCCUAACCUAUUAUUUAUCCCCCAUAUAAGGUUCCGGAACCAAAACUCCUCCAGAAGUACCUACAUCCAUCUCCAUAGCACUGCCUACUUCUGCCCUAGCAUUCUUUUCCAAAUCUACUCUCAUAUAACAUGUAACAGAAUCCAUAAACAUUUAUUUCGGGUAGAUUACUUGGGUAAUUUGUGAUGGAAAAGAAUCUAACACACACUAAAUAAAUCCACCCACGCAUUAUUUUUACUAAUCAAGUUGUCAACAUGCAAUUACAAGCAAACAACCUUGAUCUUUGAACAACAUCAUACAAUUUAACUUUUCUAAGUCAUUUGUACGAUUUUUGUGUUGUGAGGUUGUUAGUUUGGACUUUGGAAGACUUGAUUGAUGAUUUUAGUUCAAUUUUAAAUGUUUAUUUUCAUUGUCUUUGAUUCUAGUUAGAAUGCUUAUGUUAUGAUUGUGUUGGAUAUGUUAAAAUUUAAAAUUUCAAUGUUUUUCAUUUUUUGAAAAAAAAAACCAAAAAACCGAAACCGAACCGAAAAAAAAUGAACCGAACUGAACCGAAAUUUCGGUUUGGUUUUGGUUUUGGCAAAAAACCGAACCGAUUUAAACCGAACCCACCCCUAGCGGCUACGCUCCCUUUUGUUUUACAAACCCUAGCAAAACCUCCCCUUAGAGCAAUUCCACCCAUGGAGCCCUUCCCCCUGGCAAUCCACUAUUCAAUCCACCCUAUUAAACAGUAACUGCCUUAAAUGAAUAGUAACUACCAUUAAUGAACAGUAAUUGUCAUUUACAUCUCCACCCUUAGAACCCUCCCCUGGCAAUAAGCAAUUAAAAUAAUAGUUUUUGUUUGUUUAAAUAAUAAAAAACCCCCUCUCUCUCUCCUCUCUCUGACACAAAAAACAUAAAAUAUUGCAAAGCCCUCGGGCCACAGGCCCGUCGACUCCCCACCCCCCCCCUUCGCUCGGGCUCCCACCCUCACUCGGGCCCUUCCCCGCUGGAGCUGCUCCCACUGGCCCUCAGGCCCUUUCUCCUCCCCUGUCGCCCGAGCAACCAGCAUCCGCUGGAGUUGCUCUUAUAAAUACCAUCACAUCCGCCGCAGGAGCCAUCAGAUGCUCCUUUAUCUUCACUUUCACACACUAAUCCUCUCACAUAGACGGUAGGGAAUCCAGUUGCUUCUCCAUUCCGGAAAGCUUUCCUUGUCCAUAUUUUUACACCAUCGCCUCUGUUUUUUUAUUUAUUUACUUAAUAAUUUGAGUAAUUUCAUUUAUCCCUGCUAUAUUUCAGAUAUUCAGCUUGUAUUUUAUCAAAAAAAUAAAAAACUCACAGUCUAUGGGUUUUUUUUUUUUAAUUAUUAGAUGAGGCAGGUGAUGAUUUAUACAUAUUUUGCUACAUUUCUUGAUUGUCUCAUAUUGUUGAGAUAGUGAAAAAACUCAAAUGUAUCUGAGGCCGGCCUUCCUCUUGGGAAGAAGAACAACCUUUUAUUUUUUAUGUUAUUUUAAUUUUGGAUUAAAUGUGAUAACUUGUAUUAAAAUAUACAAAAUCCAUGUAUUUUCAUAAAAAUCAAAAAUAAAUAAAUGGUUAAGAAGAACUGCAAUGAGCUACACCUCUGAUGGAUUGUUAAAGUUGAGAAAAAAAUAACAUUUUUAAAAAACUCGUUGUGCACAUAUUGGAUAAUGGUGGUCCUUUUCACACUUUUUUUUUUAUCUUUUAUAUAUCCAUUUCAAUUUUUGUCAAUAUGAUCAUAUGAACUAAAAAAAUAUUAAAAGACAAAAGUUAAUAAGGAGUGUAUAGAAAGUAAAAAUAAGAGCGUGGAUAACCACUCAUUGGACAAACACACAAUGGGUGAACUACCAACAUAUAGAAAAGAAUUUUUUAUGAGAUUUUUUCCGAUGCUUCAAUUAAAAUGUCUGCAAUCAUAUAGAAAGGAGAAUGGAUAGAGAUCUCAUCUAUAUAAUAAAAGUUGGAUAGAUGAACUGAAAUAGUGCAUUGGAUGUAUAGUGCGACCUACGUAUACCAUUAAAAUUCAAAGAAAAUUUUCAUAGGACGAUAAUAAGGCCAACAAUACUUAUGACACAUAAUGUUGGGUCAAGCAUCAAUACAUGCAAAAAUUAAGGUGUAGCAGAGAUGAGAAUUAUUUGUUGGAUGUAUGGACCCACGAGAAAGGACAUGAAAGUAAUUAGAAUAUCCAAGAUAAAGUAGGAGUAUUCGCAGUUGAUGAUAAGAUGAGAGAAAAUCAGUUAAGCUGAUUUGAACACGUGAACCGAAUACUAUAGAUGCUUGGUUAGAAUAUGUGAUUAUGGACAGAGAAUCAGACAGAAGUGGUAGAGGGAAAACUAAGAGUACUUGGAAAGAGAUUUUAAAAAUAAAUAUAGAGUGUUUGAAGCUAACGAAAAACUUAACGCAAAAUCUAAAGCGAUUACGUUCUAAAAUUCAUAAAAACAACCCUACUUAAUGAAGUAAUGCCUUGUUAUUAUCGUAUACUGAAUAUAACUUGAAACUGCCUCAAAAGAAUUGUAACGUGUUUUAUGAAAAAUGCUAUGAAUACCAUGAAUCAGUAUCUUGAGUUCUCACGUUUACUGUUUUACGUUGACUGUAUUGUUGGAACUUGCACCCACCCCCCAACAGAAAAAAAAAAUUUAACGCAUCCAUGUUAACGUGUCACAGAUGGGUCCAACCAUUAACAACGCGAAGCCACAAGCUCCAACAGGAACACUAAAUUCUGCCAUAUCUACUUUCCAUCAAUUGUCGAAACAUGCAAUCACCAUCUUCGUUACCAACUUGAAUAUCCAUCCCAUCGUUUCGUCUCUAUCAUUCACAGAUUUAACACUUCUUCUGGUUCAAACCACAAUUCUCUUAUACAUGAUUGUACUCUUUUUUAUUUAUUUUUUGAUAAAUGAAUGAUUAUUUUAAAAGAAAAUCAAAAAAUGCAACAAACAACAAGAAGGCAGCAAAGCCAAGCUAAAAACCAAAAAACACGUAAUGCUGUAAACAACUGCAGCAACCUAACCUAACAACCAGUAACAAGGGGAGAACAAUUCUCCAUUCUUUAAAAAAAGGCACGUUUGCAGUAUAGAGAGCGAAAUAUGCAAAGAACAUAACUCCAAACGUAUAGAGUUCACAAUUAUUUUAAAGACAACAAUGGAGUUGAUGUGCUCAUUUUUUGAAUUUCAGGUUGGGUAGCUCUCUUAUGCACAUUUGAAUUAUUAUGUCAGAUGUAGGGCGUUGCGACCAUUAAUUUUUUUUCUGAGCAGGCAUGAUCGCAGUUGUUGCACUUCUUACCACCUCAACAUUUACACAAACUAAUAGCAACAAUUUUAAAGUACUAGGACUAGUACUGCGGUAGUUGAUGAUAAUAUAUAAAUAUAUACAGGAUUAAAGAUAUGGUGACACACUUUUAUCACGUUUUCAUACACAUUUUAUAGGAUUCACUUCAUGAUGUAUUUUAACAAUUUGAACUAGUCUAUAUUUUAGUGCAUCAUUCAUAAAUGUUUACGAAAAAUUAGACAAAUACGGUUUCUACAAAUAAACAUUAAAUUUAAAGGAAAACUAAUGAAAAUGGCUUGAAAACUUUGAGUUUUAAUGAUAAGGACAAAAUAAAGGGUAAAGUGAAUAGUACCAGGUUUGACUUUUUAGUGUAAAAAUGUGGUUUUUCGUUAAAGUGAACAGUACCGUGGGCUUUUCGUUAAAACUCCCUAAAUUUAAUCCAAUUGUCAUUUAAUUUUCUAAUUUGAAUGAUUUUUUGUAGACAUAUCUUGAGAUAAGACAUAAAAGAUAAAAGUUUGGAUCUUUGAAGUAUAUUCAGUGUUUAAUAUAUUCGUAUCGACAGAAAUAUCGAUGUGCAAAUUUACGAAAAUAUCGAUCAAAUAUUUUGUAAAAAAUAAAUAUGUGAUAUGUGAUAAGGAAAACUUCUUUCUAAUGACAAGCAAUAAAAUAAAGCAUUCCACUGGAACGAAUAUGUAACAAAAUGCUCAAUUAGUGUAUAAUAAAUAACAUAUACAAAGUUGAUGGUCCUGCCAAGGAUUAAUGAGUAAAUUGUAGUAAUGGUUCCUCAACUUUAAUCAAAUUGAAGCAAUGGUCCCUCAACUAAAAAUUCAUUAUCAUUGGUCCCUCAACUUAUCAAAAUGUGUAGCUAUAGUCAUUUUCAUCAAUUUCGUCAAAAUUUUGUCAAAAUAAGUUAUGUUGGAAUAACCAUUUAUAUAAUUAGGGUUACUCAACUUAUCAAAGUGUGUAAUUAUGGUCAUUUUCGUCAACUACAUAAAAAAUUUUGUCAAAAUGAGUUAUGUUGGAAUGACCAUUGCUACAAUUGGGUUAAAGUUAAUGGACUAUUUCUCAAGUUGAAUUAAAGUUGAGGGACCAAUGAUAAUGAAUUUUUAGUUGAGGAACCAUAGUUGCACGUUUUGAUGAGUUGAGGGACCAAUGGUAAUGAAUUUUUAGUUGAGGGAUCAUUGCUCCAAUUAAGUUAAAGUUAAAGAACAAUAGCUACAAUUUACUCACGAUUAAUUGGCGUCCAUAGAAAUUUCAUGAUAUCAACUUAAAAUAGAUACAACAUUAUGUCUUGCUUUUUAAUAUCAAAGUACUAUUUACCCAAGAUCACUCAUUUGGUCUCCGGUAUAUAUAUCUAGACUUAAGUGACGAGAACGAUAAAGUCACGGUGUUUUAAUAUUAUCACUCGGCAUCGUGUGCUUUAAUUUUUUUUUAUAUAUAGCAUCACUUGAUCGGUGAGACACCACUAUUGUUAUCAUCAUUUUAUACAAGUUAUUCUCGUAUAUCUGAUCCAAAUUUCAAAAAAAUCAAUAUUCAAUAUUCUCAACGAGAGAAACUUUGAUAAGUUGUUGAUCGAUGCUAGGAAGAUUAAAUUUGUAAACUAAAUGACAUGAAACUUGACCAUUGGAUUAUUGAUUUAGCAUUAAUAAACGCGCUCAUUUCCUAUUGAUGACACAUCAUUUAGUUUGCAAAUUUUGUCUACAAAUUUAAUCUCUAUAGUAUUACCCAUACAUGAACUAGGAGUAUAUCAAUUUAUGUUCCUUAUUUAAUACGAAGGGGAGACUAAAUUUGUAGAUUAAAUAUGCAGACGAAAUGAUGUGUCACCAAUACGAAAUAAGCACAUUAAUAAGCACUUAAGUAAUAAUCAAAUCAUCAACUUUCAUCGUUUAGUUUACAAAAUUUAGUCUCCAUAACAUUACCCUUAAUAUGAAACAUGAACCAAAACCAAAACAAUGAACUUUACCUAUAAUUACUUAAUUAGUAUAAUGCUAGUGAGACUAAAGUGGGUAACUAACAUGUUCUAAGGCUGCUCCCAUAUGAAUGUUUAACAAAGCAACACACUUAUCUUGAACACACUAACAAAUUGAUUGAUAUCAUUGCAUCCCAUAAAUAUGUUUGUCCAAGAAUGAUGAAGCUUUGUUCAUUCUUGAGAUUACCAUUUCAUUUACUUUGCAUUUUUGAAUAGUCUUUUACUUCGUUCUUUUUUUAUUUCCUACAAUUGUAAUCACAAUCAACAAACAAGACAAAGGUAAAUAAUAUUAGGACCAGACUGUAAAGUCCUAAUGCAUUGUAGUCACCUCUCUAACGCAUUUUUUCAAGUAGUUGGAGGACAUAUAUGAAUGGCAACUCCAACCUUCAAAGAGAUAGUACCCAAGUCAUUCAUGGAGACUCACCGAAGUUCGAAAUGUCAGAUGACCCUCUUUGUCCCUAAGUCGGUCUGUCCCUGCUUAAGGUAUAUAUGUUUGGGUGAAAGAUUUUCAAGUCCCAAACAAUUGAGCUCAAAUUAUUAAGGAAUAAAUUACUAAAAUUAGAUAAGAGAAAUGAAAAAUAUCUUUCAUGAGCAUUUACAAAAGGAUAUGAGAGAAAUUUACCAAUUCCUUACUCGUUGUGACUUGUGAUCCUUCGCUCAAACAUAACCAUAGUGUUUUAUGGAAUUAACAGGUUAUCCACGUAAGAAGUUGACUGAACUCUGAACUAAGAGAAAAUUUUUAUAUGUUCAGAACACAAGUGAUACAUCAUCUGUUAUUAUAUAACUGAUGAAAAAUUUCAUUUUUAAGUAUUGUUAAUUUUUUAAUAUAAAUAUAUCAUAAAUUAUAUAGUAAUACGUGAUAUACCAUCGUAUUUCUGGUACAUUAAAAGAUUUCGCCCGAACCAAGUUAAAUUAGCACAUUACCAAGUUAUGACUGUUUCACCAGCCCUCCCCCAGCUAAUCAAAUUCAUUGCUCUGUCAGUAAAACAAGCCAUUUGCAGAAGAAAACGUGACUGUUUUGACCAGUUGAAGCGCAAGCAGGUUGCAAAAGAUGAGUAGGUGAAUCAAUAAAUGUUCCAACAGUUAAUGCUUUUAUGGUGUAAAAUUAAAUUACCCAUAUAUUAGGGUUAAGAAGAUAAGAAAACUAAUAAAAAUGAUUUGAAAACUUUGAGUUUUAAUGAUAAAAAUAAAAUAAAAGGUAAAAUGAAUAGUGUCAAUAUUGAUUUUUUAGUGUAAAAUGUGAUUUUUCGUUAAAAUGAAAAGUACUGGAAACUUUUCGUUAAAGUUCCGAAGAAAGAUCAAAUCCAUAGCUUUCAAGCCCACGCAUCUCUCUAUAUAGUACUCAGCAACUUCAUCACCUUAAUCAUUCCUCUCGUUUUUGCUUUUAAAUUUGUAUUGGUUCUAGAGAGAAAGUUGGUAAGCUAAGCUAAGGUUAUAAUAUUAUCCAUGGAGGGGGUGAUGAUGGACGUCGUUCUGGUGUGUUUGGGGCUUAUCUUUUUCCGGCUAUGGUGGCGCUACUGGUCAGUUACUGGUGGCGGGCCUAAAAACCUGCCGCCGGGGCCGCCAGGGUGGCCGAUAGUGGGAAACCUAAUCCAAGUCAUCCUCCAACGGCGGCACUUCAUCUACGUCGUCCGCGACUUACGUGCAAAGUACGGACCAAUCUUCACCAUGCAGAUGGGGCAGCGGACUCUCAUAAUCGUCACCAGCUCCGACCUCAUACACGAGGCCCUCGUCCAGAGAGGUCCCGAGUUCGCGUCCCGGCCUGCUGAUUCCCCCAUCCGCCUCCUGUUCAGCGUCGGAAAGUGUGCCAUCAACUCGGCAGAGUACGGUCCUUUCUGGCGUACCUUGCGGAGAAACUUCGUCACCGAGCUGAUCAACCCGGCGAGGAUAAGGCAGUAUAGCUGGAUCAGACACUGGGCUAUCAAAUCCCACAUGGACAGGCUGAUAAAGUCCGAAGAUAGCAUCGUUCAUGUGAUGAGCGAGUGCCGGCUCACCAUCUGUAGUAUCCUUAUAUGCUUGUGCUUUGGGGCGAAGAUCUCCGAUGAGAAGAUCAAGACGAUCGAGAGCGUGUUGAAAGACGUUAUGAUGAUGACAACUCCAAAGCUCCCCGAUUUCCUGCCGGUGCUGACUCCAUUGUUUCGCCGGCAAGUCAGGGAAGCAAAGGAGCUGAGGAGGAGGCAGUUGGAGUGUUUGGUUCCACUCGUUAGAGACAGAAAAGCAUUUGUUCUUGAAAGUGAUAAUGUUAAGGAUGAAAACGUAAAAAAGAUAAUGGUGAGUCCAAAGGGUGCUGCUUAUAUUGACUCCUUGUUUGAGCUGGAGGUGCCGGUGAGAGGGAAAGACCGAGGCCGCAGGCGGUUGGAAGAGGAGGAGCUCGUGACUCUUGUCUCCGAAGUCAUCAAUGCCGGGACGGAUACUAGUGCUACGGCGUUAGAGUGGGCUUUGCUUCAUUUGGUGAUGGACCAAAAAAUUCAAGAGAAGCUGUACAGGGAAAUCGUUGAUUGUGUAGGGACAGAUCGCAGUCCCUACACAAAUGAACAAAAGCCGCACGAAGAGGUGAUCACUGAGAGUGACGUGGAAAAAAUGAGCUACCUUUCCGCGGUGGUGAAAGAAACAUUCCGGCGGCACCCCCCGAGCCACUUCGUCCUGUCACACGCAGCCUUGGAGAACACGGAGCUCGGCGGAUACACUGUGCCCGCAGAUGCGAGCGUGGAGUUUUACACUGCAUGGGUGACUGAAGAUCCCGAUAUGUGGGAGGACCCGGGUGAGUUCCGACCGGAGAGGUUCUUGGAGGGAGGAGACGGGGUUGACGUGGACGUGACCGGGACCAAAGGGGUGAAGAUGGUGCCGUUUGGAGCUGGCAGGCGGAUCUGCCCCGCGUGGACGUUAGGGACUUUGCAUAUCAACUUGCUGCUUGCUCGGAUGGUGCAUGCUUUUAAAUGGUUGCCGGUUCCAGAUGCGCCACCGGACCCGACUGAGACGUUUGCUUUUACAGUUGUCAUGAAGAACCCUCUCAAGGCCAUCAUUGUGCCUAGGUCGUUAAUGUCAUCCACCAAGAUCUAAUGUUUCAAGACCAGGAUUAAUUAGCUUGGUUUAUAUUAAUUAAUUAUAGUUAUUAUAAGGCAGGGUUGUUUACUGUUAGUUUAUUCUUAAUUAUGCUCUAAUUUAUGAGAAAAAACUGUACAAGUUGGAAUUAUAAUUUAUAAGUUAAGGACUAUAUAUAAGACGCACUACAAAAAAAAGGGCCUUUUGCGACGGUCAAAACGUGUCGCAAAAGUAGCUAAAAGCGUCGCAAUAGCCCUUUUAUGACGAGCAUGCGACGGAAAAUAACGCGUCGCAACAACUAGGCGUCGUAAAUGUUGGUCGAUUAUAUGCGAUGCUUUAAGCACGUCGCAAAUAUUAUUUACUACAGACUUGCGACGGCAAACUAAACGUCGCAAAUAAUUGGCAACAGGUUUAAAAAAAAAAUUAUUUGGCGUCAAAUGAGACGCCACAAUGACAUUAUUUUGAGUAACUUCACCAAAAUUGUUAAAUGUAAAAUUUACUACAGGUUCCAAACUAAAAUAAAAUCCAACAUCAUUGAUACAAUUCAUAAUUCACAAAAUGAAACACUUAUUUGGAAUCUUUGAUAUCAAAUAAUGUAUUAAACUUACAGUAAUUAAACAUAAAUACAUGAUCUAAACAUUUAUAUAGUCUAUAAUCCUAUGUCAGACCUGUGCUUCUAUGUCGAACCUAGCAAGAGAUCCCCUUGAGUGUUUUUCCUUCUAAACUUUAUGCCUCUCCCCUUCAUAUUACAAUACAAACCUCAUCAACAUUUACUUCAGAUUGAAAUCGAAGCUUGGGUCGUGAAUGAAAGUAGAAGGCGCCAAAGGUGAGGUAAGAGUGCGAGACGCCGUUUAUUUAGUUAGCAAGAUGGAACAAUCUAAUGGAUUUGUUUCUUCACUUUGUUCCUCCCGUUGAUCAAACUAGGCAAGAUGUACCAACCAGGCCACACCAGGCCCUUUGAAUUGUAAACAUCAAGUUCAACAGGGGAAUCUCCUGCUGGGACUGAACAUCACAAACAGAUAAAUGUCAAGCAGAAAACAACCAUUGUUUCCGGAUUUCAUCUCAUGCAUGUAAACCACUAAUGACAAACACAAGACCCUAGUCAUGACAUACUUGGCUCUUGUUGUACUCAAACUCAAUAAUAUGCAGACAAUCUUCGAUUCCAACUUCCAUCUGCAAAGGCAAUAAAAUUAUAGGAAGAUCCAUUGAGGGAGGACUAACAAUGGGGUGGCUGUUAGAUAAUAAAAAGUGUGCAUGAUGCUCAAAAGAUCCUGGUAUUCCAAGAGAGAGAGAUUACCACAAAAUCCUGGUAUUCCACUAUGCUACUACCAUAACCACAACUACACUAGUGUAGCAAAAUCUAAAAGCUGCCAAUAGAUAUUUACUUCAAGUCUUCGAUAAACAAUUAAGAAUGAAAAUAUAAGUAACUAUCAAUGUCUUAAGAGUUACCUAAGUCUCACAUUCCCGUUCUAAGUCUCAUAUGACAUCUCAACUGUAGAAAACUCAAAAGGAUAUGUUUUCCUUUCAUAUAUCUGUCCAGGAACAUCAAGUUCCUUUCAUAUAUCUAUCUUUCUUUAUUUCUAAUGUAAAGGGUUGGUAAUUAUAAACAAAGAAUCAAAAUCAAUAGUUUAAAAAACCGAGUAGAAACUAUACAAAGCUAAUGAAAUGAAGCCAAAACAAACUCACCAAGGGAAGUAAAGUCAUAAAAGUUGCCUCUGUCAAAGUACAUCUCUGCAACAUAAAGUCUAUUAGAAUGCUAGGGUAAGAAUAAAAAUCCUAAGAAAUGCUAUUGACCAAGAAGCAAGGAAAAAUAAUUACAGGCAGGAGUUGGUUGAUUAGCAUGUAAUGAACCAAAAAACAAAUCUCAUGCUAUUAUUUUCACACUAAACAAAAAGCAAAUACUUAAAGAGUGGCUUCAACACUCUCUACUGUAACUCUGUCAUCAGUUAAAUCCAAGUCCAGAUAGGGAAAACUAAGCUGCAACAGCAUACGAACGAAAAACUCAGAUUAAAUAAAAUCAAAUUCGACAACAAAAGUAUCAAUAAACUUAAAAUCACUCUGAAAUGAAUCUUCACACAUCGUUAGCUGUUUCCAUAUGAUCCUCGUCAUUUCAUCAGAUAAUUGACAAAAUAAUACCAUAAUUAAUAGAGUACAGAAUCACAACAUCAUCAAUUACAAAAACUGGCUCCAAUUACAAAAAUCCUCCAACAAUAUUAACAAUUAGUGAUGAAGUAAAACGCAGCAAAAAACUGAAAACCCCUAAACAACCAGAGAGCUUAUGGAGAAUAGAUAGGAUUGAAAUUUGCAGAAAAAUGAUGAAACAAUACCCAGAAAAAACAAUUGGAAGAUAAUUCCUCGAAUAAUCUUACCCGAAUGGGAAGAGAUGACGUUGAAUUCGACUUUCUAGUAGCAAAAAGAAAGAACGGAUAGAUGAGAACAAAAUUAGGGAUAGUGAAAGGGGUAUUUGAGAGAGGGAACAAGAACCAUGAAUUCUUACCUGGUUCAAUUGCGUCUCAACAUCAGGAUUAUGGCGAGAGUGGCAGAGAAGGAUUUAAGCUUUGAAAAGAGGCAGAGAGGCAGAGAUGCAAAGAGCGAGAAGGAGAGAGGCGGAGAGCGAGAGGGAGACUCGAGCGUACUGAGUCUCAUUUUUUAACUUUUUUCCUCUUCUCUUUUACUUGUUCACGCAUGCGACGGAACUCAAUGGGGUCGUAAAUAACAAAGCGCCAAAGUUAACCGCGCAGAAAAUUAGUGAAAUUCGUAUUUAUUACGACGGCCGCGUCAUGCGUCGCAAAAGAAGUGUCGCAAAUACCGUGUUUUCUUGUAGUGACGGACGUGAUAUGAUGAAUUGGUAUUCUUAUUAAUAUUCAAUUCGUAUGUUUUCUUGUCUCUGAUAAACAUUAAACAAAAUCCUAUGUUUUCUUUUGCACUUGCAAGCUAAAGUGAGACAAUCUUAGUAGAUUCAGAGCCCUUUUAAGUUGUAACAGUGUUGUCUCUCCAUGCUUUUUCAUUUAAAAACUAGGGUAAUAUUAGGAAAAUUAAAUUUUUAGAUAAAAUUUUGUAAAUUAAAUGGCAUGGAAGUUGAUGAUUGAAGUAUGAUUUAAGCGUUGAUACUCAUGCUCAUUCCUAUUCGUGACACAUUAUUUAGUUAGCAUAAUUAUUCUAAAAAUUUAGUUUUCCUAUUAUCCUUAGAAACUAUAGCUGCUUAGCAUUUACGGGUAACAAAGUUACUUUGUGAAUUUGGUAGUGCAAUGAAAUAGGAAUGUUGAGAGGAAUGAAUCGAACGCGGAACUUUGAAUGCAUGAGUUUAUGUGUUUAUUUAACAAAGUUACAUGUUAUUUUCAGCAAAGAAAUAGGAAGUAUUAAAAAGGGGUAAUUCAUACCAACCUAAUAUUUUAAGUGAUUGUAAAUCAGACAACCUAAUAUUUUGAGUGAUUGUAAAUCAGACUCAGGGCUAGUUUGGUAUUGCUGUGUUUUUAAAAAAAAUUGUUUUUACUGUGAUGUGAGAAUAAAAGGUUGUAAAAUAAAGCAGAUAAGUGUUUGAUAAACAUUUUUUUUUUAAAAAGUGCUUUAACGAAAAAAGUAGUAUUCAAGUGUUUGGUAACUUUUAUAUAAAAAUGAUGUGCAUAUGUUAAAUGACUAAAAAGAGUAUAAUAUUAUAUUAAACAUUACAAUAAUUUAAAUUUUUUCUCUUAUAAUUUUAUUUAUUUAUAAUCUCUCCUACGUUCACUCUCUCUCAUCUCCCUCAUUUUCCCUGCUGCUCAUCCUCCUUCAUCUCAACUUCACUGGAUCUUCGAGCGUCAACGUCUCCGACCACACCUUUGAGGACAAACAUAUUUGUUGAGGUAUAAAAUUAAAUAAAUGGUUUGUUUAUUGGGUUUUAAAUUAGGGUUUGUUAUUGAAUUUGAUGAAUUUAUUUGUGUCGUGCAAAUAAGAUUGGUUGGCAUCUUAUUAAUUUAUUGGGUGUUAAUUUGGUGAAUUCCUUGCGGAUGAGAAUCAUCAUUCAUGCUACUGGAGAAAUCAUCGGUCCUUUUAUCACUGUAAGCAUUUCCGUCAAUUAAAUUAAUUUAUGGGUUAUUUUUUAAGUUUAUUAUACUAUUUAAUGUCGCAUUUGAUCGUGUGUAGGAUCUGAAAGGAGGAGAGGGAUAAUCAUUGGUGCAGUGGUGGUCGAUGUCGAGCGGGAGGAGGAGGGACGACGACAAUCCUAGGGAUUUGAUGCGGGGGGAGAACGAGGGAAUAGGAAAGAGAUCCGUUGUUUUAGGGACAAGGAUUGUCAUUCUGUAAAACUAACGAGGGUGUUAUUGGAGUUUAGAAAGUUCCAUUAACAUUGCACUGUAGCUCUACAUGUUUUGAAAAAAAAAAAGCUGUUUUUUCAAAACUAUGAUUUGCAGCUUCAGGAUUUUGGCUUUUUUCCACCCUCAAUGGUGAAAAAAAACGCUGAUUUUAGUGUGUUUACCAAACACUAAAAAGGCCCUAACUUUUUUUCAUACUUGCUUUUUUUAUAAUUUCAGCUGUGCCAAACUGGUACUCAAUCUUUUAGUAUUCAAGUGCAACGAGCCAAGCUUGAAAAAGGUUAAGGUUACACUAAAUAACUGUGCCAAACCAAGAGGUUUUAAAGUUAUUAAAAGGGAUGCAAACAAUAUGGAUAAUGCUUAUAUGUUCCUCCCGUGGAUACCUGCUUGUCCUCUACUAACAAUUAACGAAUCAUUACUGUUCGAACAUCAUAAUCGGAAUCAUUUUUUUUCUUUAUCAUGACCUAAAGGUCACAUAUGUUAAAAAAAGAAAAAUCAUUUAAUUUGAAGAUCCUUUAGUUAUACAUCUAUGUUAAACCAAUCAACGAUUUUGAUAACAAGUAACAUCCUCUUGAUAAACCGUUCAUUUUUUUAUGCAUAUUAAUAGUUAAAAGAUCUCCAUUUUGAAUAAUAUCUACAUAUAUAAUCUCUAAACGAUAAUAAAGAGAAUAACCAGUUCUUAUUAUAAUAUUCGAAAGAUAAAAACUCGUUAAUUAUAAAUGGAGAAUAAGCAAGUACCUCACGGAGGAAACACGAACAUUGUACGGACAAUAUAUUCUGCACAUUAGGCAUUUUUUGACAUUAUAUGGACAAAAAUCUAUUAAAUUUUUUUACUUGUUCAAAAAGUUGGAAAAAUAUAUCACCGAAACAUAAAAGUCCGGGAAAGAAAUGGUGGCCCAUUAAAGCCCAUUUGCUUUUCAAAACGAUAACUGUUCGAUUCAGUUGAUAAUAUAUAGGCCCAUUGAAAUCCCCGUGUUUCCCUCAAAACCCUAGCUCUCUCUAUCCCUAUAAAACCAUGGCGAACGCCCGCUUUCCAGUCAACCCAGCAACGCCUCCACCGCCAUUUUUAGCAGAAAUCCAAUUUGUGUUAGCAAAAGUUUAAGAGAGAGAGAGAAAGAGAUUGGCGGUGAUGACCCAAUGAAAUUCAAGCUCAACAGACCGGAUUGUAGGCCUUCUCUUUUCAAGAGAAGGUUUGCGUGUCGACAACCCCGCUGAACUGAGCCUUCUCUUUCUCCCUUCUUUUUUUCUUCAUUUUAUUUCCCUGAAAAUUUUGUGAUUUGGUUGUUUUUUAUUUGUAUUUAAUUUGUUUUCAAUUGUUUUUUAAUUAAAUUUAAUUUUGGUGGGAAGGUGAAGGAAAGGGGGAUUGCUAUGAGGAUACCAAGCUCCCUCUUCUGAUUAAGGUUGAGGAAACUUGCCGGCAGAAUCGAACCUAAAAAUUAUCAGCCACCACUGAGUAAUUCUCCCCUUUUUCCCACCUUAAUUAUUUCUUUUUUUUUUUUCUUUUUUUUAAUCAAAGUUUUGAUCUUUUUAUUUAUUUAUAGUAAUUGUGAAUUUAGUUGUGGUAAUGAUGGAUUGGGAUGAAGCAAUCAAAUUAUCCAACACUUGAUCUGAGAUAUUUGUUAUCGAGUGAUGCUAACUGAUAUACUUCUGAAUCUGAAUUAUUAAUUUAGAUUGUUUUAUUUUGUAUUUGUGAUGAAAAUUCGUCAGGUGAUGAAAAAUGGAAUAAUCUUAGGACACCUUCCUACACAGCAAUGAUCUUGCUGUGGAUGAGAACAACUUUCCAUUCUGAUGAUGAUUUGUUAUUUAAAUCUUGGAAGAAAAAUUUAAAUUCAUUUGUUUGUUUGUUUACGAUUUAAACUCACUUCACAAGCUUAAUCAAUUUUAAAACAUAAUACAAAAUAUUUGACAUUUAUUUCCUAUUUUUACCAUACAAAUGGAGAAGGCUAUCUCCAAAUAAUUGGUUGUUGUUAGGAUUUUGAAUUGUGUGUAUAGUGGACCGUUAGAUGUCAGGGUCUCAUCUUAUGACAGCGAAAUGUACCCGUUAGUUUGAUUGCUGCAAAAAUUGAUGGAAUAAUAAAAAAAUUGAAAUGGGCCACUUAGUACGGUAUUCUUUUUUACUUAUAAGAGCUUUUGGGUUUUUUUUUCGUUAAAUAAAAAUUUGAAUCACAUUAUUACUAGUUCAUUGUGAGGAUAAGUCUAUUUCAUUUUCUUAGUGUAGAUAAUAUUGUUUGUUCAAACAAAAAAAUAAAAUUUUUGAAACUGAGAGACUUUUGUAUCUCGGUUACAAAUUGCGAUUAUAGGAUGGGGACAGAAGAUAUGAAGAGACUUUAAGAAAAAACGUAGAGUGUUUGAAACUAACAAAAAAUUUGAUACAAAAUCAGGUUCAAUUGUGUAUGAAGAUUCUUACAACUACCUCUUUGUAGAGACUUUCAUGCUAAUGGUUUACCAAAGGCAUUAAUGCAAUGAAGAAAAUUUGAUGACAUAGUUAUAUCAUUGCUCACAUUACUAUUCAUCCAUUCAUGCUGUGCACUUCCUCUAUAAAAGGAAGUGUGUGUGGCAGCCAUUACAAUCAGUUUUUGCUUAAUCAUUCAUCCUCAUUUCAAUACAACAUUCAUCUAAACAUAUCAAUUCAUCUUCACAUCCAUUCCUCCAUACCACCAAAACAAAAUAUUCAAAUACUCACCAACACCUUGUGUCGUAGCAAAGGAAGGGAAGGAAAGUGCUUGGAUGUGCUUGCGAUCCAACUUGGAUCGUUUGAGCGUUUAUGUGUUUUCUUUUUUCUGUUUUCAAUGUCUUAAUUUGUUUAUCUUUGCUUUGUAAGUAUGAGGAACUAAACCUUCUUAGCUAGAGGGAAUUUGAAACCAUGUUCAUGCUUACAAUAUGAUUUGAUUACUUUUAGUUGUGAUUCAUAAGUUAUGAAUUCAAUUUACUUAUCCAUUUGAAUUAAAACUGAUUUGUGUGUGUUGGUUGAGAGUGGACACUUAAUUUUUAAGCAUAAAUCUGAUGCUAGGAUAUAAGAGAGUUUCAUCUAAUCGUUAUGAACUUAUAUUCACAAGUAGUGAAGGUUGCUCGUUACAACCGUAUUAAGUAAAUUCUUAGUAUAAGUUUCAUGCAAUUCAUAGUUACAAGUGUUUCGUCAAUACUUAUGAUUUUCAUAGAACUUAAUAAUUAUUGUUUGUAUCUCUAUUAUGCAAUUUAUGUAGGGAAUUUGUGGGGAAUGCUUUGGGUUGUUGUAUGCAAUCAUACAAUUCAAUGAAAUUAAGAAAAUCUGAGGGUUAAUUAGUGCAAUUCACAGUUAAUCUGGGGCGUUGAGAAUUCGUAGUUUAUUGAAAAGCAACUGGAAAUCGUUUUGUUUGCAAGUGCGUCAUGUGUGGAGAAGAACCUCAUAACUAGUCUUCUAUCCAUUCAAUUUACUCAAAUUCAUGCAAAUUUCAUUAGUUCUUUAAUUUACUUGUUUUGUUUUCAAAUUCGUCAAAACCGAAACCUCAUUUACCUUGUUGAGUCAUAUUAGUUAGUUACUGACCUUGUUUGUUUUCUUGUUUUAGAUACUAGUUUAUGACUUAGAGUUAUCAUUCGGUUCGUGAGCAUAUCUUGGAAUUUGAUGACAAUUUUGAGAGGACUUUGAGAAGGAAUAGGAAUCAGCAAGAUCGUAACCCACCUAUUCCUGAACCUGAGUUUGAAGAAUACUUGAAGAAGAAGAGGAAUAUCCCAACAUGGCAGCGGACAAUCGAACAAUCAAGAAGCUUUCCGCUUCGGGAUUGGACAAUGCCGCUCCCCUAUGCAUCCAGUACCCCAUGGCUACCCUAAGGAAGACGGACGAGUUCGAAUUGAAAUCAAGUUUGUUGCAUCACAUUCCUAAGUUCCACGGGAUGUCCAUGUAAGAUCCUAAUAAACACUUGAAGGAGUUUGAUGUUGUUUGUUCGAGUACGACUCUCGUGAAUGUUGAUAGAGCAUUUUGAAGAUGAAGGCCUUUCCAUUUUCUCUCUUGGACAAUGCUAAAGAUUGGUUGUAUGAACUAGCUCCCGAAACUGUCACAGCAUGGGAGAGUAUGAAAUGGGCGUUUUUGAAGAAGUUUUUCCUGACUUCUCGAGUCAUUCUUCUACGCAAAAGGAUUAGUGGCAUUUAGCAAAACCAAGGUGAAACCUUUUCAACUUAUUAUGAACGUUUUAAGACCCUUGUUGCUUCAUGUCCAUAUCACCAAAUGAAGGAGAAGCUUAUUCUUCAAUAUUUCUAAGAAGGGCUUCUACCAAUUGAACGCCAAAUGCUAGAUGCCUCGGCGGGAGGAGCUUUGGUGGACAAAACACCUAUGUUUGCCAAGACACUAAUCGCAAACCGUGCAUUGAAUGCACAACAAUACGAAGGCAUUGGGUAAAGGGACACCUCACGACAGCAAGUGAAUGAGGUAAGUUCCACAUCCGACAUUCAAUCGCAAUUAGCUAAUCUUACUUCCAUUGUGUCUCAGAUGGCCGAAGGAAUGAGGAUGAAAGAACCAAGUGUAUGUGGUGUGUGUUCUAUCCAAGGACUUGCUUUUGAAAAGUGCCCUCAAUUGAUUGAAAAUGGUGGAUGGGAAAGCGCUAAUGCAAUUGGAUUUCAAAGCCAAAACCAGCUAAGGAACGAUCCAUAUUCUAAUACGUACAAUCCAGGUUGGAGAAACCAUCCAAAUUUCAAGUGGAGGGAGCUCUAACAACCUCAACAACAAGGAGGCUUUAGGCAGCAACCUCUGGGCUUCUAUACCAAGCAAUAUGCACCAACACAAGCUUCACAACAACCUGCCCAAAACACCUCAAGUACAUCUUUUGAUAAUGACACACUUCUUAAGUUACUCACCAAUUUGUCUCAAGGGGCAAGAAAAUCAAGCCAUAACAAUGCAAAACCAAGACAAAAGAGUGGACCAAAUAGAGAAGCAAAUUGGGCAGAUUGCGGAGUUUGUGGGACAAUUCAGAGAGUAAGGUAAGUUGCCUAGUUCAACCGUUAUCAACCUGAAUGGAGGAUUUGAAUCUGCCAAAGCCAUGAGUUUGCGAGGUGGAAAACAAGUUGGAUAUGAUCCCCAAUCUUCCAAAUUACGUUCCAAUGAGGUUGAAAAGUUGAUAAUUGAAGAGGAUGAGCAAAGCACCCCCACGGCAAGGGUGGAAACACCUUUGCUACCGGCCCUAAAUGCUCUUAAACUAUCCAAUUCGGCUAACAAAGGUAAGGAAGUUCCAAUUUUGAUUAAAUUUAACGUUGUUCCUCCAAAUGUACCAUUUCCUCGUAGGUUUAUGCAAUCAAAGAAGGAGGAGACUGAAAAUGAUAUUUUGGAAACGUUUAAAAAAGUUCAAGUUAAUAUACCACUUUUGGAUGUAAUUAAGCAAGUUCCAAGGUAUGCCAAGUUUUUAAAAGAAUUUUGCACAACUAGGAAAAGAAUUUCGAGCAAGGAGGUUGUCAAGGUAAGUGAAAAUGUCUUAGCUGUUUUACAACGUAAACUACCCACUAAAUGAAAGGAUUCGGGUAGUUUUAUCAUUCCUUGUGUAAUUGGUAAUACUCGUUUUGAAUCUGCCAUGUUAGACUUAUGUGCAUCUAUAAAUGUCAUGCUUUAUUCAAUCUAUGCAUCUAUGCACUUAGGUGAAUUGAAAAAUGAUGGUGUGAUUAUACAAUUGGCCGAUCGAUCUAAUGUCUAUCCAAAGGAAGUUUUGGAAGAUGUUUUAGUGCACGUCAAUCACUUAAUCUUUCCGGCGGAUUUCUACGUGCUUGAAAUGGACGAGUCGGACCAUUCCCCUACAUUGCCCAUCCUUCUUGGACGGCAAUUCAUGAAAACUGCCCGUACUAAGAUUGAUGUGUUUAAUGAAAAUUUGACGAUGGAAUUUGAUGGGAAGUUCAAUUUCAAUCUUUCUGAUUCUAUCAAGUAUCCUAGUGAGGAUCACUCAUGUUUUUCUAUUGAUAUAUUUGCUUCUUGGCAGAUGACCAUUUUGAACAAUUGAAUGAUGAUGCACUUGAAUUGGUCAUUGCACGAUGAAUGGACAUUCAAAACAAUGAAGUAGUAACCAUGCACCUUCACGGCAUGAAUGAUUUUUCCCUUGCCGUACCUCUUAAUGAAGACGUGAUUGAGAUGGUGGCUGCCCUUGAAUCAUUGCCACUACAAUUUGGUAAGUUUUUGGACCCAAUUUCCAUUUCAGUUUCUGUUAAUAAGUUACUUCCCUCAGUUGUGCAGCCACUUACACUUGAACUUAAGUCAUUGCCAAGCCAUUUAAAGUACGUUUUCUUGGACGAUGAUGAGACAUUACCCGUCAUCAUCUCAAGCACACUCACUGCAUAAGAGGAUGACAAGUUGGUAAGGGUGCUAAGGGAGUACAAAACAACAAUUGGGUGGACAUUGGCCGACAUAAAAGGAAUCAGUCCCACCACUUGCAUGCAUCGCAUACUUUUGGAGGAAGGGUAUAAAACAUAUCGAGAAGCUCAACGCCGACUCAACCCUUCGAUGAUGGAAGUUGUGAAGAAGGAAAUAAUCAAGCUUUUAGAUUGUGGAGUGAUCUAUCCUAUUUUCGAUAGUCGUUGGAUUUCGCCCGUUCAAUGUGUUCCAAAGAAAUCCGGAGUAACUGUGGUGACAAAUGCCGAAAAUGAGCUUGUGCCUACUCGAAUCCAAACAGGUUGGAGUGUGUGUAUCGAUUAUAGGAAGCUCAACGCCACCAUUAGGAAUGACCACUUCCCUCUGCCAUUCAUUGAUCAAAUGCUUGAGAGGUUAGCGGGUUAUGUUUUCUAUUGUUUUUUUAUGGUUAUUCUAGUUAUAAUCAAAUUGUCAUAACACCCGAGGACCAAGAAAAAACCACUUUCACAUGCCCUUUUGGUACAUUUGCUUAUCGUCGCAUGCCAUUCGGUUUAUGUAAUGCACCUGCCACAUUUCAAAGAUGCAUGAUGAUCAUAUUUUCUGAUUAUUUUGAGAAAAUUAUUGAAGUUUUUAUGGAUAAUUUCAGCGUUUUUGGUGAUUCAUUUGAUGAUUGUUUGUAUAAUCUCAGUUUGAUCUUAAAACGAUGUGUUGAAACUAACCUUGUUCUCAAUAGGGAAAAAUGUCAUUUCAUGGUUAAACAAGGCAUAGUUUUAGGACAUAUCAUCUCUGAAAAAAGAAUGGAGGUUGAUAAAUCAAAGAUCUAUCUUGUACGUCACUUACCCUCUCCUACUUCAGUUAGAGAGGUUUGUUCUUUUCUUGGACAUGCAGGUUUCUAUCGAAGAUUUAUAAAAGAUUUUUCAAAGGUUUCUCCAAUCCGGUGGAGCAAUAAUGGGAGAAACCUUCAAACAACUCAAGGAGUUGCUGACCACGGCUCUCAUUAUUGCUCUACCGGAUUGGAGAAACCUUUGAGAAAUCUUUGAUAAAUCUUCGAUAGAAACCUGCAUGUCCAAGAAAAGAACUAACCUCUCUAACCGAAGUAGGAGAUGGUAAGUAACGUAUAAGAUCGAUCUUUGAUGUAUCAACUUCCAUUCAUUUUUCAGAGAUGAUAUGUCCUAAAACUAUGCCUUGUUUAAACAUGAAAUGACAUUUUUCCCAAUUGAGAACAAGGUUAGUUUCAACACAUCGUUUUAAGAUCAAACUGAGAUUAUGCAAACAACCAUCAAAUGAAUCACCAAAAACGCUGAAAUCAUCCAUAAAAACUUCAAUAAAUUUCUCAACAUAAUCAGAAAAUAUGCUCAUCAUGCAUUUUUGAAAUGUGGCAGGUGCAUUACAUAAACCAAAUGGCAUGCGACGAUAAGCAAAUGUACCAAAGGGGCAUGUGAAAAUGGUUUUUUCUUGGUCCUCAGGUGUUAUGACAAUUUGAUUAUAACCAUCAAGAAAACAAUAGAAAGCAUAACCCGCUAACCUUUCAAGCAUUUGAUAAAUGAAUGGCAAAAGGAAGUGGUACUUCCUAGUGGUGGCGUUGAGCUUUCUAUAAUCGAUACACACCCUCCAACUUGUUUGGAUUCGAGUAGGCACAAGCUUAUUUUUGGCAUUUGUCACCACAGUUACUCUAGAUUUCUUUGGAACACAUUGAACAGGCGAAACCCAACGACUAUCGGAAAUAGGAUAGAUCACUCCACAAUUUAAAAGCUUGAUUCCUUCAUUCUUCACAACUUCCAUCAUUGGAGGGUUGAAUCGGCAUUAAGCAUCUUGAGAUGUUUUAGACCCCUCCUUCAAAAGUAUGUGAUGCAUGCAAGUGGUGGGACUGAUUUCUUAUAUGUCGGCCAAUGUCCACCCAAUUGCUGUUUUGUACUCCCUUAGCACCCUUACCAACUUGUCCUCCUCUUGUGCCGUGAGUGUGCUUGAGAUGAUGACGGGCAAUGUCUCAUCAUCGCCAAAGAAAACGUACUUUAAAUGGCUUGACAAUGGCUUAAGUUCAAGUGUAGGUGGCUGCACAACUGAGGAAAGUAACUUAUUAGCCGAAACUGAAAUGGAAAUUGGGUCCAAAAACUUACCAAAUUGUAGUGGCAAUGAUUCAAUGGCAGCCACCAUUUCAAUCACGUCUUCAUUAGGGGGUACGACAAGGGAAAAAUCAUUCAUGCCAUGAGGGUGCAUGGUUAUUGCUUCAUUGUUUUGAAUGUCCAUUCCUCGUGCAAUGACCAAUUCAAGUGCAUCGUCAUUCAAUUGUUCAAAAUGGUCCUCUGCCAAAGAAGCAAAUACAUCAAUAGAAAAACAUGAGUGAUCCUCACUAGGAUACUUGAUAGAAUCAGAAAGAUUGAAAUUGAUAACUUCCCCAUCAAAUUCUAUCGUCAAAGUUUCAUUAAACACAUCAAUCUUAGUACGGGCAAUUUUCAUGAAUGGUCGUCCAAGAAGGAUGGGCAAUGUAGGGGAAUGGUUCGACUCGGCCAUUUCAAGCACGUAGAAAUCCGCCGGAAAGAUUAAGUGAUUGACAUGCACUAAAACAUCUUCCAAAACUCCAUUUGGAUAGACAUUAGAUCGAUCGGCCAAUUGUAUAAUCACACCAUCAUUUUUCAAUUCGCCUAAGUGCAUAGAUUGAAUAAGGCAUGACAUUUAUAUCUAACAUGGCAGAUUCAAAACGAGUAUUACCAAUUACACAAGGAAUGGUAAAACUACCCGGAUCCUUGCAUUUAGUGGGCAUUUUACGUUGUAAAACAGCUGAGACAUUUUCACUUACCUUGACAAUCUCCUUGCUCGAAAUUCUCUUCCUAGUUGUGCAAAUUUCUUUUAAAAACUUGGCAUACCUUGGAACUUGCUUAAUUGCAUCCAAAAGUGGUAUAUUAACUUGAACUUUUCUAAACGUUUCCAAAAUAUCCUUUUCAGUCUCCUCCUUCUUUGAUUGCAUAAACCUACGAGGAAAUGGUACAUUUGGAGGAACAACGUUAGAAUUAAUCAAAAUUUGGAACUUCCUACCUUUGUUGGCCGAAUUGGAUGGUUUAGGAGCAUUUGGGGCCUGUGGCAAAUGUGUUUCCACCCUUGCCGUGGGGGUGCUUUGCUUAUCCUAUUCAAUUAUCAACUCUUCAACCUCAUUGGAACAUGAUUUGGAAGGUUGGGGAUUAGAUCCAUCUUGUUUUCCACUUCGCAAACUAAAGGCUUUGGCAGAUUCGAAUCCUCCCUUUGGGUUGACAACGGUUGAACUAGGCAAUUUACCUUGCUCUCUAAAUUGUCCUAAAACUCCGCAAUCUGCCCAAUUUGCUUCUCCAUUUAGUCCACUCUUUUGUCUUGGUUUUGCAUUGCUUUGGCUUGAUUUUCUUGCCCCCUGAGACAAAUUGGUGAGUAACUUAAGAAGUGUGUCAUUAUCUAAAGAUGUACCUGAGGUGUUUUGGGCAGGUUGUUGUGGGGCUUGUGUUGGUGCGUAUUGCUUGGUAUAGAAGCCCGGAGGUUGCUGCCUAAAGCCUCCUUGUUGUUGAGGUUGUUGGGGCUCCCUCAACUUGAAAUUUGGAUGGUUUCUCCAACCUGGAUUGUACGUAUUAGAAUAUGGAUCGUUCCUUGGCUGGUUUUGGCCUUGAAAUCCAAUUGCAUUAUCGCUUUCCCAUCCACCAUUUUCAAUCAAUUGAGGGCACUUUUCAGAGGCAUGUCUUUGGAUAGAAACACACCACAUACACUUGGUUCUUUCAUUCUCAUUCCUUCGGCUAUCUGAGACACAAUGGAAGUAAGAUUAACUAAUUGCGAUUGAAUGUCGGAUGUGGAACUUACCUCAUUCACUUGCUGCCGUGGGGUGUCCCUUUGCCCAAUGCCUUCAUAUUAUUGUGCAUUCAAUGCACGGUUUGCGAUUAGUGUCUUGGCAACCAUAGGUGUUUUGUCCACUAAAUCUCCUUCCGCCGAGGCAUCUAGCAUUUGACGUUCAAUUGGUAGAAGCCCUUCGUAGAAAUAUUGAAGAAUAAGCUCCUCCUUCAUUUGGUGCUAUGGACAUGAAGCAACAAUGGUUUUAAAACGUUCAUAAUAAGUUGGAAAGGUUUCACCUUGGUUUUGCUGAAUGCCACUAAUCCUUUUGCGUAGAAGAAUGACUCGAGAAGUUGGGAAAAACUUCUCCAAAAACGCCCGUUUCAUACUCUCCCAUGAUGUGACAGUUCCGGGAGCUAGUUCAUACAACCAAUCAUUAGCCUUGUCCAAGAGAGAAAAGGGAAAGACCUUCAUCUUCAAAAUGCUUACAUCAACAUUCACGGGAGUCAUACUCGAACAAACAACCUCAAACUUCUUCAAGUGUUUAUUAGGAUCUUCCAUGGACAUCCCGUGGAACUUAGGAAUGUGAUGCAACAAACUUGAUUUCAAUUCGAAUUUGUCCGUCUUCCCUAGGGCAUGGGGUAUUGGAUGCAUAGGGGAGAGGCAUUGUCCAAUCCCGAAGCGGAAAGCUCAUUGAUUGUUCGAUUGUCCGCUGCCAUGUUGGGUUCUUCCUCUUCUUUUUCAAGUGGAUGUUCUUCAAACUCAGGUUCAGGAAUAGGUGGGUUACGAUCUUGCUGAUUCCUAUUCCUUCUCAAAGUCCUAUCAAAAUAGUCGUCAAAGUCCAAGAUAUGCUCACGAACCGGAUGAGAACUCCGAGUCAUAAACUAGUACCUAAAACAAGAAAACAAACAAGGUCAGUAUCUAACAUAAAAACACAUGAAAAUAAACAAAAAGAAAUAACAAGUAGGGAUCGUUCUGGACCGGGGAUUAGGAGGGCAUGCUAAUAACCUCUAAACAAACUUAAAAACAUAUAAACAAAGUUAAAAACACUAAACUAGACUCAAAGAACUCAAAACAAACUCAAAAGACUCAAAACAAACUCAAAAGACUCAAAACAAGCUAACAACCCUCAAAUUUGCCUAAAAACACAAACUGGGGAGAUUUGGACUCUAAACACACUUUUGGACGAAUUUUGGUUUUCACUUUGUUCGAAACACUUAAAAACACAAACUAAAUCAGUUUCUAACUAAUAUGACUCAACAAGGUAAAUGGGGUUUUGGUUUUGACGAAUUUGAAAACAAAACAAGUAAAUUAAAGAACUAAUGAAAUCUGUAUGAAUUUGAGUAAAUUGAAUGGAUGAAAGACUAGCUAGGAGGUUCUUCUCCACACAUGACACACUUGCACACAAAACGAUUUCCAGUUGCUUUUCAAUAAACUACGAAUUGUCAACGCCCCAGAUUAACUGUGAAUUGCACUAAUUAACCCUUAGAUUUUCCUAAUUUCAUUGAAUUGGAUGAUUGCAUACAACAACCCGAAGCAUUCCCCACACGUUCCCUACAUGAAUUGCAUAAUAGAGAUACAAGCAAGAAUCAUUAAGUUCUAUGAAAAUCAUAAGCAUUAACGAAACACUUGUAACUAUGAAUUGCAUGAAACUUAUGCCAAGAAUUUACUUAACACAGUUGUGACGAGCAACGUUUACUACUUGUGAAUAUAAGUUCAUAACAAUUAAGUGAAACCCCCAUAUAUUCUAGCAUCAGAUUUAUCCAUGAAAAUUAAGUGUGUACUCUCAAACAACACACACAAAUCAGUUUUUGCUUAAUCAUUCAUCCCCAUUUCAAUACAACAUUCAUCCAAACACAUCCAUUCCUCCAGACAACCAAACCUUCAAACACUCACCAACACCUUGUGUCGUAGUAAAGGAAGGCAAGGAAAAUGCUUGGACGUGCUUGCUGUCCUACUUGGAUCGUUGGAGCGUUUAGGUGUUUUCUUUCUUUUGUUUUUAAUGUCUAAAUUUGUUUAUCUUUGCUUUGUAAGUAUGAGGAACUAAACCCCCCUUAGCUAGGGGGAAUUUGAAACCAUGUUUAUGCUUGCAAUAUGAUUUGAUUACUUUCAGUUGUGAUUUCGUGUGUUUGUAGGUUCAAAUAACAAAGUUGGCAAGAAAGUGCUAUUUUGAGCAUUUUGGAGCAGUUUUGGGCCAAGAUUGGAUAGUGCAAUCAUGGAGAUAUGAGGAUGGACGUUUUUGAAUAUUAGAAUGCUAGAAAUCAGCAUGUGUAUGUGCAAGUGUGUUGGCUUACAACUACAAACAUUCAUAUACGACAUGGGCAUAAAAUAUGGUGAUUGCUAGCUGAAAUGAUGAAGAACAUGUGUGUGUGCAAGUGUAAUAGCUGCUACAUGUGGAAAUAAAGAUAGAAAACAACACACACACAUGCAAAGAACAGAGAGACAACAUUCAUACACGACAUUUGUAGUUGUAGGUCAACAUACUUGCACAUAUACAUGCUGAUUUCUAGCCGUCUAAUCUUCAAAAACGUUCAUCCUCAUGUCUCCAUGCUUGCACUAUCCAAUCUUGGUCCAAAACUGCUCCAAAAUAUGCUCAUACCAAUUUCGAACUCCACAAAUUGAAACACACAACACUCAAGAUUGAAGUCAAGGGUUGUAACAGGGUUUGGGGGUAAUGACUAACAAAAAAAGGGUAGGAAUAACAAACGUUCUUAAAGCGAUAAUUAACCCUCAGAUUUUCCUAAUUUCAUUGAAUUGGAUGAUUGCAUACAACAACCCAAAGCAUUCCCCACAAGUUCCCUACAUGAAUUGCAUAAUAGAGAUACAAGCAAGAAUCAUUAAGUUCUAUGAAAAGCAAUACAACCUUCAUCCAAACACAUCCAUUCAUCUUCAUAUCCAUUCCUCCAUACAACCAAACCUUCAAACACUCACCAACACCUUGUGCCGUAGCAAAAGAAAGGAAGGAAAGUGAUUGGACGUGCUUGCUGUCCAACUUGGAUCGUUGGAGCGUUUAUGUGUUUUCUUUCUUUUGUUUUUAAUGUCUAAAUUUGUUUAUCUUUGCUUUGUUAGUAUGAGGAACUAAACCCCCCUUAGCUAGGGGGAAUUUGAAACCAUGUUCAUGCUUGCAAUAUGAUUUGAUUACUUUCAGUUGUGAUUCAUAAGUUGUGAAUUCAAUUUACUUAUCCAUUUGAAUUAAAACUGAUUUGUGUGUGUUGGUUGAGAGUGCACACUUAAUUUUCAUGCAUAAAUUUGAUGCUAGGAUAUAUGAGAGUUUUGCCUAAUCGUUAUGAACUUAUAUUCACAAGUAGUGAAGGUUGCUCGUCACAACCGUGUUAAGUAAAUUCUUGGCAUAAGUUUCAUGCAAUUCAUAGUUACAAGUGUUUCGUUAAUGCUUAUGAUUUUCAUAGAACUUAAUGAUUCUUGGUUGUAUCUCUAUUAUGCAAUUCAUGUAGGGAACUUGUGGGGAAUGCUUUGGGUUGUUGUAUGCAAUCAUCCAAUUCAAUGAAAUUAGGAAAAUCUGAGGGUUAAUUAGUGCAAUUCACAGUUAAUCUGGGGCGUUGAGAAUUCGUAGUUUAUUGAAAAGCAACUGGAAAUCAUUUUGUUUGCAAGUGUGUCAUGUGUGGAGAAGAACCUCCUAGCUAGCCUUCCAUCCAUUCAAUUUACUCAAAUUCGUGUAGAUUUCAUUAGUUCCUUAAUUUACUUGUUUUGUUUUCAAAUUCGUCAAAACCAAAACCCCUUUUACCUUGUUGAGUCGUAUUAGUUAGAAACUGAUUUAGUUUGUGUUUUUAAGUGUUUCGAACCAAGUUAAAACCAAAAUUCGUCCAAAAGUGUGUUUAGUCCAAAUCUGCCCAGUUUGUGUUUUUAGACAGAUUUGAGCGCUUUUAGCUUGUUUUGAGUCUUUUGAGUUUGUUUUGAAUUCUUUGAGUCUAAUUUAGAGAAGUAGAGUGCUUGAAACUAACAAAAAAUUUGAUACAAAAUCAGGUUAAAUUGUGUUUGAAGAUUCAUACAACUACCUCUACUUGCUUUUUUGCAGAGACUUUCAUGCUAAUGGUUUACCAAAGGCAUUAAUGCAAGGAAGAAAAUUUGAUGACAUAGUUAAACAAUUAAUGUGACGUCACUUCUUAGUGGCACUGUAACAUGCUUGUAUUUGUCUCGUAAAAAAAUGUUACGGAGACUAAAUUUGAAAACAAAAUAAUGUGUUACCAAUAGAAAUGAGCACUUAAUAAAUCAAUCAUUAACUUUAUGUUCUUUAGCCUACAAAUUUAUUUUCUCCAGUAUUUCCCAUCCCUAAAAUUGCUUGAUUUCUUCUUGGAUUGAGAAUCCGGACAACACCCGUUUCACCCAAGUCCUUCUCUUGGACUGGGCUUCAAGGCCAUCAGCUUCUCAAUGAUUCUUUUUUUAGGCUGCUAUCAAUUGUGUCUUCUCUUGAAGUGGGCAUGUGCAUCAGAGAAAAAUUGCUCAACUCCGCUCUGUUCUGAAUUAAAAAUGCUACUCUUAUCACAUAUUUAUACCAUCUUUAUGUAUGAGAGAAAAAUUGCUCGAACUCUAAUCCAUUCUGGAUUCUAGCAAUACUUUCGCUUAUUGAUGUGUCCAUUUUACGGUGGACCAAAGUUGAUAGUCACUUAAGCUAUUUGUUGAAACUUGCCAUAUUAUGCUACUAAUUCACAUUCAAUGAUGUAACAUAAGUGGAUGAAAUUGAUGUUUAAUAUUUCAUUGAAAUAGAGUUAUGAAAUAGAUACUUAUGUGUAUAAGACAAGCGUAUUGUAAUAUCACGUCACAAUGUGUAUGUAGUGCAAAGAAAUCAGAAGUAUAACUGUGCUUAUGGUGCGGUAUGUGGAUCACUAGGCCCAUUUUGGUGUGGUCACUAGGGCCUUUCCGCGAAUGCAACCAGGAGGAGCUUUGAGUUUAUGCCAACUAAACCCUAAUACGAGCUUUAGCAUGUGCAGAUUUCUGAUUCCAGGCACUCAUUGCUCUAGUAUUGCUCUUUAAAUCUCAACCAUCCACCUAUAUUUUUGCGAUUUAAUAAAAAUAAAAAAGGAUAUUCAAAAAUUAAAAAACCAGUAUGAUAUGAGAUAUUGUUUCUCUAAAUUUUGAGUUUAUUUUGACCAAAGUUUGAACGAAUAAAAAACCUGAAUAUUUUGAAUUUGUCAAACAUUCUCAAUUCGAAAUCUAAUCUUCCAGAUUCUAUAAAAAAGCCUAAAUGGGUUUGCAAAUUGAAUCCUUUGGCAAGGCUCCAAACAGUAGGAAUUGUGGUCCUCAAAUAAAUCAACCACUAGAAGGCUAAAAUAUUGUCUGUGUAGGCCCUCUCAUUAAGAAUCGAAAAUUGAUUCUAUCACGUCAUGAUUAGUUCUUCUUCAAAGUCGAGUUGAAUCUUCAGUUGUUCAAAUGACUUAAACCUUAGGGGGGGAGGUGGACAGGUUGAUGUCAUGGAGCCCACUCAUUUAUGAUAGAGAGGGCCAAAUGUCCCUUUAGCUUCUCUCAACUUAAAGCAUUGCAGAAUUCUUGAGGUUAAUGGUCUAAAACGUUUCGGUUAAAAUUAUUUCUAAACCAGGCCGAAUUGGGGAAGGAAAGGAAAGGGGGGGCUAGGUGAGCUACAUGUCUGAGUUGCACCUAGACAUGUUCUAUGACCUUCAAUUUUCAACGCCUAAUUAAUCGGGAGUCGGGAUAAUGGUCAGCCGCUUAACGCCUAGGCAUGGCUUAAGCGGCACUAGAGAAAAAAUUUUAAAAUAGUGGUGUUGUUGGUUUGCAUGCUUACGUAACCACGUGUCCCCAUUUUCAACAUAAAAACUGAUAUACUCAUCGAACUUAAUAUAUCUAAUAUAUACAAGUGGGUUUGGGAGGAAAUUGUUUCAGCUUGGGGAGUCCCAACAUAAAAGCUCCAAAAAAAAAAAUAUUAGACUAAUUUGGUUUCUCAUAUCACUAUUUUCUACUGAUGAAAUUUGAGUUCAUUGAAUAAAUUAAAGAUUUAAUCUCAAAAAGUAAUAAAAAACCAACAAAUUCGCCUCAGAAUCAAUAAACUCAGCAACAUUAAAAAAAAUAGUAGGUAACAUAAACAAUAAAAUUUAUGAGUCUGGAUUAAAAAACUUUUAAUUGAUAUUUGAAGAAUUAAAAUUAGGCAGCUAAAGGGAGAAUGGCAAAUGAUUGUGGGAUAGGUAACUUGGGUUUAAAGUUGGAAGGUCACAACGUUUUGGCGCUGGGAGUGCUGAAAAGAUCGAGGGUCUUGGGAAAACAUAUUUUAGUUUUAAAAUUUUUUAUAAGUGGCUAAAAAAAGCUGUCGACGCAUUUUCUUCGUUCUUUUUAGUAAGCAUACUUUUGGGAAUCUUAUUCUUUGGACACCUGGUUAUACGUUACCUUGAUUCCUGUUUUCUUCGCUGCCGGGGUCUCUGGGAUCUGGGGUCCUUCUCUCAAGCAAUGAAUCAGCUAUAUGAUCCCUGGGAAAAAUCCGAAACAUGGUAAUAUGAGGAGUCACAAGGAUAAUUUUCAUUAUACCCUGUUUUGUUUUCGUAGCUGGGAUGUAUCUCAUGGCUAUUGGUUAGGAUGGAAACACAUGAAAAGCAAAAUAAUUCUUCCUACGGCAUGAUUGACUAACAAUAAUGUGGCAUUUUGAUCCCUUGUAGUGUUUUUUAUGAUAAAAUUCCAUAUGGCGACCUUGGAGCCACAAAUUUCCGGACUAAUUUCUGUCUUAGUCUUUGUGAACUGAUGUAAAUCAUAUAUAAGCCCCCAUAUACCAUGCAGAAAAAGAUAGAUCACCACCAAGCUUUUUAAUAAAUUUUACGCGACUUUGACACGGCCGAACUGGGGAUAUAAUUGGGGGUGGAGUGCGACCCCGAGUGGGGGAUCGGGUUAUGGGUCGGGAUCCGGGAGGUCACCAACUGGAUUUGGUAGGGGGUAUGGUUAUGGGUCUGGUUCUGGGGGUGGACAUGGCUCUGGGUCAGGCUAUGGUUCCGGGGGUGGUGGAGCUCGUGGCGGAGGCUCUGGGUCUGGGGGUGGCGGAGCUCAUGGUGGCAGCUAUGGGUCUGGGGGUGGUUAUGGAAGUUCGGGCGGUGGUGGUGGAGCUGGUGGCGGUGGAGGGACAAACAACCACGGCUGAUGAGAUAAUUGGCUGAGAGUUAGGGUUUCAUGAACCCCAGGCCAGUUUGAAGUGUGUACUAUAUGAUAAGCAUAUUAUACAACUAGUUAGAUACAUGCAUGCAAGCUUUUAAUAAAUUUUACGCGACUUUGACAAAUAAUAGUAGCAUUGCUCGUAUAUUUAUUAUUUCGUGUGGUAGUUCAUAGUUUGAUGUGUUGCCAUCUCUCUCUGGCUUAUGUUUUUAAUUUAGCAGAUAACAACGUGAGUUUGUAAAACGUUUGCUUCACAGCCCUAAUCAUCGUUCUGUCUAUUUCAAUAUAUUGAUAUUUCUCUUCUCAAUACUGAAAGAACGUUUCGAGUUUGACUCAUUUAUUUUUCAUAUACUUCGUGUUAAAUCUUCUUUUACAUAAACGUAGAUGACUUGUAUGGGAUUGAAGCCUGUUAAGUUAGUUAAAGUCUUAAAGAUGGCCCCUGUGUGUCUCAUAUGUGAAGAUGGCUUGAUCCUCUUUUUUUAAGCUUCUAUGGAUCAAGAACAAUGAGCAAUUUUAUGAGAAAUCAAAUCAUUUUAAAAGAGAUUAUGUCGUCUUAUGUCACAAAAAUCUCUGCAUCUAGUACUCAUACAAGUUAACAAGAGCAUAAAUAAUAAUAGAAAAAUUAUAAGCGAAAGAAUUAUCAAACAGAUCCUUAACGAGCAUGAAUUGGGCACCUUGCACAAAUUUAGAUGAGCAUGAAUUGGGCUCAUGUAAGAAAAGCUUUUUAACUUGUUGCUUCUGCUGACACCAUAUAGACCAUUCAACUAUACACACCCAAAAACUCCAAUGGGGCUUUGAGCCCAUAUGGCCCAAAACUUCAAAAAACAACCUAUGUAUGUUGGAUUAAACCAAAUACAGAAGAAACCCACAAACAUUGUCCCCAAACUUUUCCAACACCAAAAAGUGCUUAAACUGAAAGCUGCUUUUGAUGGGUGGAUUCAUCUUCAUCAAAUGAGCAGUGAAGCUUCAAACGUCUUGCCAAAUCCACAGGAGAAUCUUCAAAUUGCAGAGGAUAUUGCAGCAGCAUUUCUCUCUGAAGGUAAGUGCAGUAGGUGUAAUACGUCACCGGCGUCACGUUCAUUUGGAACCCUAAUCCGAACAAGAAGUCCACCUCAAGAAGGUUCAUCUCUUGCGUGCUAAUCCCUCCAACUCUGGCAUAAUAUGCAUUGUUGUAGUAACUGCAAGAAGCAAAUGUAGAUAAGAUUGAUUAGUUAUGUUUUCUAAGUUCUAACCAAAUAUUUUGAAUAACUGUAGUGAUUAAUUAAAGAUGCUAUUUAUUGCUGCAGUAAUGCUAGGAAGACUCAAUUUGAACACUAAAUUUUGGAAAGUAAAAAACAUGUUAAUAGACGUGUUCAUUUCUAUUGGUGACGUAUCAUUUUGUUUGCAAUUUUAAUCUCCAAAUUUACUCUUCCAAACAUUACUCUUAUUGCUGUUAUAUUGGACCACCAUAUGGGUUUGUAUAGGACCAAAGAUUAGCUUAUAAUUUAAGGAAAAUUAAUGAAAAAAAUUUGAAAACUUUGAGUUUUAACGAUAAGGACAAAAUAAAGGGUAAAGUGAAUAGUAUCAGAAUUGACAUUUGUGUAAAAAUAUGGUUUUUCGUUCAAGAAAACAGUAUCAGAAGCUUUUAGUUAAAGUUUUAAGGCAUUAUGUAUGGCUCUGAUGAGAAGCAAAAACAGGUGGAUUUUGUUAACUUUUGGCAAACUAUACAAAUAUCAACAUGGCCUUUGAUUGAGAUGUCGUUAGCAUCGAUAAUGAUGCCAGCGGACGCCUUUUCUCUUAAGUUUUUGUGAUGAGAAAUCAUGCACACCGUCGGAUAAUCUUACUAAUUCACGUGUAAUACUAAAACAACGACGUAACCGAAAAUUACAGGCAUGGACAGCAACACCACAUAAAAGACGGGAGGCGUUCACAUGGCCAUUGCUAUCCUCCUUUUUGGCGGUGGUUGCUUCCAAACGGCGAUGCCAUUACUAAUUAUUAACCUAAUUUUGUAAUUACGUGACAGAAUUAUGAAGAAGAAGAAGAGAAUACAGAACUGUGAUCACAAACUUUGGACGUGCAAAAUUACCCAAUGUUCCACCAAAAUACACUUUAAUUUUCUACUUAAAAUAUUGAGAUGCAAUCUCCUCAAGAACCAUAUCCAGAAGAAAAAAAAUUAUGUAAAAACAGAGAGAUCGUAAGAGUAUUAAUUCAACAAAUUUCGGGUUAAAAAAGCUUGAAUCUUGAAACACAAAUAACAAAACCCAGUUCAACAAGCAAAGAAAUUAGUAAAAACUUGAUUAAUUUGAGGUAGAUGAACUAGCCCAUUAGUUAAGUAAAUAAAACCCAGUUCAACAAGUAAACAAAUUAGCGUUGCCCGCACAGAGAAAAAAAUUAAACUUUUGAUUUAAUUGAGCUAGUUUAAUUAACCCAUCUGAUUAACUAGACAAAACCCAGAAUUAGAAAUCUGAAAAUCUCACCAAAAGGACAAUCUUUGAAAGAAUCAGAGCAAAAGAAAACAACCCAAAUCAAGAAAUCGAAAAAAAAGGGAAAAAGAAAAGAAAGCUUACUUGUCGUCCAUGAACUUUGCAGAGACCAAGACGCUGGUGAUGAGCAAGCGGUGAACGCUGAAAGAAUCGAUGGGCAGCAAUGGCUGCAUCUGGGUGAAACGGUCGAGAUAUACGUAGGCGACGACGAAGCAAGAUGGGCUGCAGUCGGCGUACUUGAAGAUCCUCUGGAGGUAGCUGUGGAUUGAGAUGGUGGGAGUGGUCAGGGAGUGGAAGACCGACAGCUUCUGAGUCGGCUCUAACCGCCGGUUCAGGUCAUUGGAGUUGGAAACCCGCUCGAGGAUGGAGGACAUGAAGGCUAUCAUCCUUGGCAUGGAUUCUGGGCUCGUCGUCGACGUCUCGAGCUGAUCAGCCAUGGUUGUGUUUAAUUUGCUCUGUUUUUUUUCUGUUGGUUUCUUUUCUUUUCUUUUUUCUGUUGGUUGCUUCGUAUAUAUAGGCUUUCCUUUCUGAUAUUAUUUUAUUUUUUAUUUUGCGCUGUGUUACUUGUACGAAGAUUCAAGGAAUAAAAAAUAAAACCGAAUCCUUAAAGAAAAAGGAAAUAUGAAACUAAACAAAUUUUAAAUAGAAAGAAAAUACACAAAUUUUAAAAAGGAAAUAUGUUUGUACGAAAAUCAAAUUUUAGAGAAAAUGAAAUUGUUUGCUCACAAAAUCAUUAAUGUACCUAAUGAUCCUCUUGCAGUAUUUUUUUAGAAUAUCAGGCCGUAUUUUCGGUACAUUGAAAUUUUUUUCCGUUAAGAUAAGUGUAAAACUAUAUAUAAUAAUCCCUUUAUUUCUGAACCAAAUCCAAGAAGUAAAGGUGAAGACACAGACCAACUUCCUAUGAAAUUCCUGCUGCAAUAAUUUCAGAAUAGGACUUUCUUUUCCACUGUUGGUAAUUGGUAUGAACUUUUAAUCAUCACCCACAUUGCCAGCUUUCCUUACCAAGCAAACAAUAUAUAUACAUAUAUAUACAUAUAUAUAUAUAUAUAUAUAUAUAUAUAUAUUAUAUUUUACAAAAUUAAUCUUGUCCCCCAUAAAAUUAAAAGUGUGAUUUGCAGCAAGUAAAAUCCUAGCUAACUUGUUCACCUUUUGGCUAUUUGCAACGUAUCAGAUCGGAGUAUCAGACCGUGAGUCGUCUCUCUCUCUCUCCCCCUCUCUGUGUCUCUGCUGGUUUUUUCUUGCUUGACAGCUUUGUUUCUUGUAUGAAUUACGGUUCCCUUUUCUAAAAGAAUUAAAAAUUUAAAACAGCUAUAUAUUUCCUUGGUUGACAGCUUUGUUUCUUGCAUUGGCACUUGGCAGUGCACAAAAGUCUCUAUGGCCUCUGUAUAUCAUGGCUUGAUUCGCGUCGCUGAAAUAUAAUACCGAAUAAGUUUUUAAAAAAUGACAGUCAUCUGAAGUUAUCUGUAUAUAUUGAACUUUAAAAAUUCAACCAAAAAAAAAAAAACUUUUAAGAAAAAAUAGUCCUAAUAUUGUUCACAAUCAUUAAGCUGGCUAUAGGAUGGCUGAAAUGUUGGUUUUGUUGGUUAGGGUUAAUAAAUCAGGGUAAUAAUAAGUAAUAAUUAACCGGCAAACCACUGAUUAUUGCAGCUAAUUAAUCAGCUUGUUGCUUUCUGUGUAGACCCAGUCCAACCAUAUGCACGAUGGAGCAUGAUCUGAUGAUUUAGUGAUGUGAAAUAUUAAUUUGUUGAAUAAAGAAGAAAGUGUAGGUGAUAUUACAGCAAAUAUUUUGGUCAAAUAUGCUCUCGUGCUCGUAAACAUACUGCUGGCACUUGCUUGCUAGCUCACUCAUCUGUGUUAUCCUAUCUGCAUUGACCGUGCUCUCACGUUUCCUUAUUCUAAAUGUUUGAUUUUUAUCUCAUCUUUACAGCCGAUUAUGAGGGUAUGCAAAUGAUGGUGCUACCACACAGAGCUCCAAGUUCGAGAGGAGCCUCCGAUUUACGAUUUUAUUUUAUCUGUAUAUAAACUAUAUACAUUUAAUGGUGCACUAAUUAACCAUAUUAAGCUCUUAGCGAUAGCGCAAGUGUUCUCAUACUUCUUAUUUCUGUACCUAGCCAACACACAAUGCUUCAUUUUAUCUAUUUUCUUUUGUGCUAUAUCAAUUUAUACACAAUAAACAAAAUAUAAAAAUAUAAUAGCAACAAAAAAUUUCGACCUUAUAAGAGCCUCUAUUUGAGUCUCGCACAAGGCUCUCAAAAUCUCGAGACCGGCCUAUGUUUACUUAUCUAGAAUAGGUAUUGGAAGAAACUAUUUUAUUUUUUGAUUUUCGAUUUUGGUAUUGACUAUCACGUGCAGAAUAAAAACUAUAUGAGCUUUACGCAAUGUUCUAUCAUUUAUUAAAUGAAGAAUCAUGAACUAGAUUGAUUAUGAAAGAGAGAUUUUCAUAUAACAGUUUCACCACGGCAUUACAAAUCACUACUAAAAUGUCAUGUGGAGAGAGUCUAUGCAUGACUUUUUACUAAUAGUCCAGAAUGCCAUAAUAACGAUGAACCUGUUCUUCGUAAAUCCUUCGCAUUGGGGACUCAUAAAUGGGCAAACAGUAGAUAUACAUGGGACGCAAGGCAAGCAUAUGUCCCCUUCAGUCUUCACUUCCCAUGUGUUGGUUCUCUUCUCAUGUGUGAUCCAGGACCAACCACCUAAUCCAAAUACAAAACACACAUGACCUAAUCCUACUUAACACAAAUAAUUGAGAUUUAACAUCUGAUUAAUUACUGUUCUAGUUAAUUAGUUAAUUACUGAACUGACACCUAUUUCUCUCUCUAGAUUUACAACUUUGCUUCUGUAUCCCUGUUUAUGGCAAGGGAGUGGAAGUCACGUAGCUUAUAAUACGACACCGUACUUACACAAUUUAUAUAUGCCCUCCCACUCCCUGACUUCCAGCAUUUUGGUUUGCUCAUGCUCACCUGUAAAGUAUAUAGGUAUAUAGUGCAUGUUACUACUUACCAAUUCUCUCCGUUUACCCUAAGGAACUUUUAUAUUCUAGGGUAAUUCCUUACCCAUAUAUUCCAUGCAUAGCCUAUCAAAGUGGGGACAUCGGUAAUGAGCUUUUCGAACAAGAAGAACUUGCAUAGCCCGCGUUUCUGCAACACUCAUCACGCGAGGUCACUUGAUGAGUGCAACUCACGUGAUGGGUGCUAGAGAGACACCGGGGGUAUGAAAGCCGUCAAAUUCAAGUUUUACUCAUUUGCGUAGAAGCUGCAUGUAUUGGGAAAUCGAGCUUAAAUUAGUGCGACUCCAGAGAAAAGAUUGCAUAGGAUUGAUUUCUCAUAAGAAAAAGAAGCUUACCUGGAACAGGUAAGAGUGCCAAUAACAUAUAUUAACAAAACCAAUUGCCAGAUAGAAAGCUUAACACAAAAGUGAAGACACCAGCUGUCCACUUCCAAAUUUAUCCAAUAGUAGAUGAGGCAACACACGCAAAAGUACAAAUUACUUAUAGAUCCAGGAUCACUCAUACCAUACUUUACUCGACAAAGUACGCGGAAGCUAGUUACAUGUCAAAUAUAUGGACAAAAGCAUCAACCUAUGAACAAUAACGGGUACGGUUUUGCAUUACGAGACAUUACCAAAUAGAUUAGCCGUAGCAUCGGAUGGGAUCAUUGCAUCCUUUCUCAGCAGAUUGACUAAAACCAAAACGUCCCCCUUUUGCAAGGUACUGCUGAUGGUACUCCUCCGCUCGGUAGAACUUCUUGGCAGGAAGGAUCUCUGUGACAAUCUUUCGGUUCACUUUCUUCUGGUGUUGUUCCAGAGAUUCUCGUGCUGCCUUCUCUUGCUCAGGUGUGUAGAAGUAUAUUCCGGAUCUGUAUUGUGUCCCGACAUCACCCCCCUGCCCAUUACAGAUGGAUAAACUGUUAUGGUUCCCCGAGUCAUAAGACAAAUAUAAUUUUUUGUAUCACGCUCAAAUAAGAAUAAUCAAAUAUCACAUAGUAGCCACUUAGUACUACAGUCUAGUGGUAUUCCUCUUCACUUGUAAGUGAAAGGUCUUAGGUUUGAUUCUCCCCAAAAGCGAAUUUGAACCACAUUAUUACUAGCCCAUUGUGAGGCUAAGCCCAACCCCUCGCCCUUUAGUGUAGAUAAUAUCGUUUGUUCCAAAAAAAAUAAAAAUCACAUAGUAGAAUUUUUAUUUAUGAGAAUAACUAGGACGGAUACAUGAAUAGAACAUAGGCUUAAGGAUGUGAAAAAGAGAGACGACAAAAGAUAUUGACAUGCAAAAGACGAAUUUUGGGUUAAUUAAAUAAGAGUUUUAUAACAUGAAACAAGGAAUCAUAAACAAGCCAAGUCCUGCAAAUAAUAAUGUCCACUCAAUCCUAGGUUAUACAAUGAUCUUCAAUACUGAAACUGAGCUCUCAUUGACCAACGCUGCUAUAUGCAACUCAUUGAAGUCCUGUUCAAGAACUUGUUCUGCUAAUUUUAUCAUUCCCUUCUUUGGUAACUUGAACCCUCAUGCAAAGUACUGGAACUGGCCACGUGUUUUGGUAACUUACCAUUACAAAGAAAUUAGUUACGAGAAUUAAUAGCAAUAGAGCAUCUUUUCGUUGGGUGUAUUACACUACGAGCCUAAGGCACUAGGCUGCCCUCUCUAUGUGUAAUUUAUCUCAAUAUUUUGAUAGGGGAAACUGAACUUGGAGACCAACUGGACUACGACUUAAGCCCUUAACCACGUCGGACAUCCCCUCAUACAAUGUCAUGUACGUUCUUAAUAAAAUCCAAAAUAAACCUAUUUACUAUUCCUUUGUGUUCCCCAAUGCUUUCUUUAACAGGAGGACUAUACCAUUAGCAGAAUUCUUGUAAGCAGUUAAAACUUGAAAGAUAAUAGUUCAGGAGAAUUCUAUCAACAGGUGAAGAUAACCUCAUCGAUUGCCCGAAAUGGAAAUAGUGCACCCUACUUCCUAAUUUCAUCCUCUAACAGGCUUCCAAUUUAACACCAGUCUAUGCCAUCUAUUCUCAAGAAUCUAAACGACCUCAAGUAACUGUAUGAACUCAAAGCAAAAUUCCAGCAAUUGAACAGAAACCAUACCGAACUGAACAUAACAUAAACAUAAAAAAUGUAUUUGCUCAUCUAUUUUUUAAUAAACAUGAUUUUUACUCAUGCUACUAACUUACCACGAAUUCAAAAAGAAAGAAGCCAAAUUCCUAAAGUGAAUGCUUUUAACAAUCAACAAUGGGACAUCGACUGAAGUAACUGCAAGAGAGCUUCUUAGACAAAGUUCCUAUCAUAUUCUUCACUACAGUAUUCAGAGAGGUAGACAUUCUCAUGAGAACAUUCACGCCUAUUUCACGACAGAAGAAUGCCUAAACGUACAGCAGUACUCAUAAUCGGAGCAUCUAGACAGCGAUGUUUAAACAUUUGAAUUCUCAGUAGUAACUUGCUUAAAAAGAUAUAGCUUCUCUACUAAGAUAACAAGUUAACAACAUUUAGCAAAUGACCAAAUUAGGACUAACUAUAUCAAUACAAGAAGUUGAAUGGUCAAUCAAAAUCUCCUUUUGUUUGUUCUGCUGAUUUGAAAUUUUGAAUGAGAUUGAUAAGUAACUUACAGAGAGCCAAACCUCAAUUUCUUCAAAAACCUCAGUAGCACACACAGAGAAAAACAAAACAGAUAAAUUCAGGAAGCAAAACAAAUCAAUCACAAACUGACACACAAUUUUAUUACUUGCGGAAAAAAAAACCCCCAAAAUUUAUCAAUCAAAGUUUAUCCAAAAUUCAUCAAUAAACACAGACGAUUAUUAACCCCAAGCAAUCAAAUUUCACACAAACUGGUCCAACCCAUACAAACUAUCAAAAUUUAGAGCAACCCACCUGGCGAUUGAGCGUGGUUGGGUCGUGCCUGGACCAGAAAAGAUCGAGCAGGCUCUCAAAGUUGCACUCUUUAGGGUCGUACUGCACUCUCACGACCUCCGAGUGCUGGGUGGUGCCGGAACACACGUCCUCGUAACUUGGGUUGUGCAGAAACCCCUGGCUGUACCCAACCUCCGUCUUCGUCACGCCGGGCACUCGCUGAAACGCCAGCUCGACACCCCAGAAGCACCCAGCUCCGAACUGCGCGAACUGCUGACCCGGAGCCGGAACGUCAUCGUCGGGACCCUGGGCGAUGGCGGAGGAUUCGGAGUUGGGGUCGGCGGUCUUGGGGCCGAACCCGAGCUUGUUGAGGAUGUUCAUUUGGGGGGUGCGGAAGGAGAUGGUCCGGUGGGUUUGCGGGAAAUUGGAGGCGGGUUUGGGUCGGAGCUUAGAGAGAGAAAGAAAGGGGUUACAGAGAGAGAAUUUGGGGGCUGUUGCCGUGGUGGCGGUGGAGAUGAGUGGUGAGGUGGUGGAGAUGGCGGCUAAGCUUUUGAGCAUUUUUGGGUGUGACGUGUUGCUGCUGGACUAAAAUGGGAGUUUCGUCUUUCGUGACGUUUCAUUGUUUACUAUAUUAUUUCUUUAUUAAUUUUUUUGUUGAAUAUAUUUUUUUUAUUUCUUCAUAAUUUUAUUUUCAUCCAAAUUAAUAAAAAUAAAAAAGGAUAUGCCCAUCCACUGAUACACACACCAUGUUCUUGGAUAAUCAAUAUUAUUUUAUUUUCCAGGAAAAUAAAUAACAUGAUUUCUUCAAUUUAUAUGUGUUGUUAAUUAAUUUGGUUUAAUUUUGUAUGUUAUUUUCUAGGAAUUGUGUCGCGCCUUCUGGGAGCUUGGCGUUGGCGGGUAGUUUACCCACAUGAGGUGGGACCACGGGAGGAUAAGAAUCGAAAAUGAACACCCAUUGUGAGCAUUACUUACACAUUUUUAAAUUAAUUGACCUAUAUUAAGAUUUUUACUAAAAAUUGAUUUAAAAAAUAUUUUCAUAAAAGACGUUUGCAUUUUAAAAAUAUGUUUAAACGAGCUCAUAAAAAAAAUUAAAACUUAAUACUCAAGUAUGUAUAUAUAUCAUUGUAUUAGUGUAAAUCGAAUCUAAAAUCUGCUCCAAGUAAAUAAAAAUCGAGUGAUGCAGACCUGGUUAUACUUUUUUUAUUCUAUCAUUUAUCAUUAGAUUACUUACGUGUUGGAACAUUAAAUGUCAAAGCUUUUCCUUGAUCAUUUGAUGUAACCUAAGUUGGUUCAAGCAAAAUGACAGGUUGUUGGUGGUGGUUAAUACAGCUACAGCCACAGCCACAGCCACAUACAAGAUGAUAAUAAAACAAUUACUGUUAAUUUUGACCCGUUUCUUUUGCGUAGACCGUAAGAAAUGAAAGUUAAUUUAAUAUCUCAAUUGCCUCUCAAAAUUCUUCUUUUCCUGAUAUGGAAAUGAACAAGCAGAAAUUGGCUUUGUGCACGUCGACUUUCAUCAGCAGCCAGACCUUAUAAGAUAUAUGUACUCUAAUUUUAUGAAUAAUCAUGAUUUGUACUUAAUGAAUUUAGAUUUAGCUAUAAUCUAAUUGUUUAGCUGUAAAUCAUAAUCUAAUUGUAAUCAAAUCUUAAACUUUGAGAAAUUAAGAGGAAACUUAAGAAUGCAUCGAAACCUGCGGCUGCUAGCCUGCUAUAUAUUCAUAUGUAAUAUACCAAUAUGUAUAUGAUUUCAUCACAAAUACAAAUACAAAACUCAAAUUGUCAAUAUAAUUUCAUCACAAAUACAAAAUCUCCAAAAGUCACAUCCAUAUAUAGCGUGACAGCAAUAAGACCAAAGAUGGCCAGCACAAAGGCAUUAGGUCCACAGUUGAUAAAAGCAGAUGAGGUGGGAGUGUUGCUCUUAGUAGUAGGGUUUGGAAGAUCCCCUUGGCCGGAACCAGUUGCUGCCUCUGGCACACCGGCCGGCGCAUAAGCCUGGUUGUUUUCUACUUCUACUACGAGCUUCAUCCCUCCCAAACAAUACAGCUUGCUCCCACUCACAAAGUACCAGUCACCAGGUUUUGUCAAUGUAACUGUUGUGUUUCCUCCUGUAUAUUUCUUUAUAACUUUUGUUGUGUUGCAAACAUCAAAACUUUCUUUGGUCACUUGACUCACACUGUUAGAUGAUGAGUACUGAAACGCUGUAAAAAUAAACAAAAAAUCAAAAAGAAAUUAAAUGGAAGUAAGUUACCUAAUGAAAUUUAUAUUAUUUGCUUGAAAUCGGUUCGUUAUUCAUCAAAGUUUUGUUUUCUCAAAACCACAAAAGUAAACAGGAGUUUUCUCAAUGACCAAAAGUAAACGAGAGUUUAUAUAUAGCUAGAAGAUGUAGAACAAAAAAUCGUGUAUUUGCAUUAACCUUUUGAGGAGGUUAUUCAAGAAUUGCUCGUAUUGUUAUUCAAUAGAAAAUAAGCUCUUUGGUUUCAAUUUGAGUCAUACGAUAAUGUAUGUAUACUUACAUAGCGCAUCGCCGACUUUGAAUUUCUUGUCGUUGGGCCAUGAAUUGAGGUUAGUGCUUAUGUCCCAGCCGGAGGUGUCCCCAACUGUGUAAACUGUGGCGGAGCUUGUCAAUGCAAAUCCAAGAACAAGAAGAACACAAACUAGAAUUUGAAGCAGCUUUGCCAUUUUUAAUUUGUGAGAUGAGAUGAGACAUAAUAUGAGAGAGAGGUUUCAUUUAUAGGUAUAUUGUGUACGAGGAUUGAUGAAUAAUUAGAUGACCUAACUUCAACUGUGAGAAGUGAAUUGCAUUUCUUGCUUAAUUCCUUGAUUAACUAUUUAAAUAUUAUAGAUACUAUUUCGAUCUUAUUAUUUUAUUUGAGUGUAGGAGAACAAUAAUCUGCCUUUAACUAAUCACCAAGUACUUAAUUAAACUUUAUCAUAGGGUAUUGAUUGGUAGAUGAUGAUUUAACCAACUUUUGUGCUCAAAUUUGGGUUUAAAAAUCUCUAUAUAUUCCCCACGAGGAAGUUGGUGAGCAGUUAAAACCUCCAUCUCCAAAUCCUCUUUUUGGUGACCUUGGCAAAGACUUCGAGACACAUAUGUAGGCAUGUUUGUGCUACAAGAAAUUGAGAUGGGAAAUAAAUUGCGUGUACAAACACUCAAACAAGUCUUGCAGCUUUCAUAUUUCAUAUGACUAUGAGAAAAGUGUUCUUCAUAAAGCUUAGUUUUUUUCUCUGCCCCAUUGACAAUUUGAUACUUUAAUUUUUUUAUUUUUUUUUCACCAGUCCAUGAAUGUGGGGAUGUACAUAUCAACUAGGGACCCUCAAUUAUUUGAUUUGAAACAGAAGCAGCAACCAAAUGACAAAUUAUAUGAUGAUCCUCAAGCUGAAUUCCCAAUUCUCACGAUAAUGCAAAAGUGGGAAACCGUCUUUUAUUGGGGACGAUCUUCUGCCAUCAAUAAAAUAUAUUCUAUCCCAUCUUUGUCCAAAGUCCAACUAAAAGCACACUAUUGUCUCUUUUUGAGAAAAGUAAUUAAAUAUGGCCACCAGGGGCAGAUCCAUCUUGGGGGCAAUGUGGGUCAGCUGACCCUUCAAGCUCAGAAAUCUUUUAUAAAAAAGUUGGGUGUUGUUUUUUUAAAAUCGGAGAUGUUCUUGUAAACUAUAUUCUAAUUGCUCAACGAAUUGCCUCUAUGGGCACUGAGUAGGAUAGUUGCUAGCCUCAUACCUUUGUAUUUGUAUGUGUUGCAAUGGCCAUAUGUCGAUACCGAGUCGUGUUGCUAUGACCAUAUGUCGAUAGACCGACUCAGUAUAUGUUGGCAUUUGUCGGCAUGCUUGCUUAAAAGUUAUUGGUAUAUGUUGACAUCAGUCAACAUGCUUACUCUCGAAUGUUAUUGGUGUAAGAAGUAAUUGAAAAACAAGUUACUAGAAUCACAGAUAAAACAUAAAUAAUUACAAUAAACCAAUCAAACAAUUAAAGGGAAAUAAAGUUAUCUUAGAAUCACAGAUAAAACAUAAAUAAUUACAAUAAACCAAUCAAACAAUUAAAGGGAAAUAAAGUUAUCUUCCAAAGAAGAGGAAAAAGAAGCCAUGAUUGCUAGGGUUUCAAAAGGAGUCCUCUACACUUAAGCAGCCAAGAGUCCUUGCUAUCAAAUAGGGGUUUUAACACAAGAUAGGAUAAUGCUGUGAGUGCAGGGAUCUCCUAAUAUGUCCUAAUAUAUAGACGCUCAUCCCUUUAAUCCGGCCUAUGAAUCGAUUAAAGGGAUAUUCCAAAUCAAUUAGGAUUUCAUUAUAGUUCUAAAUGGUAAUGAAUUCUUUGUCAAUUAAUUAAGGUUUUCAUAAUUAAUUGCACUAAAUAAGGACUCCUAAAUCUAACCAAAUAAGGCUCCAUAAUUUUCUCAAAUAUUAACUCGGAUUGACCAAGUUACUUGUAUGUCAAGAAAUAGUGAGCACAUGUUUUUUGACACUCACAACUUACAAUUGGCAUCUAUCGACAUCGACAGUGUGCAAUAUAACUUAGGAUACACAAACAGUGUAGAAAGUGAUUGUUUGCGUAGAAAGAGUAAAGCCCAUAGCUAUGUUUCAUUCAUAAUAUCAUUAUUUAUGUUCUAUUCAUUUGUGUUAUCAUUAGGUAUAUUUAUUGUUGGAUGAGGAUCCAGAAUUUGAGCCUUAUAAUACACCAAUUUUUUCAACAAUUCAAGAAUGUAAGAACGCAUAUAUCAACUCUGUGGUGUUCUGAAACAGAAGCAGCACCAAAAUGACAAAUUGCUGAUUCCCAUAUUCCAGUGCAUGGGCCAGCAGGAUGGGGAAAAGUUAGGAUCCACGCAAGUUCAGUUUUGAGUUUCAAAAUUCCCAUGAUAUUGCAAAAGUGAGAAACUGUAUUUUUUUUUUGGUAAACUAAGAAAUUCAUUCCAGGGCCAAGAGGCCAAAAGUAAACACCGAAAGCCUACACAGAGGCAAAUACAUAAAAACCACUAACACAGUGCAGAAGGGUACAACAAGGAGGACGUUGCAGCAAAGCAAAGGCGUCGCCCUCUACACUGCCAAAAGGAGAAACUAAUGAGGACAAGGUAAGCCAUCAUUGUUCAAGACAAAAAUCAACGAAGAUGGGGGUCGAUUGACCCAAACAACAUUACACAUCUCCAAAUUACUAAACGACGCAAGGGAAUCCGUCGCCAUAUUGGCCGAUCUUGGAACCCAAUACCAGCGACAAUUCUGGAAAGUUUCACCCAAAUCCCAAACAUUUGCCAAGAUAGGGAAAGCCUCUCAAUUGCCAUUCUGUUGAGACUUCGAAAGACAAGAAAUAGUUUCCAGAGAAUCAGAUUAAAAAAUGACCGAGCUAAUACCUAGGGAGACCGCUAACUCGUAACCACGAAGCAGAGCUAAAGCCUCUGCCAUUGCAACACAAGAAGCAGAAACGGGGUACCUCGCCGCAACAAUGAAAUCCCCCUUGCAUCCCAAGCCACCACCGUAGCAAACCAGAUUUAGUCAACCUAGAUCAGCUUGCAUCCACAUUUACUUUAACAAAAGGGGAGACAGGGGGUCCACCUUGUAAGCUGACUGACCCGACCUAGUUCCACCGUCUUCGAGUCCUCAGGGACCAACCGAGCAUUAAAGAACUUAGCAACUGAAUUACAGAUACCCAAAAUUACCUUUGAGGGAAUGAUAGACACAUGGUUAAAGACAAAAUCACAAUGGGACUUCCAAAUAUGCCAACAAGUGAAAGCCAUAUAAGUCUAUACCCAUUCUUUACUCGCCGAAGACCCCAAAUUAGUAGUGAAGACAGAGAGUAGCCAAAAAACCCAGCUAGAAAUGCUCCCAUGAUAGAUGUUAUACUUAAGAGCCCCACCAAACCAAAUUGAAUUGACCCAAGGGCAGAGAAGAAAAAGAUGCUCAAUAGUUUCCUCCUGACAUAGACAUAUUGGGCAUGUAGGGGUUGGGAAAGAACAUCUCCUAAACAGCAUGGCCAAAGUAGCUAAAGCAUUAUGGAGAGAACUCCAAAGAAAGUGUCUAACCUUAGCCGGCACAUUGACCCUCCAUAUGCCCUUUCACAGCUUCUUCGGAACAGAACGAGUGAAGGGGGAACAGUGAUCUCACAAAGCUAGGGAUCACAAUUGUACCCAUAAAUAACCUAACCUGACUGAAUAGCUACCAUUUCUGUUAGCCGCCCAAACAAAUCGAUUCUUCAUUCGAGGGUUCCUAAUUGGGGUAUCCCUGAUUGCCGCGCAAUCCUCCGUCGACAGGAAGGGCAGGAGAAAAUCAAUGUCCCAAGUCUUGGUAAUUGGGCAAAUUAAUGAACUUACAUGUGUGCCUCUAGUUACUGAAACACCAUCCGAAUGAGUAGGAUGUCCUAUCGGUAAAGUGGGGAGCCAUCUAUCAACCCAAAGACGAACCUCAUCCCCACCCAUGAUCUGCCAAUGAGCCCCAUUUUGAAUCAAUUCCCUUCCCACAAGAAGGCUUGGCUAGGCCCAAGAGGUGCGGCAUUUUUUCGUAGCAACCAAAAAAGAGCAAUUCGAAAAAUAACGGGCCUUUAUCACUCGAGCCCACAGCGAGUCUGGCUCAACAAUCAAACGCUAACACUGCUUGGCAAGGAGAGCAUCAUUGAAUUCCUGGAAGUUUCUGAAACCUAUACCAUACAAAUGUUUUGGCAAACCCAUAGUCUCCAUAUAGACCUAAUAAGUUUUUCGUCUCCCACUAGUAUCCUUCUACCAAAAUUUAGCAAUCAAAGCAUCCAAUUCCUUACAGAGGACAACAAUAAACUUAAAGAUGUUCAUUGGGUAUGCGGGAAUGGCUUGAGCAACAGCCUUGAUCAUCACUUCUUUUCCCGCUUUUGUUAACAUGUUUUGCUUCCAUCCUUGUAACUUCCCCAAGAUCCGGCCCUUCACAUAAGCUAAUCCUCGUUUCUUCGAGCAACCCCAAAUAGUAGGCACCCCCAAGUAUGUACCCGGGUUCUUCACAACAGUCAUUCCCAAGAUGUUUCCCAAUUCAUCGACCAUAUUCGAGGGAAUGUUGGUCCCGAAAAAAACACUAGAUUUCUGCAUAUUAAUUUCCUGUCCUGAGGCUGUGCAGUAGUCCUUAAGGAGGUCAACCAAGCUAUGACAAUUUCUCCUAUCCGCCUUUAGGAAGAUUAACGUGUCAUCCGCAAACAAGAUGUGUGAGAUGACCAGCCCAGACACACUCGACUUCACCCCCUCCAGGAGUCUCAUUUCAACAGCCCCCUGUAUCAUUCUGGAAAGAACCUCUCCCACUAGGAGAAAUAAGUAUGGCGAUAGGGGGUCACCCUGGUGAAGACCACGAAUUGGAGCAAACUUUUCACCUGGUUGUCCAUUUAGAAUGACCACAAAGUUAAUUGAGGACACACAACCCAUUACAAGCUUCCUCCACAAAAUCCUAAAUCCCAUCAUUUCCAUGACUGCAUCCAGGAAGUCCCAUUCCACCCUGUCAUAAGCCUUUUGCAUAUCAAGCUUAAUACCAACCUCGAACUUGCUCUUUGCUUUCCGGACUUUUAGAAAGUGAAACACCUCAUGGGCUAUUCCAAUAUUGUCUUGUAUAUGUCUACCCGUAACAAACGCAUUCUGCAUAGGGGAUAUAAUUUCUGGCAAGAUAGGCUUUAAUCGAUUCGCCAACAAUUUGGAUAAAAUCUUGUAAGAAUAGUUGCAUAGAUUUAUGGGACGAAAUUUCGACACCGUCUCAGGAUUCUGCACCUUUGGAAUCAAAACAAUGUGGGUGGAGUUUAAUUUGCUAGGACUGUCCUGCCCUUGAAUCAAAGAUCGGACAAGAGCGUUUACAUCACCACAAUGUUCUCCCAUAACGUAUGAUAAAACACCUCUUGAAAACCAUCAGGGCCCAGAACUUUCAGUCCACCCAUAUUAAAAGCCGCAUCUUUUACCUCCUCUUCCAAGACUGGCGCCAUAAGCACUGCAUUCAUCUCUUCCAUCACCGUUGGGGUUAAGCAGUCAAGAGUUGUCCCCCAGUUCCGAGUUCCCCCAAACCUGAAAGUAUUAAUAAAAUGCUCAUCCACCAGCCUUCGAACCUGAUUGGGGUUCUUUACCCAGUCACCAUUAGUAUUUCUUAUUUUCAGCACCUUGUUCCUUCUGCGCCGUUGAAUCGUGGUCUGAUGGAAGAACUUUGUGUUAGCAUCUCCAUCCCUUAACCACUUUACCCGAGAUCUUUGUUGCCAAAAACUCCCAUCCUACGUCCAAAGACCGUCAAUCAAUCUAAACUUCUCCUUAAUUUCCUCCUUAUGAGCUCCCCAAUUUUUUGUAACUCCUCUAGUUGAUCCAACAGAAACUCAAUCUGACGGCCCCUUAUCUUAAAUAUUACGACUCCACCGAAUUAGAUGAGAACGGCAGCCGUUAAUCUUUUUUAGCCAUCUCACAGGGGCACACCCAUCUUCCAGACAAUCCCAACACUUCCUCACCACCUCUUUGUAUUCCUCUUCCUUAGCCCAUAACGCCUUAAACCGAAACAGUUUUCUGCCCCUCCUAACUUCCGAUUCGGUUUGGAUAAUAAUCGGGCAAUGAUUCGAUCCCAAAAUCGUCCUGUGAGUAACCGUCGUGUUAGGCCAUAAAUCUUGCCAUUGUCUAUUGCAUAAUCCCAUGUCCAAACGUUCUUCCACCAAAGAUCCAUUUCUCGUGCCUCGCCAAGUAAAAGUUGGACCAUUAAAGUCCAAAUCCAUCAACUCAGAGGAGUUCAAAAAGCUUUCAAGGUACCGGGGCCGAUUGUAUAACACCUGAGAUCCACCUGACUUCUCCGAAUCCUACAUGAAUUCAUUGAAAUCCCCUCUGCAUAACCAAGGCAUACUUGAAGGUGUGAAGUAAGUGUUCAUCCAAUUCUAGAAUUUGACCUUUUCACAUCUAUAAGAAGUUCCAUACACUCCCGUAAAUCGAACCCAUAUUUGAUCUCAUUCAUCCUUCAUUCUGGCAUCAAAUAUAUGUUUUGAUGAAAAAAGAAUUUCAACCUCCAACGAGACGUCCCACCACAAACUUAAACCACUCACUCUCCUAAUUGAAGUCACAUUGAACCCAUUCGAAAAACCCAUACGUUUCCUAACUCUAUCAAUUCUAUGAUCUUUCAUUUUUGUCUCCGCUAGAAAGAUCAUAGAGGGUCUACGAUUCCUUAUUAGCUCAUGAAGGGCCCAAACUACCGUGUCUGACCCAAGACCCCGGCAGUUCCAAAAAAAGGUGUAUCAUGGCAAGCGUGUGGCUGUUGUAGGCUAGCCGCCACCACCCCGAGCCACAUUGCCCGUACUUCUCGAUAGAUUAUUUUUCUUUUCUAUUUUCGAGACCCCUACCACAUAUUCCCAUAGAUUUUGAUACUCAAUCGGGACAUCUUGUAACUCAUCAUCUGCAUCUAUAGCACGUUCCAUCAUUAAACUUCACUCCUUGCUGCUCGUGCCUCUCAUGUUGUCUGUCAUCUUUCCUUUUCGUGCCUCCCCAUCCCCAGACUUUUCAUUUUCUUAAGGGGGGACUGCACCAAUUCGAGACUCUGAAGAUCUCCUCCUCUUUUCGUCUGACUUGCCUCAGCCUGAUUGGUAUAGAUGGUCUCUCUCUCCAUACCUUGAGAUUCCACCGCUUUAUUCCCCCAUUCAAAAGCACCCUGCAAGUGGUUCAUCCCCUCAUUGAUUUCUUCAAUUCUAACUGACUGAUUAUUCCCUAUCUGCCUAGGAAUGGCAAAGUUCCUAAUCUGCUUGGAUGAAGGAAAAAUAUAUAUAUAUAUAUAUAUAUAUAUAUAUAUAUAUAUAUGAAGAAGCUAUAGCUAUCUAGCUAAGGUGUAAAGCCUAGCUAGAAUCAAGGAAUAAAACAUAAAUUCCAUAAAAUAAAAUAAAAGGGUACUACAUAUCUAACGAUAAAUCCACAAGAUUCAUUGUAGCAAGUUGGAUCUAAGUGCCCUUUGGUGCGUGUUUGUUGGGUUUUCCCCCAACAUAAAGGGUAUAAGUGCUAUCACCCUGAAACUCGACAUAUGUAUGUGACCAUGAAUGUUACUUUUUCUAAAUCAGAGUAUUUUUAUUCUUCGAUCCCAUCACCUUCAGAUCACCAUGGGGAGAAUGGUGAUCAGAGUAAUCUUGGGUGGUUAGAAGUACCAAAUGAUGUGAUAUGUAGUUUAGAGGGAGCAUAUGUUAACGAUAAUGAUGAAAAUAAGACACCAGUUUCUCGGCAAGAAACUGCUGAGAGUGAUACGGGGACUUCAGCUGCUGCAUGUCGGGACAUGUGCGGGCCAUCAACAAGGUCCUGUCAAGGAAGCUACAACAGUCCAGCAUCUAGUUGCUACUGAACCAAGUACAUCAGGGGAAGAAGUACUAUCUGCCGAACCCAUAUCACCCUCUCUCUCUCUAGCUUGAUAGUGCCAUUCAAUGUGUCUUCUCUGAAUAUCCCUGAGGUAAGUACUACAGAUGCUCAUGUAACUAAUCCAAAUAAUGUUGUAAGUACAUAUAAGUUGCCACCAAGGCAAAAUCGUGGUGUUCCUCCUGACAGGUUUUCUCCCGAAGGAAAAGUAAAGUAUACAAUAGAAAAUUAUGUGUCAUGUAAGAACCUUGCGCCUGAACGCCAAGCAUGGGUGAAUAAUGUGGAAGUAAUCCAAGUACCAACUCGAGUUAAGGAGGCCUUGAAAGAUCCUAAAUAGGCUGCUGCAAUGGACGAAGAAAUGAUGACACUACAUAAGAAUGAUCCAUAAGAAGUGAUGGAACUACUGAAAGGAAAAAAAAAGGGUGUAAAUGGGUCUUUACAAUUAAAUAUAAGGUUGACGGAUCAAUAGACAUGUAUAAAGCAAGGUUAGUAGCAAAAGGUUAUACUCAAAUGUAUGGUGUUGAUUACUAGGAAAUUUUUUCCCCAGUAGCCAAGAUGAAUAUCGUACAUGUUCUUAUUUCAUUAGCUGCAAAUUUGAAUUGGCCACUGAAACAGUUUGAUGUAAAAAAUGUUUUCCUUUAUGGGCAUUUGGAAGAAGAAGUAUAUAUGAAUUUUCCUCCAGGAUAUAAUGCCGGAGAGAAAACCGGAGUGUGUAGGUUGCGAAAGUUGCUUUAUGAGCUUAAGCAAUCGCCUCGUGCAUGGUUUGGUAGAUUUACUCAAGUCAUGAGAAUGAAUGGAUAUUACCAUAGUCACUCCGACCACACAUUGUUUGUAAAACAAAGAAGUGGCAAAGUGAUAGCUUCAAUGAUCUAUGUGGAUGACAUGAUAAUAACAUGUGAUGAUUCAGAAGGGAUGGUAAAACUGGAAGAGAGUCUUGCUGCUGAAUUUAAGAUGAAAAAUUUGGGAGAUUUAAAAUAUUUCCUUGGAGUAAAAGUGGCUCGUUCGUCUAAAGGUAUUUUCUUGUCUUAACGUAAAUAUGUUCUGGAUUUAUUGAAGGAGACAAGUAUGCUUGGAUGUAAACAAGUGGACAUUCCUAUUGUUGAGAAACAUCAUUUAGGGAUUUAUCCAGAUCAGAGACCAGUUGACAAAGGCAGAUAUCAGAGACUGGUAGGGAUUUAUAUAUCUCACACUCGUCCGGAUAUUGUCUAUGCAAUGAGUGUGGUGAAUCAAUUUAUGCACUCACCAAGUGUGGAUCACAUGAUUGCAGUUAUGUGAAUUUUGGCGUAUUUGAAGUCUGCUCCAGGAAAGAGAAUUUUGUAUGAACAUGCCAUAUGAGGAUUAAGGGAUUUACUGAUGCCGAUUGGGCAGGGGAUGUGACCGAUAGGCGUUCUACGUCCGGGUAUUUUACAUUUGUUAAAGGUAAUUUGGUUACUUGACGAAGUAAGAAACAAAAGGUGGUGUCACGGUCUUCCACGAAAGCCGAAUUCAAAGGCAUGACACAUGGAGUGUGUGAGAUCUUUUGGCUACGAAAGUUGCUUUGGGGUAUCGGCUUUAAGCAAAAAUAGGCGAUGAAUUUGUAUUGUGACAAUAAGUCGGCGAGAGAAAUAGCAGAGAAUCCAGUACAACAUGAUCAGACUAAGCAUGUUGAGGUUGAUUGACAUUUUAUUAAAGAGAAGCUUGAGAAGAAUGUGGUGUCAAUACCGUUUGUUAGCUCGGAAGAUCAACUUGCAGAUAUUCUAACUCAUGACGUGUGUAGUAGGAGCUUCAAUGACUCACUUAUCAAGUUGGACAUGUGUGAUAUCUAUGCACCAACUUGAGAGGGAGUAUUGGAUUGAGUCAAUAUUUAAGGAAAAGGAAUGUAAAUAUUGUGUAAAUAUUAGAGUCAUGUUUUAGGAAGGAUAUAUUUGGGUCAUUUAUUGUUUCCUUAUGUAACAAGGAUUGUGUGUACUUAUAUUGAGAAUUAUGGAAUACAUGAAAAUUAAGCCGUAAAAUUCUACAUGGUAUCAGAUCCAGGGAGCGGACAUAUAAUGUAGUGUCACGUAAUGGGUGGGUCUCAUUGGCCUCGUGCGAUGAUGGUGGGUUCCUUGGCCCCGCGUGUAGGGUGUGUUUCCUUGGCUCCACGUGGUUGCCGAUGUGUGGAUCUCCCACGUGAGGGUGUGUCUUGAAUCCCAUAUCGAUCGUAGAAAAAAGAGAAGUAAUAGUUUAAAUACCCUAACUAAUACCGAGACCUUUUGUGAUAAAACUCCACUCCUGACGAAUUGUGUAAGUGGUAAUUACGAAAUUGGGGACAAUAUCGGUGUUGUUGAAAGUGGGCAUUCGGCCCGUCUUUCUGAUAAUUCUACACUUAUUAGGUACACGGGAAAAUGCCUUGACAAAAUAACUCAAAAAGAAUGAUGCAUAGUCGGUAGCCAAAGUGAUGUGUGAAUUUUCAUAUUGUCUAGUGUAUGCAUUGCUCCCACUAUCUAUUGCACGGUUGUUAUGAGACAAACUUAACUUGAAAAAUUAACCCAACCUUUUUUCUCUCACGCAGAAAGCCCCCCAAAAUCCCAGCCUUUGCUGCCAACUCCUUCAUCUGGUUGGGGUUGGCAGGCAUCCCCUUCUGCUACACUUUUUCUUUCUCCUUUUUAGCUCGCUACCCAUACCCUCAAGUCUUCCUCAUUCCCCAUCCGCCCCCUUCUCUCUUGCUGCAUCCCAGCCCGUUACCCACACCUUCAAGUCCUCCCCCUUCCCCUUUCAAGGCUUUAUUUCCAUUUCCUUUUUCUCCUCUUCCUUUGUUUUUAUUCUUUUCCUACGAUGCUUUAUUUCUAAUUUCCUUUUGGCUUUCUUUGAGCUUUGUCUCAAUUCCCCAAGCUUGUCUCAGAUCGAAACCUUCAGACACUUCUCUUGCUCCAAUGCUUCUUUCCAUCGCUUGUCCUCAAUUACCGACCACUGCUAUUUGGCCUCGGGUGCUUCUCCUAGGCGAAUCGUUUGGGUUUUGGGUGGCUGUUAAAGUGCAUUUUGCAAUACUUGGUAGGAUUAUGGGAGCUUUCACUACGCGGGUGGCUCACUUACCCCCAUUUUUCGUUGAUCCAAUUGCUCUGUUUGGUUCAUUUUCUUGGUGGUGGUGGCCUUGCGAUGGAGGCGCAUCAGAUUUGGUGGUGGCUGCUAGUUUCCUCUUUAAUUUUAAGGUUUCCGUUAUUUUUCAGUUAGGCCCUUUUGGGCUUUUAUGUUUGUUGAUGCACAAAAUCAAUGGGGACUUUGGUACAACAGAAAAUGUUAAGUUUGCGAGUAGAGGAGUUCUCAUUAAUUGUGAAGGGUUUACACAAGUACAUAGGUUUAAGCUUUCAUUUUGUAAGUACUAGUGAAUGAUUUAGUACAAAUGACAUUAGGAAAUAUUGUGGGAGAAUGAUCUCCUUUUAUAGAAGAGAGUUUCUAGCUUUGUUUUGACAUUGACACGUGUCGUGUUGUGAUUGGCUUUUGAUGUUGACACAUGUCGCGCUAUGAUUGACUUCUGAUGUCGACACGUGUCGCGCUGUGAUUGACCUCCUGGUUGGAGGGAAACUCUUCUGGGUCAUUGACGGUAUAACGUUGACCGGUGCUCAGUAGUUUCGGGAUUGGUCAAGUAUGGUACAAACAAUGUUAUAUUUGUUUUUUCUUGCUAAGCUUGUAUUUAGGUUGUGGGAUACCUUUUGGGCUUUCUUGUCCUUGUACUAGCCUUUUUAUUUAAUGGAAUGGAAGUAGCUUAGUUUGACCCCCCCUCCCAAAAAAAAAACUCGAAAAAUUAACUCAAAGAGGCUGAUGAAUGGUUACUAGCUAAGGCAACUAGCCAAAUGAUGUGUAAACUUUUAUCUUGUCUUCAACAAGAAUUUUUUUUAGAUCCAAUGACUCAAGAUAUCAUUGCAUAGGAAGAGGGGAAUGGUUACUAGCUAAGGCAACUAGCCAAAUGAUGUGUAAACUUUCAUCUUGUCUUCAACAAGAAUUUUUUUUAGAUCCAAUGACUCGAGAUAUCGUUACAUAGGAAGAUGGGACAUUGAUAAUUGACAAAUGCUAAAGAGACUCUCAAACUGAGACUCUUCAUGAAUUUUCUGCCACCUCAUAUUUUUGGCACAUUAUUUUAUAAUGUUAGCACGGUAAUUGUGCUACAAAGAUGAGGUUACAAAAAAUCUAUAAAAAUUCUCACUUUUAAGAAAAUUUUCUUAGCGUUAUCGUUGUGUCUCUCUUUUCUCUUCUCAUCCGGAGUCAAGCUCGAAGACUACCGGAAUUUGAUGAGAAAAUGCCAGUGACAUUAAAAUUUGUGUUUUUUAAUCAAAACAGCUGCAACAAAAAACCACAACCCUUUCAAGAACCAGUGACAUUAAAAUUUGUGUUUUUAAAUCAAAACAGCUGCAACAAAAAAGCACAACCCUUUCAAGAAACUAUGAACCCGAAAUUCAGCCAAUAACUAAUAACACAUGUGACCUCUCUGCAUGCAUGGCCAAGUACAUGGUGGAUAUGUGUACCUGAUUGACAUUCCAUAUACGACAAAUUCCUACUUUCCCACAGUUUUACGACUUUCCCAAUCUCCUCAACAUUCAUACUUCACAAAUCAACAAAUACCUAGUUUAUUUCCUUUGUCUUGUUGGCCCAGGAAAUCUAUGGGUAGACACGAGAAACCAAUCAAUCAAAACCUGAGAGGUGCCUCUGGACCUGCUUUUGAUAAAUAAAAUAAUAUCGACCACAUCAAAAUGCAACUGAUUUGAUAGUUUUGUGCCUCAAGUAUCUCCCUCGUUAGAUUGGGUAUAGGAUGAUAGCAGAGAGAUCGUCUACUAAAUCGGAAAAGGAUUCUCUCCUGAGCAUAUGCUCAGGAUCUUGCUGAGCAGGACACGAUGACCGUUGGAUUUCAUCCAACGGCUAUAAAAAGGUGGAUUUUUUGAAGUUAUAAUAAUUAUAACCGUUGGAUGUUAAAGUUAUAAUAAUUGUAACCGUUGGAUGUUAAAGUUAUAAUAAUUGUAACCGUUGGAUUUUCAUCCAACGGUCCUCGUGUCCUGCUCAGCAGGAUCCUGAGCAUAUGCUCAGGAGAGAAUCCUUUUCCUACUAAAUCAUAUUAGGAUGUGAUAUUUACACAUUUUAUUUUAUUUCUCACACAUUUUUUUUAUUUUCUGUUGUCGGAUCAGAUGAAUUGAAGAAGAUCAAUGAACAAAAAUUAUCAAAGAAUGUGUGGGAAGUAAAAUGAGAUGUGUGGAUAGCACACCUCAUUAUAUUUGGUAGAGUACAUAAUAGGAUAGUUGAUCGUUGAAUUUUUUGUUUAUUUAAAAAUUAUUCAACCAAUCAUCACAUCAUGUGAUUUACAAAACAUAAUUUAAAAAUAUAAAAAUACAGUCUACCUAAUAUUUUUUUUUUUUUUUGGAAACUACCCAAUAUUUUUCUUUGGUACAAGCAAAAAGGUCCAAUUAGUCUGUCUUAAUGAUAAGGACAAAAUAAAGGGUAAAGUGAAUAGUACAAGAUUUGACUUUUUAGUGUAAAAAUGUGGUUUUUCGUUAAAGUGAACAGUACCGUAGGCUUUUCGUUAAAACUCCCUUAUAUAAAUGUACAGCCAAUAGAAACUUAAUAGUGACACAAUCUUUUUCUAUAUAAACUCUAGCUAUUCUUGCAUUUUGCACAAAACCAUCAUCUCACAAUUAUCUUCUUCUCUUUGCAUUCUGUACUUUCUGGCUGAGGAAAAGUUAGGGUUUCGCAGAAAUAAGAUGGACGACGAAAAAAGUUCAAGCUCAUUUUCAAUGGGGAAGAGUGCACAAGAGAGAGGCUUGCCAUAUGUGCCUGAGUGCUAUGUGAUUCCAACAUCACAUCGUCCAAGUUUGACUCCAUGGAUGUUGCCACUGUUCCGACCAUUGAUUUUGGAAGACUGAAACAAGGCCCUGAUGAACGAAAACUUGUUAUUGAAGAAAUUAGAACUGCUUGUCGUCAGUUAGGGUUCUUCCAAGUAAGCGUACUAAACAUGUCAUUACAAAAAAAUUUCAUGCAAAAUUAAAAUACAGGUUUAGUCUAUUCUACCCUUUAAAAAUAAGAGGAUUACGAAAAUUUUGUAAUGCAGUCACGUACGGUGCAUAACAAUCUAUUCUAACAAUAUAAUAAUACGUCUACGAUGUGAACAUCAACUUUGUUACAUAAUAGUUGAUGAUCUUAAUGUUCAUCUCAUUAGAUUGUGAACCAUGGCAUCUGUCAAACUGUUUUGGAUGAGGCUCUUUUGUCGGCGUCGGAGUUUUUCAAUUUGCCGGGCUCAGAGAAGGCAAAGUUCAUGUCUAAUGAUGUUCACAACCCAGUGAGGUACGGGACAAGCUUGAAGGAUGGACUUGAUACGAUUCAGUUUUGGAGGGCUUUUCUUAAACAUUAUGCUCACCCGUUGGCAGAUUGGAUCAAGUACUGGCCUAACAAUCCUUCUAAUUACAGGUACGUAUCUACAAGGUUCAUUCUCUUAAUUAUUUGCUCUCACGCAUGUCCCCCUUAUCUCUUGCUUUGCUAUUUUGGAAAAGUAUAAGAAAACAAAGUAGAGAAAAAACAUCUGUUGCCGACUAUAUUUAUAACUAUCGAUACAUCUUAUUUAAGACCGUGCAUGGUAUUCAGCUAAAUUGUAGUCUUGUCCAAUUUUGUCAACCUUGGAUAAAUCCUUAAUUUGGGCAGUUGUCGCUCUUGAUUUGCACUUAAUCAAGCGAGCAAACGAACAAUCCAAGCGAGUAGGCGAGCAAGCGAACAAGCAAUUCCAGCAAUCAAGUGCAAGAUUCCAAUGCCAAUGUGAACUUCUGAACAAACAAACUUUUCAAUUCACUAGUACACAACAUCAAUCAGGCACAUAUGGCAAAUGGAAUCACAUAGCACUCAGGCACAUAUGGCAAGUUCAGGUGAUUGCGGCCCAUUGUUUACCUAUAACAAUUGCAACCAUAAUAAACAUGAAGCAAGUCAAGUGAUGACGCAUGAAGCUAUACACUCUUUUGUAUAUACAAACACACACACACACACACAUAUAUAUAUAUAUAUAUAUAUAUAUGUGUGUGUGUGUGUGUGUGUGUGUUUGUAUAUAUAUAUAUAUGUGUGUGUGUGUGUGUGUGUUAUAUAUAUACAAACACACACACACACACACACAUAUAUAUAUAUAUAUAUAUGUGUGUGUGUGUGUGUGUGUUUGUAUAUACAAAAGAGUGUAUAGCUUCAUGCGUCAUCACUUGACUUGCUUCAUGUUUAUUAUGGUUGCAAUUGUUAUAGGUAAACAAUGGGCCGCAAUCACCUGAACUUGCUUGUUGUAUAUGUGUUAAUUGUGGGACUUUCUUUUCUGGAACAUAGUUUAUUAGUUUUUAUUUGUUUUAUCAUUAUUAAUUAUUAGUUAUAUGAUUGCAAUAUUGUUGUAGGGAAACAAUGGGCAAGUAUAGCUCAGAAGUGAAGAAACUGAACACGGAGAUAACAGAAACAAUCACGGAGAGUCUAGGGAUAGGUCCAAACUACAUAAGCAAGAAAAUGGAAGAUGGAAUGCAAGUCAUUACAGUCAACUGCUACCCACCAUGCCCUAAUCCUGAAAUUGCACUAGGGUUGCCACCCCAUUCAGACUACAGCUGCUUAACCAUUGUUCUUCAGAGCUGCCCAGGGCUCGAAAUCAUGCAUACCGGAGACAGCAAAUGGAAGCAAGUCCCACAGCUUCAUGGUGCUCUCCAAGUCCAUGUGGGUGACCAUUUUGAAGUACUAAGCAAUGGAUUGUACAAGAGUGUUGUGCACCGGGCCACGUUGAACCGUGACAGGACAAGAAUCUCCAUUGUUAGCCUGCAUAGUUUGGGAUUGGAGGAGAAGAUGGGCACUGCCAAAGAGCUUGUGAGUGAAGAGAAUCCUGGGAGGUACAAAAAAAGCAGCUUCAAAGAUUUUCUGAAUUUUCUCGCCAACAAUGAUCUAGCAGAAGGGAAGAGCUUCAUUAACACACUCAAAGUUGAUGAAAAACAAUAAUUAUCUUAAGCUAGCUAGUGCUCUUUUUUUGUCUGUUAAUUACUAGUUUAAAUUUUCUUCUCUGUUUUUGGACAAGAGUACUUCAGUAAUUUUAGAACAAAUUGUAAGUCUCUUAUAAUGUCGGAGAAGGGAACUGGAUAACAGAUUCAAGGGUUCAGCUAGUUUGUGAUGUGGCUGGCUAGAAGUACCGCUCCUACCAUAGUUUGUUGGCUCUAAUAUUAUGGUUAUUUCUUUUCUUUGCAUGUAGCCCGGCAAGGCAUGUCCUAGCUAGGAAUGACAUUGUAAUUUUUAAAACAUGAGGUAUGAGAUUGUGGUUCGACUCAUAGUUGAGGUAGUUUUAUGUAAUUUACCCAAUAAACAAUAUUGAUCUAACUUUUGCAGCACAUGAUCAAUUUUUUUUAAGGGUUAAUCAAGCUUAUUAUAACUUUUCUUUUGUUGAAGAGCUUAUGAAUAAAGAUUAUUAAAUGGAGUUGUAAUUUUGUUUUGCUUUGACAAAAUAACGAAUUUUGUUUCAGACGAAUGUCUAGUUAAGAAGGUUUCUUAAAUCUCCAGUACAAAAAUUCCCAAUACUUGUAAGAGUGCACACCAACUUUUUUUUCAAAAUGUUAAUAACAAUUUUCCUAAUGUACAAGUAUAAAACAAUUAGUGAUCAGAUUUGUGAGCAUCACUACUUGACAUAGAUAAUAAUUAAUAACCCUACUUCCUAAAUUGGGUAUAAAGACAACCUCAAAUUCAGGAAGUAGAGAUCCAAAUAGAGAACAUUUUAGUUUUUGAAUUC
rnacentral:lncRNA from 1 species